AAAACAUCAAUGAAACACUAAAAGUUUGUAUAUAGAAGCCCUUCUAAAGAUAAGAAUUGGUAAGAGAGCUCACCCAUGGUCUAGUAAAACAACAUCUGUUAGAUAAGUAACCACCAUUCUAUUGUCCAGCUAAUGCAUUUAGAUCUAAGAUAACAUAUGGAAAAAUAGUCGAAAAUAGCUAAAGACAGUCCAAAAACUCAUUUGACUAAUAAUUUUUUAAAAACAGAAACAUAAAACCAGGAUGAAGAAUCCACCCCUCUCCUUGACACCACUUCAAUACCAAAUAAAAUGUUACAAUGACCAUUUAUGGUCUUAAGAGACAGUGGAUGUUGUUUGGGCUCAAGACAUAAGACAAGCCAAAAAUCAAGAAGAAAACAACAUCAAAAUUGGCACAGAAACAAGUACAUCAACUAUCUAAUAAAGAGAUUUAUGCAUGUAACAAAUGCAAAUGAAAUAUGAUACAAGAUUUUCAUGGAUUAAACAAAAAUAGAUGGCAAAAUAGAAGGAUAAGGUCACAGACAGGACAAUAUUAAAAGAAAUUAUUAUUUUUCCGACCUGAAAAUCGAGGCAUUCAGAACAGUACAAGUUUGUAAGUAGUCCAUGGAAACCAGGGAACAUAUGCAGAUGUUGUAUUCUAUUGCAUAAGGCAAACACUCAAUACUUACAAGCAUAAUCAUGCCCAGAAAGCCAUGAAUCCCUUUUUGUUUUGCUUUUUUACCUAUUCCCAUCUCUUAUGGCCAGAAGUGCCCAGGAUGAUAUAACCUCACCAAAUAAGUUAGAAACCAGCCCAUUCAGCAGGUUGAGUAGCCAGCUUGCCCUCAAUCUUCUUUGAGUCAACAAACAGCUGGGCAUUAUUGCCUCCAAUGGAGGGUCUGGAAAUAUUAGAGCCGGCAGCAGGGGUGGCUGUAAAACUCUCUGUUCCAAAACCCCAAGUUUCAGGGCCAGAAGUUCCUUCUGUGGCUGGUUUGUUGUGAUGGCCAUUUCGGGUCCUAACAGACUUGCUAUUGUUGUCUGGGCACCUGCCUCAGAGAAAGCCUGCCAAAGAUCAGAGUCUGGGCCAGGGGAAACGGAUUUUCUUUGCUGGAGUUCCCAGUCUGUUGCUUCAAUCUUUUCUCUGUGCUGUUAUGAGAAGAAAACCUAUCAGACACAUGAAUGGGUACAAAAAGGUAAACUUCAGGUUUUGGUUCUAUUGAAAAGCACAGGAAACUUCACAAGAGGCAAAUUAUACCCCAGAAAUUGACUUACCCAAAUGUCUACUUUCUCAUUUAUAGGUUUCCUCCUAAUCAAAUCCCCACAUCUAGGACAGGAAAAGGAAGAAACUGGGAGUCAACAUUUUUUCAACCAAAAGCACUAACUUACCAAAAAACAUAGUUUUCCAUUCAACCUCGGGAGCUGUAUGUGCAGGUGUACUGUACUUUCUGAUAUUGUCUUCUUCAAUGCCCAUUUCUUCAGGCUUCUUAAAGUGCUUAUGAUUGGUGGAGGUGCUUCCAAAAUUACACAACUUCCAUAAUCCAUUAGGGCCCAAUAGAAGAUUCUCAGCAUUUAUAUAAGAACUUUAGGGUUUAUACCAAUGAUCAUGUUACAGUAUAAAUCAUAGUGAACUGGUGGAAUUUGAUCAUUUAGCCAACCUCAUCAAAAAACUGUUUCACAGUUGAGGGGAUUGUUAACCUUCCCAUGGGCCAAGCAGCAAUUUCUGAAACUGAUCCUGAAAUCAAAAAUCCCACACAAGUAGAUAUUUAACAGAAGAGGAUCCGAAUCUCUUCAAUUGAUUAAUGUAUAAAUGAAAUAAUAAAAAAUUUUAGAGAUAAUUAUAGGGAGAUGAACCUUAUACCUCUGAGUUUCUUAGUCUUCUUGAACAGAGCAAUGAGCAUCAAGUGUUGAGCACCCAGGAAUCUCCCUUCCUCUACAGGGAAAAUCUGAACAAUCUAUCUUUCUUCAUAUUCCACUUCCUUGCAAAAGUCAAAACAUGAAGAAAAUAUCAUCAAAAUUGAGACAAAAAUAAGUGCAUCAACUGUCUCAAGAAGAGAUUUAUGCCUAUUGCUUACCUUUUGCAGAAGUCCACUUGGUUAGAGCACAUUUUACAUGGACGCCCAAUCACUGCAAGCUGCUGAACCAAAGGAGGUUCAAACAUCUAAAAAAUUUGACUAACUCAAGUAUCAUAAAAAUGCUUCACAUGAAUUCCAAAUGAUCUCAUAUCUAAAAAACAUUGGCAUAAAAUUAUUGUUGUUUACCUUACAUGUUUCUUCCAUGGUCAUAAUUGAAACUUUGUUUAUCAUAACAAAUCUUCUAUGCUCAUCCUGAUUACUUACAAUGAACACUGAAAUGAAAAGAAAAAAAAAACACAAAAAAUGACGAUUAGUUUGGUUUGAUAAAUUUAGCACACACAAUUCCCUUUUUCUUGUAUGAAAAAGGAAAGAGUAAAAAAAAAAAUGAAUUUAAUAAUUUUUUAAAACUAGCAAUUAUAAAACUAGUUUGGUUCUCAGAAAAUUUAUGGGAAAGCAGGGAAAAAAAAGUGUAAACUUUUUCUCUUGUUUGAUUGUUUAUGGGAAAAUUGAGGGAAAAACAAAUAUUUAUGAGGAAUCUAUUUAACACUUUUGAGGAACAAAAAAUGUUUUAGAUGUUGUCAAAUCGAUAAUUUAAAUGUAUUUAAUUCCAAUUAAAUAAGUUUAAUCAAACACAUGAAAUGAAAUUGUGAAUAAAAUUAUUUAAAAGCAUUGAAAUUCAUGUCAUUAAAGUUGUCCAUAAAAUUUGGUAUAUUAAAGCAAGAAAAAAACAAAGCAAUUUGAAUGACUUGCUAAUAAAGCAGCUAACUAGAAUAUGCCCUAGAGUUGUUCUAUGUAUAUAAGAAAUAAACAGAGAACACAAUAAAUAAAUAAAAAACCAGAAAAUAAAAUACAAACAAACGAAAAUAAACAGCGUUGUUCAAUGGUUAUAAAUGGUUAUUUUUGCAAACCACCAAAUCAAAACAGAGCAUGAAAACGUGUUCAAUAUUUGUUUCAGGCUUGAAGCAUCAAGAAAAAGAAAAUCUUAAAUCAAAUAAAUAGGACUAGCGAAUGAAUUGGAACUUGAAAGAAAAGUUCAAGUGCAAAAGAAUUACCUGACUCUAUAUUGGCGGAGUGGCACUUUGAUUAAUAUAGCACACCAUUGAUCAUUAUUUUUGGAAUGUGAGCUAUAUAACGCCAUUCUUCCCCUUUCUCAAAUUGACACCGUUUUUCCAGUAGAGGACACCCGUAGAUCCUCAGAAAAGAGAGGGAGUCUGAAAGUCUCUCUUUUGUCAAGUAUUUGAGCUUACGACAGAUCAUGAUCUCCAAUGUUUUAAGAGAGGUGAGGUGUUGAAGACCCACUUUUUUCAAGGAUUGGAGCAUUGGGCACUCAUGGAUCCACAAACUUUCAAGAGAGGUGAGGUGUUGAAGACCCGCUUCUGUCAAUGAUUGGAGCCUCGAGCAUUGACAAAUUACUAAUCGUUUUAGAGAGAUAAGGUGUUGAAGAACCGAUCCUGUCGAGAACUGGAGCUUUGGGCAGAAGUAGAUCCUUAAUUCUAAAAGAGAGGUGAGUUGUUGAAGACCCCCGCUGUCAAGAGACUUGAGAUUUGGAAGAUUCCAGAUUUGAAGAGAAGUCAGAGAAGAGGGCAGCAAACACUCUUUGGGAAAUAAUUCAAUGUCUUCACAUCCACCUUUGAUUAUGAAAUGAGUAAGAGAGGUCAGCCUUUGCAAACCCCACUCCACCUGGGGCGUGAGUUGGUUGCACUUCUUAAUUUCAAGUUCACGUAGGUUGGAAGGCAAACCCUCUCUCUGAAACAACAAUUCUGGACAAUCAUAUAAAUUCAAGUACUGUACAGAUGACUGUCUGUGUGCCAAUGACCUGAGCUUGGAGCACCUAUGAAUCGAACAAGACUUCAAGUUGAGAGCGCGUAAUUCGAUAGAUUCAAGAUCAGAGCAACCUCUUAGACGCAGGGAACAUAAAGAUGUGGGAUCACCCUCUGAAACCAAAAUCGAGAGCUUCUCAAGCCCAUUAAGACCAUUGAUUUCGAAAUCAGUCAACUUGGGGAAGAUGCCUAAUGAGAAGGAUAACGACAGAGAAUCAUCGAUAACACCACGUUCGAUGAUUAGACGUUCAAGGACUGGGAGAUGGCAUCUGAACAACUCAGGUACGAGAAACGCUAAUUUCGAGCAGUUAUAGAUUAACAGUGAUUUCAGUGUAGUGGGUAAACCAACUUUGUGCAGGGAUCUAGAAAAAAUACAAUCACAGAUUUUCAGAUCAUGAAUGUUGGUUUGCGAGAUUUCCUCCUCUAGCAGAGACUCCACAUAAUCACAUUUUCUAAUUGACAGCUGGUGUGGUGCCAUUGGAAGUUGACUCCACUGAGACACAUCUAAAAUUUCAAUUUCUGAAGUUUGAAGAGGUGUGAAGUCACAACCUGGCAUUUGCAACCGCAGUUUACCAAAAUCCACCAUCCUCAACUGACGAAUUGCAGGAACUGUGAGUGAAGCCAUAAGCAGCUGCGGACAUCCAUCAAUUUGAAGUUCCACCAAUGAAAGAAGCUGUUCUGGUAAUUUCCCAGUGAGUUUGGGACACUUUCGUAUAAAAAGCUUUUGGAGACGAGGGAAUUCUCCACAACAUAACCAUUUCUCCCAGUUCUUCAUAUCCUCAAAUGAUAGUGUUUCUAGGAAUUGAAAGGAAGCAUUCUCAUAUAACUCAUCACCCACACACUCUACUCCAUUCAUCCUUGAGAUUUGCAGAUAUUUAAGCUGGGUUAGCUGUCCAAGUGGUGGCAAUGUUGAGCAAUUGCCACAACCCCGAAGCUCAAGGGACACGAGAUUCAACACUGAAGGAUCUCCAAGCCAAUUUGGAAAUCCUUCACCAGGAUAGUUUGUGAUGGAGAGUUGUUUUAAAUUUGGAUGAGGUUGUAACUUGUUGAGUAUAUCAUGCGUUGUUGCACCACUUUGUGUAACACCACUGGUACCCCAACCAAAGAUUAACUCAUAAAGAUAACUUUUAUCCUUCAUAUUAGCCCUUAAUGCAUCAUUAACACUCACCACAUUCUCCAUGUUUGAAAUACAAAGUUUUCCUCGAAUCUCUGACAGCUCCCCCAAUUCUCCAAUUCUUAAUCCAUCGUUUUGGCCCACAAUAAAUUGAGUCAACCUUUGUAAACUUUUUAAUCGACCAAUUCCAUGACUUGACAUUUCUCUCAAUGAACCACAUCCAUCAAUAUCAAGAUAGCGCAAAUUAAUCAAUUUUCCCAUCUUUGAAGGCAAUUCAUCAAGUUUUGAACAAUUUCUCAGCAUCAUCGUUUGUAAAUUGCAUAAACAACAUGCUGAUUUAGGUAAUUUUUUAAUCCUCGUGGAAGACAAAUCCAAGUAACGCAAAUGUUUUAAAUUACCUAUCGAUUUAGGCAAAUCAGUUAUUGUAUAUGCACAUAAUGAUAACACGCGUAAACACCACAUUUUUGGUAAUAUAUCUUGCAAAACUCUUUUACUCAACUUAUACAAAGGAAGAUCAACCCAUGGCUUCACUCUUAAGAAUGUCCGAAGAGAUUUAGCUUUAGGGACAGCCUCAAAAUUCUUAAAUGCAACAAGCCUGGUAUCAUCACUAUUAAAGUACAAAAAGUGGCGAGCCUUCUCAGAUACUUCUGGUGGUAACUUAUCAUCAUCUUCCACUCGAGCACAAAAAUCUCCAGACACGUAUUGAGCCAAUUCAUGUAUUAGAUCAUGCAUUACAAAGCAUGAUCCUUCUAUUCCAAUAGAUUUUUGAAAGAAAGACUUGGCAAGAAGCUCAUCAAAAUAUGACUCACCGAUCUCUUCCAUUCUCCUUCCUUUGUUUUGUUGUGCAUGUAAAAGACCUUCUGCCAUCCAUAAUAAAAUCAGCUCCUCUUUGUUGAAUUGGUGGUCCUGGGGAAAAAUAGAACAAUAAGCAAAACAAUGCUUCAGAGGUAAAGAAAGAUGAUGGUAGCUUAAUAUCAAAGACGGAAGAAUUUCGGAGCCACGCUGCGGAUGCCAUAUUUCACUUCUCAACACAUCGUCCCAUUCCCUUUUUUCGUCCUUAGAAUACAAGAGACAGCCGAGUGCUUUCACAGCCAAAGGCAAUCCUUGGCACUUGUCCACAAUCUGUCUGCCUAUGCGUUGAAGCUCAAGGUAUGCGUUGGGGUCUCUAUCUUCAAAUGCAUGCUUUUUAAACAGGGACCAACUAUCUUCAGAGCUUAAUUCCCCAAGAUGAUGAGUAGGGACUGCUCGCAUGGUUGUUGCAACAGAUUGAUCACGACUGGUCACGACAAUCUUGCUUCCCUCUGCUGCGAGGAGUGGAGUUCGUAGAAUAUUCCAAACUUCACGAUCACUAAGCUCCAUAUAACCUUCAUCACGAGGCUUCAAAUUCCAGACGUCAUCAAGAACAAGCAGAAAUUUCUUGUUACGAAGUUGCUCUGUGAGUUGAAGCUGAAGCAAAUUUAGGUUGUCAGCGGAAGUAGGUGGAGAACCAAUUUCCUCAAGAAUUGUUUUGGUGAGUUUGAUAAGGAAAAACUCAGUGGAAACACAGACCCAUGCUUGCAAGUCGAAGUGUUUCUUCACUUCCUCAUUUUUAUAGAGACGCCGAGCAAGCGUGGUCUUGCCGCUGCCGCCCAUGCCCACUAUGGACAUCACCCCCAUUUUGUCGCCUGUUGUAUUGUCAGAACGCAACCACUCCACCAUCUCCUUCUGAAUUCCAUCCCUGCCGACAAAAAUGGAGUCAUGCUCCAAAGAAGUGGUUAUUGGUGAUCUUGGUCUUGGUGACCGUUUCUCGCCCCCACCUUCUGCCAGCCCCAACCCAACUUUUUCUAGUGCGAUUUUUUCCAGUUGAACAAUCAUGCCCCUGACCCUGGACUCCAUGCUUUUGAUAGCAAAUGGGGCCUUCACAGAAGCAGAGAACUUCUUCCAUUUCCACGCCUUAAGAGUUCCGUCGGUAACGAUCUCGUCCAGCAGGUCUUCCGCACCAUACACAGCAUCCUUGACAGGGACGAGCCACUCUUUGACAUUUGGGUUCGAAAAUUGCUUCACCUCCGCAUCAUCGAGCACAUUGUGAACAACCACGAGUUUCCUCUUCAACUCGUUGAGGAGUUCAUCGCUAAGGCUCCGUCGCCGAAUGAAGUUUAUGAGCUCUGGAGAAGCCAACCUUUCGAAUAGAACUUGAAGCGAAGUUGAGAGGAGGGCGUCCGCCAUAUCUGUGUCGACUGUUGCUUUGCAAUAGGAAUUCAGAGGAUUGGUUUCUGUUACCGCGAUACCACCAAACUGCAAAAGACUGGGUUUGGAUUACCACACUGCAGAAUGCUUGAAGGAAUCAUUAUUGGUGGUGGACCCAGCUGCCAGAUAUUGGUGGUGGACCCAGCUACACUGCAGAAUGCUUGAAGUUAUUGGUGGUGACCCAGCUGCCAAUAUUUGUCAAACACCAUAGUGGUGAGAAAAAGAACAGGAAAAGCGAGUGGGAGGUAGAUGCGCUUUCCCCAAGGAAAGCAGAAUCAACAACAGCAUUCGGUAUUUUUCUUUUUCAUCUACGCAUUUCUUCUUUCUUUCUUCUAGUAUUAUUAUUAGUAGACAUAUACACACAAAUAUUUGUUUAUAACAUUUUCAUUCUUAAUAUUAUAAAAUUUAUUAUUAAUAAUAUUUAUACUAAUAUUAUUUUUUAAUAAUUAUAUUAGUAUCAGGAUUUUAUAAUUAGUAUCCUUACUUUUAUUGCUUAUAAUAAUAAUUAUUAUUAUUAUAUUAUGUUAUUAUUAAAAUUUAUUAGUAUUUUCACAUAAACAAUGAUAUAUGCAUAAGACAUAUUAAAAUUUUGAAUAUUAUGGUUAUUAUUAUUUAAUAAUAAUAUUAUUAUUUGAUUCAAAAAAAGUUUAUAAUAUAAUAAUAACAAAAAUAAUUUUUUUAAUAAAAUAAAUUAUAAAAAUAUAAUAAUUUUAUUAUUUAUAAAAUACAUUUAUUUUAAUGCAAUUAAAAAAAUUAAAAUAAUUUUAAAAAAUUUAAAAAUUUUCAAAAAAAAGUUAAAUGGGACGGGAUUAGGAUGGGAUCGAUCCAUCCCAAUGUCGUCCCGUUGUCAUCCCUAACUCAUCUUGUGAUAAUUAAGGCCAUUUUUUAUCAUUGUUUUUUUAAAAUGGUCUUUUAUCCUUAAUAUAUAUAUAUAUAAUAAUUAGAAAUAAAACAUAAUUUUUGUUUUUAAAAAUAAAAAAUAAGGCAUUUUUAGAUCAUAUCCUUUUAGUUACUUUUAUUUGUUUUUAAAAAGUAAUUAUAUAAAUAUAAAAAAUAAAAUAAUUUAAAUAAAAUUUAUUUUUAAAAUAUAGAAAAUUAGUUAAUAACACUUUAUCUUCUCAAGCUCUUGUUUUAUAAAAUAUCAUAAAAUAAUUUUCAAAAACUUUUUUUUUUCACAAUUUUGACAAACAAAACGUGUUGCAAUAAUGCACUUAAAUUCAAUGAACCUAAAAGCCAAAUGUGCAGUGUUGACUUUUCAACAGAGAGUUCACACAUGCCCAUUUUUUUAAUUAAAGCACUAUUGAUAUAAAAUAUAUAUUUAAAUAAAAAUUAGACUUUUAAAAAAAUUAAAAUAUAUUUUUAAAAUUAAAAUAUAUUUUUAAAAUGUUAAAAAAAUAUUUACAAUAUUUCCUUAAAAAAAACAUCUUCCAAAAACAUUUCUUUAAAAAAUACUUCCACCGAUAACAAUUUAGACACACUUGUGAUUUAAUAGUUAAAUAUUCUUUCCAACAGGAAUUCAACUAUCAGUUUGUAUUACCACGAUACCACCAAACUGCAAAAGACUAAUUUUGGAUUACCAAAAUGCAGAAGAGCUGAAGGAAUCAUUGAUGGUGGACGACCCAGAUGUCCACAUUAUUUGUCAGACACCAUAAUUGAGUGAUGAGGAAAUGAAAGAAAAGAAAAUAAAAAACAAAAAAGGUGAUGCCAAACAUGGUCUUAUAAGGUGGGUGGAGCGAAAGCAACAAAGGAAACUAGCAGGAUUUUUCAUUGCUAUUCCAUACCUUAAAGGACAAAUUUUGAAUUACCAAAAUACAAAAGACUUGAAGGAAUCAUUGAUGGUGGUGGACCAGAUGUCCACAUUAUUUGCCAAACACCAUAAUUGAGUGAUGACAAAACAAAAGAAAAAGCAAAAAAGGUGAUGCCAACAUGGUCUUGUAAGGUGGGUGGAGCAAAAGCAACAAAACAAACUAGUAGGAUUUUUUUAUUGCUAUUCCAUAUCUCAAAUGACUAAUUUUGAAUUACCAAAAUAUAGAAGACAUGAAGGAAUCAUUGAUGGUGGUGGACCAAGAUGUUCACAUUAUUUGCCAAACACCAUAAUUGAGUGAUGAGAAAAUGAAAAACAAAAAAGGUGAUGACAAACAUGGUCUUGUAAGGUGGGUGGAGCGAAAGCAACAAAGUAAACUAGCAAGACUUUUCGUUGCUAUUCCAUACUUCAAAGGAUUGAUUUUGAAUCAUCAAAAUACAGAAUACUUGAUGGAAUCAUUGAUGGUGGUGGACCCCGAUGUCCAUAUUAUUUGCCAAACACCAUAAUUGAGUGAUGAGAAAAUGAAAAAAAAAAAAAAGUUAAGAAAAAACAAAGAAGUGAUGCCAAACAUGGUGUCGUGAGGUGGGUGGAGCAAAAACAACAAAACAAACUAGUAGGAUUUUUUGUUGUUAUUCCAUACUGAGAAAAUAAAGGGCUAUUCUAAAUAGAUAAAAACACCCAAGAGAGGAGGUGAAUAGAAGUUAAAAAAUUUCUUUUUAAACACAAUAAAAUUAAGCAUAAGAAGUACAAAUAUAAAGAAGUAAGGUUAUAGAAAGUAAACUCAAAUUUAUAGUGGUUCGACACUUCCUUACUUACAUCCACUCUCCUCAAGCUCCUAAUCGAGUGAGGGUUCCACUUAUACUUGAAGUUUCAACCAAACUUCUAAUCACUUUUUACACUUGGAUUCCAUCUCCAAUGGACUCUUACACAAUCUUUUCAAGUCUUUACUCACUUGAAGGUUUUAACACUCAAUUAACAAGUUUGAAUCUCUCAACCUAGCUCAACAAUGACUCAAAUACAACUCAAGGCUAGGAUGAAUCACUAAGGUGCACUAAAGAAUAUGCAAAUGAAAAUUUAAUGCACUAAUAAAAUAAUGAGAGCUUUUAUGGCAAUAAUAAGUAGGUAAACAAAUAAAUGCAAGUGUUCUCUUACUCAUAAAUGAGGUAGAGCUCUCAAUUUAUAGGUUUCUAACCUCAGGAGCUAAAAAGCCAAAAAACAGUCUCAACUGGUUGAACUGGGGGUUGACUGGUUCAUUAGCCGUUGGAACAUUAAAUGCUUGGCAGGUGACCGUUACCCUCGACCAAACCUUAACUGAGAAGGCAAAUCCAUCAACCAGGAAAGAAAGGCUACUAGAAGAGAGAGAAUGUUUUUCACAUCUCUCAACCGGACCUUGACAUAGAAAGAGUAAUCGGUAGACCGAUACCUUAGCUGAUUGAGCCGAUUGGCCAGUGCCUCGACUAGUUCACCAUUUUUAGUCUGAAAACCUAUCUUUUUCUGGUCUUUUUGCUUCUAGCACUUAGGUAAGGACUUUAGAUAAAAUAAUAUGUCAAUUUUGAAAUGUUUUGCCUAAGGUUCAUUUGAUAGAACUCGGAUUUUGAUGGAAAUGUAACUUUAAUGCAUAAACCGAGUUUUAAAGAUGUAUGAAAUGAUAUGAAUACCCUAAGUACACUCAUGCAUUCAUCUUACGUAUGUUUCCUAUGAUUAAAAGGUCGUUCAAAAGUCUUGAUCUUGCAUUCAUUAGGUCCUUUAAUGAAUUUCCAAAUUAACACCUGAAAUUCUUUAUAAUUCAAAUCAAUUAGUAACUUAACCAUGAUUUGUUAUAAUCAAAACAUGAUUAGGAGAAUCAUUGGGCUAACACAUACCUCAAAGGACUAAUUUUGAAUUACCAAAAUAUAGAAGACUUGAAGGAAUCACUAAUCUUUUUAUAAUUUAGAAAAAUAAGUAAAACGAGUUUGAAGAAAUGUAUAAAAAUAAUUUAUUAAAUUUAAAUUUAUUUCUUAUUUUCCUUCAUUUUUUCUUUUUUUCUACUUUUUCUUUCUAUUUUCUUUCCUUCUCGUUUUCCCUCAAAUUUUCCAAGAGCCAAAUAUAGCUUAAAGGUUUAGAAUCUUAUGCACAAGACUUUCAAUUUUUUUUACAAUAUUAUUUUAUUAGUUAAGAAUUAAAAUUUAAUGUACCAUAUCUAACACUAACAAAAAAAUUUAUAACAACCAAUCUUAUCUUUUAAGAAUAUAUUGUUUAAAUGAGAUUAAAAAUUAAAAAUAAAUUUUAAUUCAUUUAACAACUAAAUUAAAAUGAAAUUUAUAUAUAUAUAUCAUAAAUUUAUACAAUUUUGAAUCAUUUUAUAUGGAGGAUUGAGAAUGGAGAGAUUGAAGAAUUGUUUGGUGACGAGGAGAUUGAUCGAAGAUUUUAUAGUCUUAAGGUUCUAUGGGAUGAAAUUUUUUGUAAAGAGUUUAAAUUUUUGUAAAAAAUAAAAUUAGUUUUAUGUUAUUUGAUUUCAUGGAAAUACAAAGUUUUAAUUCAAAGAUUAUGUUUUAAAAAUAUUAUUUUUAAAAUAUAUUUAGUAAAGAUUUAUAAAAAUUUAAAAUUAAAAUUAGUUAAUCUAUCAACUAAAUUAAAAUAAGAUUUAUAUAUUAUUUUUAUAGAUUUACAUGUGUAAAAUCUUUAAAAUGCCUCAACUUAAAAUAUCCUUACAAAAUUUCAUUAAUCUACUAGCAAUCUGCAUAUUGUCUCUACAUAGAGUCAAUUUGCAUUAGGAUGAAUACCAUCAUAAUAAUAAUUACGCUCCACAUAUGAUGUAUCUUAACAUCCACUUGGAGGUUAAAAAAUAAUUAAAGUAAGGGAAACUAAUAUAUUUAAAAUUUAAAAAUCAUUAUGAAGAUUUGGACAAUAAUUCAAGUAGGCAUCUUUGAAAUUUGGCUUCCAAAUCCCUUUGUCAAUAUACACCACCCUAUGACAAUUAAAUAAAUUAAAAGAAGGAAAAAAAAUGUUAAAGGAAUGACAAAACAUAGGGAACAAUUAUAUUUAAGGAGUGGAUGGAGUUGAUAAUGACUAAAGGGUACAAAUCUUGCAUAAUUGAACUAAAAAGGUAGAAAAGGUUUGUAGAUUGUUGUGGAAGAUAUAAACCCACUUUGUGAGUCAAAAAUGCUCAAAAUACCCUUAAGGGUGUUUUUUAAAAAAGGACAAUUAAGUACUCAUGAUAAUUAAUAUAUUAAGAUUUCAAGAAAAAUUAAUAAUAAAUAAAAUCUUUUUCUAAAUCUAUUUAACAAUCAUAUAGUUUUUAUUUUAUUUUAUUUUUUCAAGUGGCAACUAUUAUCUUAAUUUAUUUUUCAUUUUAAGGUUCAAUUAUUAUUAUUCUUUAUUUUGAAAUUUAAUUAAAUGAAACUGUAUAAGACAUGUUUAUAUUAAUUAGCUAAAAAGGAUAGAUUUUUUAGCAAUAUGAUUAAAAUAAAUAAAAACAAGGAAUUUGAUUUUCUUUAUAAAAUAGAUUAGGAAAAGUAUAUUUCGAUACAUUCGUAUGAAAAAAAAAUUCAUAAAAUAGGAACUCAAGUUUAUAAAAUACAAAUUUUAAGCAUUCAUCUAAAAAUAAUUAUCAUUUCAUGCAUUUUUUUUGUCAAAUAUAUUAUAUUUGAUAAUUUAGGUAUUAUAUUUUAAUAAUAUAAGUAGUACCUUUGACCCCCAUAAAACUUGAAUUAUUUUAAAUAGUUUCUAUUAUAUAAUUAUUUAACCAUUUGAUAUAAAUAUUAAAUAAUAAAAAAUAUAUCAUUUUUUAAAGAAUUUUAAUUAUAUUUGACUUUCUUUUGUAUUUUCUAUGGUGUAAUUCACAUAUGAGAAAAUCAUUUUCUUUAACAUUUUUUUUUCUUUCCUUAAUAAUUUUCGAGAACCAAACAAGGCUUGUAGGUUUGAAUUAUAGGGUAUAGAUGCCAAAAAUACCAGAAUGAGUUUGGGUUUUCAUGCUAAAUGUCUUUAUUAUUAUUUGGUAGCACUUUUCCAAAAUUGUUCCAUUCCCAAAACCACUUAAUUUGCUUAAAUAUUUUUACCUCACGAUAUCAUAACAUUAUAAUGGAAUAGAUUUUGUUGGUGUUCAAAUCAUGUCAACUCAAUUUCCAAACCAUUCGGAUUGUCAUUUGGUGAAAAAUAGAAAGAAAUUUUACUUUAUUGAAAAGCAUUUCAUUUUGAUUUGAAUAUGCUGCAAUGAAAUAGUUACUAAACCAUGGGGUAGCAGAAGAAGUAAUCGAGAAAAUGAAGAAGGAUGUUCAAGAAUUCUUUAUGCUGCCAUUGGAGAAGUUUUCAAGAUUUCUCCUGAGUAGAAAACUUAAUGGUAAGAGUACAAUAAGUCAUAUGAAAUUGGAGAACUGAAAGAGCAUAAGAACCAUGUUUUAUUAAAAGACCUGUGAAAGUUUAAUCAGUCAUGGAACUACUAAGAGGGGAUGAAUUAACAGUUUUCUUAAAUUUUGUCCAAAGUUAUGAAUUUUUAUUUUUUAUAAUUUUUUUUUACUUAAAUUGAAACUUAUUAAUCAAGGUAAGAUUUCAGCCACAUCGAGAAACAAUUUACGUGAAAAGGGACUGAUAAAAUCUUGAGUUUACAGAUGUAAAAACCAUAAGGCCAAAGACUGUAGAACUCCAACCCACUGAAUCAAGAAUAGAAACACAAAUUUAUCUACCAACCUACACUAAUCUCAUAUCUACAAUGCAACACCAUCGUACUCUUAAGUGACUUGAAAGGAUGUGAAUAUUUCUCACAAACUUCAUAAUGAAAUUCAAAUUAGCUCUGAGAGUUUUGGGUUAGGCACAAAGAGUAAUAAUGCAUAGCUUUUGUGUGUGAGUUUUUAAGUGAACUUAAGACUCAAUUUAAAGCAUGUAUUUUACUAAAAAUAAAAAAAUAAAUUUAAGAAACUUCAAGAAUUUUGGAAAGAUAAAUUUUAAAAAAAAUUCAAAGAGAGUCAGAAAAUGUUUCCUUUUUAAAUUCUCAAUUUAAUUUAUUUUCAAAUUUAUUAAGAGUUUAAGAAAUAUUUUCUUUUUAAAUUAUCAAUUUAAAACUCUCUUUUAAAUUAAUUUUAUUAUUAAUUUUCAUGCAAGUCUACUCUAUACAUUUUACAUCGUUAUUCUCAAUUAACUCAACAAUAUUAGAGUGUAACAUCCCCAAUUGAUUUUGCACCAACCUUAAGUCUUCAAAGACAAUGAUUGAGGCAUUUCUUCUCCUAUUUUCUCCGAUGUAGAAAAAAAACUUGAAUAAGGUUAAAGCUGGUCUAUAGCAAAAAGUCUUAAUUUGAGUUAGCCUCUUUUUUUUUUUCCAAAUGAUAUGCAGGUCCAUCUAGCCUUCAACUCAAAUUUUUUAUUCAAAAAUCACAUGUGGAUAUGUGAACAAGUAAAAGUUGAGUUUUACCUAACAAAUCAUUUUGAAAAUUAGGAAAUUUAAAAGGUAUUAGUUUGUUAAACUCACCACCCCUGUCUAUUCUACAAAACAAGAAGAUUAGCAAAGAAAAAGUAUUCAUAUUUGUACUACAAAAUAAAAAGAUUAGCAAAGAGAGAAAUUGUACCCAUGAGUGCAGAGUUUUGGGUUAAAACAACCCUUUUGAUGGGAAAAAUAUUAAAUUUAACCACUUUGUCAAACUAAUGUGUAAAAUGAUCCUUUUAUUAUCACAUAGGAGUCAUAUCACUAAUAUAUAUAUAUAUAUAUAUAUAUAUAUUUAAUUUAAGUUGAAGCCUCAAUUGCCAAUUAAGGCUUCAAUUAUCAAUUAUGACUUUAUUUUUAACCCGAAACCUUACUUGCCAAUUGAGGUUUCAACUAAAAAAAGAAACCUCAAUCGUCAACUAAGACUUAAUUUUUUAAUUGAAGCCUCAAUUGACAAUUGCGGUUUUAUUUUAAAACUGAAAUCUCAAUUGUCAAUUGAGGCUUUACUUUUGUGGAAGGAUUAUGUGACACUCACGUUACUAGAAAAAAGCCAUACUGAAUAUAAGUUUCAAAAGUGGCUUAAAAGGUAUAAAUUUUAUGAUCAAAGAUGCCAUUUUGACCCAAAAUCCCAUGGGUGCAUGAGACUCUAGUUAAUCAUAGAUUUCAUAGAUAAAAAUCAGAGUUAGGAUGAUUCAACCCCUAAGCGUCAAGAAUUCUUUAACAUAAUGUUAGAACAUUUUCCAAUUUAAAUUCGAGAGUUGACUUUAUUUGAAUGUGCUUUUGAUUUUUUUUUUUAAAUAAGCUUCAGUGUUUUUUUUAAAAAGAAAUAAAAAUAAAUAAAAAUAGGAGCUUCUAUAUAGAAAGUAAAAAUUUUAUCCAACAAAUAUAAGGCUCACCUUAUAUCCUUAUAAAAUAAAAAAUUUUAAAUUUUUUAAUACCUCAAAAUUUUUAAUCAAUAUUUAAAUAUCAUUAUAUUUUCAAUAUGAUUCCUUUAAAAGUUAAAAUUACUUAUAUUUUUUAUUUUCAAAAAAAAAAUAUAUAUAUAUAAGUAAUUUUAUGUUUUUUAAUUAUUAAGAUGGAUGAAAUAAUCCCAAAUUUGCAAAAAUAACUUCUUCUAUGUUUGAAUUUGAAAAAUAACUCAUUUCCAACAUAAAUACUCUUCAAUAUUUGGAUUAUUUUAAUAUAAAUUUUAGAAGAAAGUGUUAUUUUGACAGGAAAACAUGAAAGACAUUUUUGUUAAAAAUUGAUCUUUUUUUAAGGCUAAAAUAUAUAUAGGUUUAUAUUUACAAAUUUGAGACUAUUUCGUCCUCUUAAUCAAAUAACUUAAAAAAGAAAAGAGUUAAUUCCACAAGUGGGUUUAAAAUACUCACAAAAUUGCAAUAUAUAUAUAUAUAUAUAUAUAUAUAUAUAUAUAUAUAUAUAUAUAUAUAUAUAUAUAUAUGAAAUUACAAAUUUACCCUCGUGUGUUGAGCACAUGACACUUCCAUUCAUUAAAGCUAACAUUGUUAAAUAACAAAUGUACAUUGCAACUAUUUAAGAAGUAUGAAGGGCACAUUGCUUGAUUUUAGUACAUGGUGAGAAACUUGUUGAACAAGUUAUGUGUAAAGUUUUAUGGUUCAUGUAUGAUAGAAAAUACAGAUCUACUACAACACUGGAUUUGCAAUUUGGGUUAAUAUUUAAAGAAAAGACCAUAGGACAAAAAGAAUUAAACUUUUGGUGGAAAACAAUAAAGAAAGGACUACAUGGAAAAAGGGAAGAGAUCAUUAUAAAGGAAGAUUAUUGAAUAGAAAUAAUUCCAAGAACCUAAGGCAAGACAUAGAGUAUCACUACUACUAUCACAAAAAGGGGUAUAUCAUAAAAUUUAUGAAAUUUUGAAAAAGACCUAAAAAAUGAAGAAAAAAAAAAACAAAUCAAAGAAGCCUACAAGUGUAACUAGUGUUCUUAAAGUUGCGAAAUGAAGGUAAUAAAUCAAAAGUAGAUUUGUUAAUAGUUUUUAAAAUGCUUGAAUUAGGAAUUGUCUACUUGUACCAUACAAGCCCUUGUAGAGACUGGUUUGACAUGUAAAUUGUUUGUAAAAUCAUUUUAAUGGGCAAUAAUGCACCAAGUUGCUCCACGAGAAGGGGAGGGGUUUGUGAAACCAUCACUUGUCAUGACAUACAUCGUCGGGUAAUCACGGAUGAGGGCAUCCACGGGAGGCCAAUGUCUACCCUCGCUCCACACCCCUCUAGUACAAGGCUCUAGGAGGGAGAGAGGCAACAAGUGUGUGACACCAAGGUAAAUAUGCUUGACCUUAUGGCUUUGGGAGCAACUUGCAUUGAAAGACUUGAUGAUUCACAAGAUUCUACAAUUCAUACAAAGUAUUGCAUUUUGCGACGUUCUUCAUCAAUAAGAGAGCCUAGAUAUCCAUUGUCAAGAAUUCUUUAUGUAUGAAAACAAAGGCGCCUAACCGACAUGCCCAAGAUCAAGGCAACUGGAGCGUGUUGCUUCGCCCAAGUUACUUAGCGCGUUUUGUGCCAAAGUUUGUUGUUCGCUCAAGAGGGCUUUUGUGAAUCUUUGUAAUAAAGGGAUAAUACAGAGUGGGCCGUAAUUUAGCAUCUUACACGCUUAGUUUCUUCCAUUGGUGGCAUAUAUUAUUUUGUCUGUCAUUGGUGAUUAUUUAAUAAAACUAUGAGAGUAUUUCAUGAAAUAUAAAUAAGAGGUUUUUAGGAUAUUUAAUCGAUGGUAAACAAAAGUUGAAAACUAAGUAGGGAGGAAGAUAAAAUAUUUUAGAUUUGAUAGUGGACUUGAGCAUUAGAACAAGAAGUUCACAAAGUAUUGCGAGAAUUCUUAUAUUACUUAACAUCACAUGUAAAGAAAUUACAAAGCAAAAUGGAGUGGUUGAAAAGAUGAAUAGAACACCAUUGGAAUGACUAGGUGGCUAAGAUUAACCAUUGGGUUACUUAAGAAUUUAAGGGCUAAAGCUAUCAACAUAACUUAUCAUGUAAUUACUUAGUUGUCAAGUUUUACAAUUAUUUUCAAUAUUCCAAAAGAAGUGUCAAGUAAAUCAAUUGACUUUUCAUCUAUUGAAAUAUUUGAUUGUUGCACUUAUAUUCAUAUAUAGGUGAAAAAAAAAUUCAAUCCAAAAUAAAAAAGGUAUAUAUUCCUUGGGUUUGAAAAAAGGAUUGAUUAAAGACUAUAGACUUUGGGAUCCAACAAUUAAAGAAAAAAAAGUGGUGAGCAGAGAUGAAUUCAAUGAAAAACAUAUGUUAAAGAAAGAUCAAGGACAAAUGAAAUUGGUAUUGAAAAAAAAUUCAACUACAUGACCAAUCAUCGAGAUGAAAUUUGAGAAAAAUGUCAUUAAAUAUGAAAUCCCUCCUAAUUGAUGUCCCUAUUAGAACUUUAUAUGGGCAUCUUUCUCUAUUGCUCUAAAGAAUCAUCGAAUUGGGUAAGGACAUCAAUUUUAAGAUUUUAAUUUUUUUUCAUUAUUUAUUGGAAUAGGAGAUCUUUAAAUUUUUUUGGGGCUCAAUUAGGAAGGAUGAUAGUUAUCAAUGUGUUGGUGCUAUGUCAAAUGAGAAUCCAAUGCACAUGUUGACUAAAGUUGUUCUUAAGGAUAAGUUCAAGCAUUGGUUGAAUGUCAUUAAUUUUUCAUUUUGUAGAACAUGGAAGGUCAAUUUUAUCGAAGAGCCAGGUCAAUCAACUUCUAUUAGGACUUCCAUUGAUUCUUGAUUUGACUAGAGGGACUCCUAGCAGUAAAUUUGUAUGAAGGGGCCCUACGGAGAUGCAAGAGCUGCCAAUCGGAUCGACCAAUAAAUGAUAGGCCCAUGCAGAGAUGUCCCUGAAAUAGGGGAUUGGUUGAUUGGAAAGCUUAGGCAGAGUAUAAAGGAGAACAAUUUAGCAUUUUGGGAAAAGCACAUAUGAAGAUGUUUACAAGUUUGGAAAUUUGAGUUAAAGAAGAGAUGGUCUAAAAAUGUUUCAAAUUUCAAUUUUAUGUUUUUCUAAGUUUGAUAUAUCCUAUUUGGAUAUUUGGGAAGUCUUCUCUUGUUACAUAAGGUAGUCCUAUGAUGAGAUUUGUUAUGAAAAUAGGUUCUUCCUCGUGUGAAAUAUUCCUAUGAAAUUAAGAAGGAAUAUAGGAAGAGUUUUUAUUGAAAUUAUGAAUCUUUUUUUUAUGUAAUUAGAACUAAAAUAUGAGAGUUUUAGAAUUGUAAUUACACCUUUGAAUAUAAAUAAUUGAUAAUAGUGAAUUAAUUUACCUUCUCCCUCUAGAUGUAGGUAAAUGCUAAAUUAUGUUAAAUCUUGUAUUCUCAUAUGAUUUUUUUUUUCAUUUAUUUUUCAUUUUCUUGCCCAUUUCUAACUUGCUACUACAUAAUAACAGGUGGUAUCAGGCUUUUUGUGUUUGCACAACAAAUGGUCUCAGUUUUUCCAGCACCACAAAAAUGAUAUUUUACUUAAUUGCUCCUCAGUGGAAAAGUUGGAAAGAAAAAUUAAAUCAUCGACUACACCUUUUUUUUUUUUUCCAAAACUUUUCUUGUCUUUGUGCAAGAAAAUUAGUAUAUUUUCUCUUUAGUAUUUGUUUCUCAUUUAUAUAUAUAUAUAUAUAUAUAUUCAAAUGGAACCUUAAUCAUCUUUUAUAUGAAGUAUAAAAGAAUUAGAAAAUAUUCAAAUUUUAAAUGAUUUUUAUUAUACUUUGUCCACUUCCUAUUUCAUAUAUCAAAUUACAAUAGAAUUUAAAAUUCUUUUAUAAGUUUUUUCUCCCUUUGCUACCACAUAAACGCAAAGACAGUAUGUGAGUUAAAUACCUUAAAAGAAAAAGAAAUUAAAAUGUGAUACAAAACAAAAGUAACCUCUUUAAAUUCAAGGAAACAAAACACUAAACUUUUUCAUGUAUUUUAUUCCAUUUAUAAAUGCAACAUGACAAAAAUAGACAAAAAUAUAAAUGGAAACCCUUUGGGUCCUUUAUUUUAUAUUUUAUCAACUUCAACCAAUUCUAUUUCUAUAGCACAACCGAUAUUAUAAAGUUCAAUGAGUAUAUAAUAUAUAAAGAUACUAAUCAAUACGAAUUAUUCUUUCUUUCAAAUGGCUACUUGUAUUAAAAAUUAAAUGUAAUUCCUCCUAAACAAUAAAAUAUGUUGACACGAUUUCAAUGAAUAUACAGUACAUAAAGAUAUGACCAAUUAGUACGAAUUAUUCUUUCUUUUAAAUAGCUACUUAUACUAAAAUAUAAGUAAACAUAAUUCCUCCUAGAUAAUAAAAUAUGUUGACACAAGGAGGAAUAUAUUUACUAAUUAUAUCAUUUGCAAUAGCCUCAAUCUCGUGACGUUCUUCGAACCAACCAUAGACUUUAUUGAGAUAGGUUAACCAAGGGAGCUUCCACUCUCAUAACUCGUAUAUGAAAAUUUCAUCUUGUACAACUCAAAUAGAAACCCAUAAAUACCAGUUGAAACCAAAAUGUAAUAAAUAAAUAAAAACAUAUUUCAAUGGAUCCAAUUAGUAUUUUUCUGAUCUCGGAUAAACAAACAAAUUUUUCUUCAUUUUGUUUUUUUUUCCAUUAAUCUUUGUAAGUAAAUUAUAUUUUAAUUUAACAAAGCACUAAACUUUACUUUAAUUUUCAUGCAGGAUCAACUAGCUUAUCAUAAUAAAAUUUAUCAAUAUAGCUGAGCAGAGAUUUGAUGUAAUAAUACCAUACAAAAUUCAAGUAAAAUUAAAUUAAUCAAAUAGGACACUACGGUCAUAUUUGGAUACAUAUUCUAUUUUUUAUUUUUAAAAUUAAAAUUUUGAUAUAAAAUAUGACAACCCUUUGUAUAAAAAAUAAAAAUUUAUCCUAUAAUCUUAAAACUACUUUUCAAUAUUAAAAAAAAAUGAGGACGUGUCCUAAAAUUUUAAACAAAUUUAAAAAUAUUUUUAAAUACCAAGAUAUCCACUUUUUUCUUUUUUAAUAAAAAUUCCUAUAUUUGAUAUAAAACUCUAUUUUAAAAAAUGAAAAAUAAAAAAUGUAUCCAAACAUAAGCAAAAUUGUUAGAUUUCAUUGUGAGAUUUCUUAGAUUCUACAAUUCAUAGUGAAAUGAAGACGAGAGAUAACUGACUGAAUUAUGAAAAAAAAAAUUAACAUUGAUGAGAUUCAAAAAUGCUAGUUAAUGAAAGAGUUUCUCCGCCAGGAUGACUAAGAAAAAUGCUGAAAAAUGUGUCAUGCCCAAAGCAAUGUUACAAUGAAGAAUAGAAUGAGAGCUAACCCGAAACAAAAUCCGACAAUCGCCAUGAAAGCCUGGAUGCAGAGGAAAUGUAACUAGAGACAUGUAAGGAAUCAUUAAGCAAGUGAGAACAAUAUCAAAAUCUCAUGUACGACUUACUUACCUUUCCCUGAGAUUCAAACUUGAAUUUUACUGUAAACCAUGACAAUCCUCUAUCUACAAUAGGUGCAAGUGCAAGGGCCCUGCAUGAGAAGCACCUCUACAAAAAUCACAGAAAACCCAAAGGAAAAAAAAAAAAAAAGAGUAAAUAAAUAGAAACUAGUCUAUCAGAAACCAGGAGGCUGCAACAAAUAAUCUCCAAAUGUCAGAUUUAAUAUUUAUUUACAAAUGCCACUAAAAGGCCUUUUCAUCAGAGAAAUCUAGAAUAAAAAAGGAUAAGGAGCCAUUUGGAUUACAGAGGUCAAAGAUUGGGUUGGAUGGGAGCAAGUUUAACCUCCUCAGUGAAAAUGAAAAUGCAAGGCCCAUCAUCAACGCUAGGUUCAAAAAUUGACACCAUUUCUUGAAGACUUUCUUUUUUCAUUCUUCAAUUGUCAUUUUGAUUCAAAGAAGCAGCAGCAUGAUAGACUAAACAAUCAUCAUAAACCCAGUUGCAAGUUAUAAGGAUAAGAAAGAAAAUGAACAGAAAACAUAUAUGAGAGAACUGAUAGGCCAAAAAAAUCAUUGUUGAAGGAAUCGAGCAUAAAUCUCUGAACAAAAUUUAGCUGAAAUUCACUGAUUUUGGGUUAUUUUGUGAUAAGAGCAUUGCAAUAUCCCAAUAAACUGUUACGCUAACUAAAGAUUUAAAACAGAAUUUAGCUGCUUACCCUCCAGCUCUGACAAGUUUAGUGACCUGGCUGCCUGCCCACACCAUAGCCAUGAUUUUGACAAAUCUGCCAAUUGGAUUCCAUGUCAAGAUAUUUUGAAAAACUUGUGCAAAAAGAAACUUUUUGGAAUAAGUUUUUACCUUUCAACUGCCGCCAAAUAACCCAUCCUUCCUGGUGCUGGAGCAAUAUAAAACCUAGAAGCAGCAUAGUGAAUUCAGAGUUAUACUGGUUAUUUGAAAUCUACUCUGAACACCUAUGAUAGAGACUGCAGGAUGUGGUAAAACACUAAGGCAUAUUUCAAACUACAUUAUAAGGUAUUUGAUUAGAAAAUUAAAUAAAUAAAUAAAUAAAUAAAAUAACAUAACAUAAAAUACAAAAAAGAAAAAAAAAAUUAACAAACUGAAUUUGUCCAUAUGCAACAAUAUGCAAUUGUUAGCCAUGAAUCCCAGUUAUGUCGGUUUCCAGUAUUAAUAAUUAAGCAUGAUGUUUAUGAACUAGACCAGCAUUCUAAUAACUCUAGAUUGAAGGGCAUGGAUGUCACAUUUGUAUUCCAUCAUGUGCAACUAACAUCACAUUGAAAUAAUAUCCACUAAAGCAAGUUAAGACCCAGUAUAUCAGAUUAAAUUUUUUCUACCAUGAACAUAAGCUUGAUAAAAAUGAAGAUGGAAAUGCAAUACUUCUUUAUAUGACAUAAUGAAGGGAACCAAAUACAAGGACUCCCCAUUCCAGAUGCAGAAAGCCAAGUUACAACCUUUGCCAAAUAAAGAGAUCCACCAUAAGUUCAUUUUUAGACAUGCUAUAGUUGAAUAUGCCAUCAGUAAGUGAUCAAAAGCCAAUUCAGAUGGGAAUAACAGCCACAAUGUUGGGAAGGUCAAUAACAAAAGCAUUGACUUGAAUGUUGGCAGUGUCAUUUACACUGGCCAUAAGAACCAGAGGUAAUGCAUACAGUUGGUAAGGUGGGGAGGAGGAGAUGAGAAAUUGAAAAGUCUUGAAUUUAUUUGUUUCAUGCAAUUCCGUUUUCCAAUACUCUAUACGAUAAUAUACAUUGUACAGCACAAGAAUAGGGUUGUUUUAAAAUUUUGAACAAAUAAAAAUUUCAUAUCAAUAUCUAAUAUUUAAUAAAAAAGAAUGAAACAAGAGUAAGUACAUUCUCUUCUCCUUAACAUGGUAUUAAAGCAGUCUCCAAACUCUUAACUCCUAGUUGCAUACUUGAUUUGCACUGGAAGUUGCAGUUUGCUCAUUUUGUUAUUCAAGUAAGUUACUUCAAUCUAUCAUAGUUUAAAUGACUUGGGACGGUAGUUGUCAUGGGCACGAAUUUUCCCACAAAUUUUUCGCAUUCACACAGCGCUUAGAAGCCCUCUAAGCCAACAUACUCAAACCCACAUGAGAUUGCAAUCAAGAAAAACCUCACAAAGACACACAAGGCUAUGGAGCUCAAUCCCUAACUUGUAUUUUAUUUCUUCUCUAAAUAACAAUACCAGACAUAGCUUAACAAGACUUCCACAAUCUCUUUGGUGAGUUCAUGCUCUCUCUCAAGCUAUGUAUAUUCUCUAUGAUCUCCAGAUUGCACGAUAAUUCAAAGGGCACUCCAGUCCUCCUUUUAUAGGUGUGACACCAACCACUCCCUAUUUGAUAAGGAGCAACGAAUCCUAGUUCUACUCAAACUACAAUUAAAAUAAGAAUCUAAACUCCUAUUCAAACUCAAAUUACAAUAACAAUUUGAAUUCAACUCUGAACUUUCAAAUGUCUUCGGCCCAUUCCUCUUUCAUUUGAAACUCCUUGUAUCAGGCCACAUAUCAGCCCUUCAAUUCCCUGGUUUGUGGUGCAAUAUAUCUUCCUUAAGCUUGUCCCAAUGCCAAGACAUCUUUGUUGUGUUCUGCCUGAAGUCUACCCACUCUUGUGCCUUGAGUCAGUCCAUUCAUGCAUUUGAAUCAGCUGAUGCAUCCGAUCAGCUUGCUAUAGCGUCUCUAGGCAGCCUACUACAUGUGUCUCUAUGCAACUAGUGUGCAUGCCAAGCCCUCUCUUAGCCUACAGAUCUAGCAAUUUUCCUUGGUGCCAAUCUUUCCUUUGGCUGUAGCCCCUUGUUGUUCCUUGAGCGUGUCAGUCAUGCUCAUAUGUGUUCCCGCAUCUGGAUCACGUCCAUGCUGAGGCAACCUGCCCAAGUUUGCUCUGCCUAGCUGUUGUUAUGGCAUCAUGCCAUGCCCAAGCCCUCUUCUUGGUGCAGCAACGAGUCAUGGCAUUGCACCCAUGACUCCUCAUCUCUAUGCACAAGGCAUUGUGCCCUUGUGCCACGCCACCUCAUUGCACAAGGCAUUUCCCCCUCAUGCUACCGUUGGGAAGGGAAGACUGCAUAGCACCCCAUGUCGUUGCAACCUUGAGUUGCACACCAUCACAUGUCAUGGAGCCCAUAUAUGGUUGCUAGCAAGGCUUGCCCAUGUGCCUUGCUCAUGUUUGAGGACUUGCACCAAAGCCCCUAAGUGUGGCCAUGCCCAUGCCACCUCGUCUCCCUUGAGUCACCCCCACCCUCACCCCCCUUAAAAGAGCAUUUUAAGCCCUUUUAAUUAAUUCAAGAAAAUCUAGAAAAUUUUGCUUCCACUUGGAGUCUCCCUUUUGAAGGUUCCUAUAAAUCUUUUAUCUCUAAGCGAAUUAACCAAGUCACUUAAUUGUUUUGCAACAUUCCUUCCCUUCCCAUAGUGUAUUUCAAGAUCUCUUAAUGAACAAGACAAUUGGUGGAGGGCAUGAAGUAAGUGGAAUUUAUCACCAUAUUGGCCCACCUUUUACUCCAAUUGCUCUACGUACUUCCAUUUCUUCUAUGUAGUGGCACACCUUUCACUACGCAUCUUUAGCAUAUGGGACUUCUAGUUAUAUUGGACUCCAAGUUAAAGCACCAAGUUUGUGAGUCAAGCAAAUAGCAUCACCAUAGUGUUGUUCUAGUCCUUUUUGUUCUAUAAUCAAUAAGAGGAGUACUAGUCCUUUUCAUCUUGUUCAUUUAGACAUUUACAGUUUAUGUAGUGUUGUUCCUAAUGUUGAACUAAACUUUUUUAUUGCUAUUUUAUUAAUUAGAUCAAUGAAAAUGGUAUGAGCAUAAAGAGGCUGAAUAAUAGGUACUAAUCUCUUAAAAAAAACUAUCUUGUAGAAACAUCAUCAGGUGACUAUGCACAAGUAAAUGGUCUGACAAGGCGUGAGAAAAACAUUCAUUUUUGUGCAACAACCAAGUAUUUGCAUCUUAAUCAACCAAAGAAUAAAUGGCUGAAGACAAUAAAUGACUGAACAAAAAGAAAAUCAUAAGUUUUAGGCCAGACACUUUUUUCAUCAAUUAUAUACAACAACAAUAAAUCAAAUAGUCCUAAAUUUCAAAAGAAUAAUGCUCAGCAGCUAUGCAUACUCACAAGUCACAAAUACCUCAUCCUUGACUAAUUUACAUGAAUGAAUUAUUUACUUACCAUACCAAGAGAAACGUUGUAAGAUAGUAUGCAGUAUUCAGGAGUCCAUAGGAUAAUAUUCCAGAAAUUCCAUAUCUCUUCAGUUUCUUUAGAAGACUGAAAGGUUAAGCAAGAAUGAGCUCUCAAUGUAAGUAGACAUGCAUUUCAGCAUACAAAGGGCAAAAGGAUUGAGGUAUCACUUCUUACAGAUUGUUUGCAUGAAAUUCAGUAGUAGAAGAGAAAUUAAAAUGAUUGGGACAAGAUCACUCAUCCAAACAAUAGUUUAUUUACAGAGAAAAGGUCUAAAGCAUAAUCAUGCAGUAGACAAAAUGAAUCUUUUGUGUCAUGUUCCAAUAAUGUUAACAAACUACAUUAAAUUCAUAAGGUUACAUAGAAAAAGAAAGAAAAGACAUUGUUGCAAUAGUUUGGUUGUUACACUGCUAGCACCCAGACUACGACCAAAUCCUUGCAUUGAAAUUGAAUUUCAAACUCCCAAUGUGAAAAAGGAAGAUACAAAAAAGAAAAGAAAAACAGGAGGAAAAAAAAAAAAACAGAGGGAAAGAAAAGAAACAUGGGAUUUCCAUGUAUAAUACAUACAUAUUAUAUCUAUAGAUAAAUGCAUGUAUGUGCAUAUGUCAUAGAGGCUGGUCAGACACAUUUCAAGAAGUUUCACAACUUGCUUUGGAAUGACAAACACGUGGAUCAAUAAAUGGCUUGUCUCCAUUAUUGAGAAAUUGCAGGUAAAUUUCAUCCACUACAGGCAUGGGGUGGCUGGACAAAGUUAUGCCAUUUGGUGGGAUGUAGUGGACUUAAGACAGAAAAUUCUCAAUCAUUCUUCUGUCCCUUGUGCAGUGUUGAAGCUGACAAUAUUAUUGAGCAUACAAGGAAUGUGAUGUAAAACAUCAUUGAGGACCAUGAGCUGCGAAGGCAGGGAGAAAUUAAGUUAUGAUUAAGUUUUGGUGAGGGAUUUUCAGAUGCAGAUCAUAUGGCAAAUUAACUUCAGAGAAUUGCAUGUUUUUAUUCAUUUCCAUACACAUUGAAUAAUCAUAUUUAAAAUCCCUCAUUCACUUGUUUCGCUUCCAUUAGUGCUCCUUCCACAUGCCUAUUAGCAGCAUAGACCUCAUGAUAGUUUGGUAAAGGUAAGACAAUAAAAUUGAAAAAUACAGCUAAAGCCUAAAAUAUUGGCUCAUAAAGAGAGAAACCAUCCAAGUUCUAUCUUAAAUGACUCUACAAGUUCUAAACAGGGAGACAAGGACUUCAACCUGGUCCAUCAAUGCAUAUAAAUGGGUAAUCAUUCCAACAACCAUUACGUUAGAAGUACACUAAAAGAAAAUUAUUAAACAAUGUUGUUUCCAAAAAUUCCAUGUUAAAGAAUAGAAGAACAUACUGCUAUAAAUGAAAUUCAUUCAAAACAGUUCAAACAGUAAAGUUAAGAAUUGUGACUGCAUAUUUUUUUUUAAAAGAAACAAGAAUUGUGACUGCAUAUCACCACACUUGUUUUAUUUAUAAUCCACACAAUGUAUUCUUCCCUAGCAUGUUAUCCCAUUAAGUAACCUCCAGAUAAAAUUCCCUUUCUGACUCUGUCAAUCAGCCAAAAAAUUUGAUGUAAAAUGUAAAAUACAUGGGUACACAAAAACAACUAUAUAAACUGCCAUCCCAUCAUUAAUAAAUCAUUUGUCUAUAACAUAGACUAAUAGCACUGUAAGGCAAGUAGGAAGUACUCUUUUGAUGUGUGCAGUUCUCCUUCACCAUUUUCGCCCUUUGCACUGGAGUCUAUAAAAAUAUGUAUAAGUAGAUUUUUAGAAAUAUCAAGUUUAUCAAAUGUAAAAUAUGGUAUCACAGAAAGCUACACCAUUUUUCUAGUUAUCAUUUGAAAGAUAUUGAUACCUUCAUGGUUGGCAGAGUAGUCAUGACCAUUUGACAUGCCAGAAGCCUAACCUACAACAAAGGCAAUGUUGAAAAAGCAAUAUUCAAAAUUCAAUGAAAAAAACAGAAGACAAACAAAUGAACAAAUAGCAAAUCAUCACACUCAAUUGUUUUCCAAAAAUGAAAAACCAAAUGAAAGGAACAAGGAAUAUAUUGAGAAAAAAACCUAUGAUCAAUGGAUAUGCAGUUGCAUUCUAGCACAUAUAUAGGAUCAAACAAGUAACUAAUCUAGACAUAGCUGCAGCAAAUUUGUGUAUCUCUGAAUGCGUGUCUGCUUUUUGUGGGGGGAUAUUUAUUAUGACAUGUUCUUAGUGCAGACAAACCAUCUGCAUUUACUUGAGGAUUAGGUAAACAUACUUUCCAUUUAAAAUGAGGCCUUGAACAUCAAGCCCCGGUGAGUUUUCAAAUAAGGAAAACAUAAUAGCUUUACAAUGAGUCCCAUAGCAAGAAGGCAUGCAAUUCCAUUCAUCAGCAUACCAGAAUAUAGAAUAGUGUGGACAUGUGGACACAUGCCAGAAUUAGCAUUGGACACACUAACAUGCCAGUCAUACAUAGAAAGACUUUCCAAAGAUAUUAAAGUAAAACACUGGUAGUAAGCAAAUUAGACCCAGAAAAACAUGCAAGUAUAGGCCAAGAUCAAAUCUUAAUUUUAAUUUCCAGAAAAAAAAUAAAAAAUUAUAUCAACCAAUAGAAAUGGUAUCAUCAGCAAUUAACACCAAAACACACCAACAUAUCGGAAUGCAUAUCACGUGUACCAAUCUCCAAUCAGCAUUACACCUGUACAAGUUAGCCUGUAGCAGGUCAUAAUAGGUUCAGACUAUAAAACCUUCCAAAUCUUCCUUUGCAGGGCUUAGAAACUAUUUUCUAAGUAAUUUGCAAUUUUAAAAGCCUGUGACAAAAUUUUGGAUGAAGAGCUUAAACUAUAUACUCACAAACCCACUCCAAAAUUUCCUUAAGGUAAUACACAUUUUUUGAAGUCCUUUCCAAUGUCUUCUCUUAUUUGAGUUAGAAAAGCCAAUGUUUUUAUGAAUUGACUACUACGGCUGUUGAGGUUUGAGGUGUAUAACUAAUUUCUUAAUAUAUCAUAAUUUACAUCAGUCAUUAGAAAUUAAGGUUCCAUCCUUUUACACUAAGAAAAUCCUGAGAGCAAUUAAAAAAUACCUUCUUUAAUAUUAUUAAAUUUAAGUUUCCUUUAGGUCUUUGAGUCUAAUAGAAAUUAGUAUAAAAGGAAUUUUAAUUUUCUUACACUAAGAAAAUAAAAAUAAUAGGCAAAAUAAUUUUCAAAUUUUGGAACUUUAUAGGUAAUGCUUAUUAAAAUAAAGCAACAAAGUUUGUCAUUUGCCAAUGAAUGAACCAAUUGUGGAAAACUAUGCAAAAAAUUUUAUUAGCAUGGAAUUUUUUUUUUCUGCCAAUAUAUAGAAUUCAAUUUCAAACCUGCCCCUCCCAACCCACCACUUGCUACUUGAGGCAAGCUUAGAGGCAGAAAACUAUUUACAAUUCUACGUAUGGAUAAAAAUUAUUUCUUAGAUUUUAUGCCAAUUCCAUAUUUAUAGGUAUCAAUUUAUUAUUCUACUGUUGUCAGAAGCUUCAAUUUUGGGCGUCCUCAUGGCUAUGCCACCCUUAAAUGAGAACAACUUUGGUCUUCUGUUUUUCUUUUUGAGCUCUUCAAAUUUUUGCAAGUUACUUCUAUCCAGGUUCUAGGAAACACCCAUUUUUUUAAAUCUCCAAUAAUUUAGGGUUCUGUGGCUGAGGGAAUAGACUUAUUUUUGGUUGAAGCACAUAAAAUUCUUGGCUAUUUUUUUAUUUUUUAUUUUGCCAUCAGGUCCUUUUAGGUUGAUUUUUCUACUUAUUUUUCACCCACCAAUUAACAUUGCCCUAACUCUGUUAUCUAUCCGAACAAAUGUUUAUGAACUAGCAAAUCAUACUAAAAUUUCUUACUAGUUGACAUGUGCAUCAUCUCAGCAUGUCAUUCCAACACCAAACUACAACCAUAAUCUCACUAACAUCCUAACUGCCUCAAUGAGUAUGGAUUACAGAAAUGCAAUUAAAAUAUACUUCCCUAUUUAAUUUCAUAAUUUUUAUAAUAAUAUUUCAGCAAUAUUUCCACAUAGUAGCUUAUGUGAGAAAUCCCCAUUUCCGUAUAAAAUCGAAAAACCCUAUAGCUUGCGCAUGUAAAUAGAAAAAAAAAAAAAAAAGACAGAUUUUGCAGAAUUGGGAGAGCAGACUCACACCAGCAUGGCCAUUGAUUGAGCAGAAACGCAGAUGACGAUGAUGGUGGUGGAAUUGGGAGAAAUUGUUGAGUUUGUGGAAUGUGGGAACCCUAGGAAUGCUGGGAUUGAAACCCUGGAUUGAAACAAGAGGAUUGUGAGAGAGAAUUGGAAAUUGAAGAAUCAAACACAAAAAAUAAAUCCAAGAAAUAAAAAAGAAGCGUAAAAAUGAAAUAGAGAAGAGUGUGUAUGACGCACCUGAUGAUGUGAAAGCAGCUUCAGCUGGUGAAGGCAAACUUUCGACGGGAGAGACAUGAGCAUACCGGCCUCCGACAACAAUCCCUCCAAAAUAUUCUUUCUAUACCAUUUAUUAUUAUUAUUAUUAUUAUUAUUAUUAUUUUCAGGUUAUUUGAAGUGCAAUGUCUAGCUAUACCAUUUAUUAUUAUUAUUAUUAUUUUAUUGCUAUUAUUAUUUUCAGGUUAUUGAAGUGUAAUGUCCACCAUACCUUAUAUGCCAUCCAUGAUGAAGGCCUUAGAACUCUCCAUGGAGCCUAAAUCUCGGGAUGCUAAUCACCCUAUAAUAACCAGCAUAGAGUAUAUUCAAAGUAUCAUUAAUGACAAAUUUCGAACUUAGGACCAUAUGUCAUUUACUGAGACCACACUUCUUAAUGUUCAUCCUUAGCGACACACUCAUAUGUACCAAAUCAUCCGAUAACCUGUUUUUCCUAUUUUCUCAUUUUUACAAAAAAAAAGAAAAAAUAAGAAUAACUUCUAUUUUUAAAAUUUUAAUUUUUUUUAUAAGUAAAUUUUUGUUCUCAUUAGGACCUGUGGAACCUCCCACAAGUCCUCCCGAAUCAUUUACCACUUGAGUCAUGCCUUAAUGGCUUGUUUUUUUAAAAAAUAAUAACAACUUUUAUAUAAAAAAAAAUACUUAUAAAAAAUAUAUACAUGUCAUUAAAAGUUUAAAGAAAUUUAAAUUUGAUAAUAAUUUUUUAAAUAAUUUAAUGUGUUAAUUGUUCUUAAAAACCGUAAAUAACCUAAAAAAGAACAGUAUGUUUGUAAAUUGACCAAAUUGUUAUAUGGUUUUAAAUAGUCACCUUAACAAUGUUACAAGUGAGUUGAUUAAUUUAUGGUAGAGAAGAAUUACAAUAGAAUUCAAUUAGUUAUCGCAUUUGAAGUCUUUGAUUAUUUGUUGAAUAAUAUUUGCAGCCAAUUAGCUAGGGUUGGCUAACCCAAGCCAAACCUAGUUACCAAUAUGUCCAACCUAUGCUAAACUCGAUUCAAAGUAAGGUUGGUAGUUACUAAACUCAUUAACAACUAAAGUUUCUAUGGAUUCCCACGAGUUUUCAUGGAUUAUCAAAUAAACCACAUAUAAUGGAAUCUCCUAAUAUAUAAAAGACAUAUUUCAAAUUAUAAAUUAAACCAUAUUAUAAAAUAAAAUUUUAAAAGCUAAGUAUAUAUCAAAGUCAUAAAUUAUAUUACUAUUCACUAAUUUUAAUGGUAACAUGAAACACAAGUGUGAAUAUUUAAAAAUAUUUUAGUAAUUAAACAAAAAUGAUAGACUUAUAGUGUAAUGUAAUAAAACUAGCAAAAGUUAUAGUUAUUUCAUUAUCCCUUUUAUAAAUUUCAUAUUUUAAAUAAACUAAUAAAUAAUAUAAUAGUAAUGAAUUUGCUUAGUCUUCAUCAUGUAGAACCAAUUUGAAGAAUUUUUUUUUAACAGGACUGAUUAAUGACUUAAUUAAGGGUAGGUUACAGCUAAAAUAUUUAGUAGGACUGAUUAGUGACUUAAUUAAGGGUAAACUACAGCUAAAAUUUUCCUAGUAGUCUUCCACUAUGGCAAAUUGUGGGAACUAGUAGUGGCCUGUCCAACCUAUAGAGGAAACAAAUAGGUGAGUGAGUUAUUGAAUAUGUGGCUGAGAGUGACCAACCAUUGAGGCUCACAUGAAGUUGUAGUGGCUGAAAGGAAGGGAUAAGAGACCAAAAACAUGCUCAGAGAGAUUCUUGUUAGGAUCAAAUUGGGGGCAUAGAUAUAUCUCUUUGGUAAGAGUUCCCAUAAUUUAGGUAUUAAUGAAAUAGGUAUAAAAUAAUUAUAUAUCUUGAUAUGAUCAUGUUGUUAAUGAUGAUCUAAUGAGUUGAAAUAUUAUGUUUUCAACUGUGUAUAUCUAAUAAAUACAUCAAGUGCUUAAACUUUAAUAUAGAAAUGGUCCACAAUGGCUUGUAUGACUCAUCGUCUUAUAAACAUAUUAUUUAGAUUAGGCUAAAGUGGUCAAAGUAAGAAGAAAAAUUGAUACUUGAUUUGAAGUAUGAAGAAUUCUUCUUAGACUUUGUGUGUAGUGUUGUUAGCUUAUUGUUGUGUUAAAGUCUAUUUUGAUGUAUUUUGGAAAGAAUGACCAACUAGAACCACAAUAAGAUGUUGCAAAACUUAUUUAAACAAGGGCUUGUGAGCAAGAUUUUUUUUUUUCCCUUUCAUGUACAAAUAGUAUGAUGAAUGAAAAUUUGAUUCUCGAUUGUAAUUAGUGUUUUCUUUAAGUUUUAAAUCAUGCAAUGAAUACUUAAAAUUAGCUUACGAUGUCAAAGAAUGUAAGUAAACAAGGUUUUACAUGUUGGAUAUAUAAUAAAUUCAAAACCUUUACCUUCCACAUUGAAUGAUUACAUUUUUUCUUUAAGUGCCCUUUAAUCAUUCUCAUUUUGUUUAAUCAUUUUCUAUAAUGUCUCGAGCAUAGUAGAUUUCUAUAAAUUUACAUGAGCAUUCCUUAACUCUUCUUGAGUGAUCCUAAACUUAGCAUUGAAACAAUCAUAAUUUAGGCGAAGAUGCUUAUACGUCUUCAUAAUCAUCCUUGGUUGCUAGCCAUUUUUCCUUAAUUACUUUAGGAUGUUUAGUGAAGAUGAUUACAAAUAUUAACUAGUUCACUCAAACAUUUUUGUAUGAGUGUAGAACAAUUUUGCAUUCUUUCCACAUCACUUAUGCAUCUUCGUUCCAAGAAAUAAGAUAUAGAACUCUUAUGUUUUGCCUACACCACUUGGUUCUCCAACCCAUUGUGCUUAUGCAUCCUUUUUAUAUCACAUAUGCGACUUGCUUCUCAUUAAGAUAUUUCACUUACAUGUUCUUGUAUAUGCAUAAUUUAGGAAAAAAUAUUUAAAAAUAGAAAAAUAGAUUUUAAUACAUAUAUUUGGAACAAUUAAACUCAAACUAUGCAAGUGACCUUGUCUACUAUGUAGGUGACUUUGUUUACUACAUAGGCAAAGUAUAUGACAGUGAUAGUCAAGGAAGCUAUGUGGUUGCAUGGUUUAGUGGAGAAUUUAAGAGUAAAGCAAGAUCACAUUGUGAUUUAUUAUGAUAAUGGGAGUGCCCUAAAUUUAUUUAAGAAUAAAAUUCAUCACUCAUUGGUAAGGCAUAUUGAUGUCUAAUUUCAUUUUAUUUAAGAGAUUCUAGAAGAAAGUCAUACCUUAUUUUAGAAAAUUACUGAUGUUAAUGAGGUAGGUCAUAUUUAAAUGUGAUCCAUGUUGAAAGGAUCAAUGUACCUUUAGGUGUGUAGUAGCAAAAUCUUUAAAGAUUGUUUGGUUAGCUUCAUUUAAAUUACUUAGUUAAAUAUUACAUAGUCAAUUAUAUGUUUGACUUUUUGAACUAGAACAUUUAGAUUUUGGUUGUUGUAGUUGUUAUAAUUACUAUUUAGGUUUUUAAAAAGGUAUAAAUUUAUAAUUUUAGUUGGUUUUAUUAGUUUCAUUUAAAAUUCCCAAGAAACUUCAGUGAAGGAAAACAGAGCAAGAGAGUUUUUGAGAAUUGCUUAUAAUUCUUGUAUAUUAUUUUGAUAUCUUUAGUGCAUUCAUCUUAUCAUUACCAUAGAUGAAGGCAUAUUGUCAAACCAUAUAAAUUGUUUAUCUCUUUGUCUAUAUUGAGCUGCCAAGAUCAGUUCCUUGUAAUCCAAUGGCUUAUUUUGAUUCCACGAUGCUACAAUGUAUUGAAUUAAGCAUAGGGAUUAACAAUUCCAAUCAUAAACAAUAAGAGAUCCUCCCCAACAGCAUAAAAAACUUGAGAGACCCGAGGCUCGCAUCUCAGAAUAUGCUCUUGAACUAACACUAAAGAUGCCUAGAUUCACCACCACCCUUUCCACCCCAAUGUUGUUAGAAGUAGAAUCUAAUCAAAUGAAGAGUUCCUGAUAGUUGCGAGUUCUUAUGAUUUUUUUCCAUCAUUUUCUGACUUUUUUUUCAUCCAUUACGUACGUCCUUCUGAGUGGAGUUCUCCUUUCAUGGUAUCAGAAAAUCAUACUCAAUGAAUUCGUUAUAACCAGACCAUAACCAGAACCUCCAUGGCGUGUUUUUCCUGUGUUUUUUCUGAAAAUAUAGCUACAUUUAUACAUAUUUUUAAGAAUAUUAAAGGCAUUAUCAAAGGAAGAAACCGAGAAAACUGAUUGUAUAGAAAUCUAUAAUUGUGCUUACUUUCAGUCCUAGUCACAAAGUUUCAACCAGAUAAAUCAUGUCGAGAGAUGCCCAGCAAGUGGUGGUGGUCCAGGAUGCAUCCAGAGAUGUUAGUUCAAGAGCAAUCCUUAGGAUUCUCCAUGACUUAACACUUAAGCCUGGAGAUGACCUUACACUCCUCGGAGUUCUUCACCAGGUUAAUAAUCCUUGUACGCUUUCUUUCAUGGGAGGUAGGAAAAUACGUAAAAAUUCAUGCCUUUUUUUUCUUUUGAGUACAGAAGAAAAAUCCAAGAAGAAAGAAAUAUUAAACAUAGCACCAGGAAAAUGAUAUAUACCAAAAGGGAAAUUGUGCAGGUUUAUAGAUUGAUGAAUGAUGUGUCAGAUUUCCCAAUACAACUAUUUUAUUCUAAGGUAUACUUUGAUAAUAGAGACAACUAUUUUAUGAUCAAAUGAAAAAAUGAGGUAUAACAAUUAACCCAAGACAAAUCCUUAAGUGAUACUUUAGUUUUUUAUGAAAUAAAUGUUCUUUUUAUAUUAGUAUAAAAGAUUAUUUUUUCUUAGUUUCAUUUAGGGAAAAUUUUGAUUUUUUAAAGUUUUAAAGUUGGUUAAUGUAAAAUUUGUUUUUUAUCUUUUAGAUUUUCUUUUCCAUAUUUACAAAAAUAGAUAAUUAAAUAAACUUAGAUAAAAAUAGAAUUUUCAUGUUCACUUGUUUGCCUUAUGAAUUUAUUUUACUAUUAAAAUAGGUGCUUCUUAUUAUUUAAUUUUAAAAGUGAAGAUGCAUGUUUUAAUAAAUUCUAAGAGAGGACAAUGUUUAAAAUAAAAAAUUGAAAUAUCGUGGAAAUUAAUAUUUUAUUUUAAAUACAGACAAUUUCCAUGUAAUUUUGUUUGUAUAUUAUCACUACAAAUCAACGAUGACUCCAAAUAGCCAUUGGCCUUAAGAGAUGUCAAGCUCACAACAAAAAUAAUGUUCUAAGUUCUCUAAAAAUAUUUUAAUUAAACACAAAGGUAGUCCAUCAUCUAAUCAACAUUUGCAUAUACAAAACCAUUUUAGCAAAAGUUACAUCAUCCGUUAGUAUAAGCAAACAUGAAUAAGUAUUUCCUAAUUAAGAAAAAUAUUAAUUCAAAUAUUUUAAAUUGGCCAACAAAUUAGGAUAUUGAAAUAAUGGUCUCUAUAUCAAAUGAGUUAUAAGAAAAGGUAACAUUAUCUUUCAUCUAAAUUUCUAUGCUUUCACAAUCUUCAAAAUUAAUAAAACAAUAAGUUAUCUUUCAUUUGAUGCCAUUGGCUAUAUUGUAUUUUCUCGUGACAAAGUGAUGAUUAUCUUUUUUUUUUUUUUAUGCACUUGAUUGAUUUGGUUUCCACCAAUGUGACUUUAGUGAUUUAUCCUUCGCCGGUUGUUAGGAUAAUGGUAGUGGUUAAUAUGAUGUCGUCAAUAGAAUAACUACCUACUCUAGGUAGUAUGUUGGAUAUGAUGUUAUAAACCUACUUAUAGAUUAAUAUAGUUCAACAAAUACUAAUUUGAGAGAGAGAGAGAUAGGUCUAUGGUGAGUUGUAGUGAAAGGGAAGGAUUAAGGCUAGGGUUUGUGUGGGUAUGAAAAAGAUAAAAACAUUUUUAUUUUCAUAUCCAUUUUUGGAUUUUAAAAAAUAAAAAUAAAUAGGUGGAUAUAGAAAGAGUUCAAGUGGUUCGUUUGCAAUUUCCCUUCAUAAAACAUCACAGUUGUCAAUGAGAUCUAUGCACUAAGUAAUUUUAACAACCUUUGUUUGUGAAUUGCUUGUUACUGCAUUAAGUUUUGGUAUUCUCCUCCAUGUAGGUGAAACAUAUCAUGUUUAUGUAGAAUCAUUAAUAUAGUGUUUAACAGCUUCCAUGAAAAAGAAAGCGUGAGAGCUUGGGGAUAUACUUCCCAACUUAGAGGACAUCUCAAUAGCAAUGAAUAGAUUUUCAUAUAAAUGGUUAAAUAGUAUAUAAAAUAAUCGAAGAUGUCUUGUUUUAGUUUACCUCCUAGGUAGAUAGCCUAGUUACUUCAAGUAGUUUUGGCAACACCAUUUACUAUCAUCUUCAACGAGUAUAUAUCCUUCAAGGCAAGGCCUCACUUUCUUAGCUCAACAAAAAGUUUAUUAUGAUAAGUUAUCUUGAUAACUAAUGACUAAUCUUGGUGUAUAUAUAUAUAGUUAAGAGGGAUGUGAAUCAAUGAGAAAUAGUUUCCACUUUGUGCUAAUGAUAGGUUUGAGUCAAGGUUCAAAUUUUCAUCCAUGGAAGUAUGAAUGUUGAUCAAUAUGAAAUUCUGGUCCAUCUUGUGAUAACAAAUAGUUUAUCAUAUGUAACUCAAAAUUAUUCUUUCUAUACAUUCAUCUUGUGCACCCACCUUUCUGUUUCUUUAUUGUACGUAUCACUUUCUCUUAUUCCAUAAGGAGAAGCCACUAGACUUGAGAAAUCAAUUAGAGAAUGAUACAAUUCCAACAAGAUCGAGUAUGAAACAUUUCUUAUCAAUCUUUUCAUAGUGACUCAUAGCUUGUAGUAAAUUAAUGGGCUAUUUGUUUUUUAACUUGAGUUUUGAAGCAAGUUGUUUUAAGAUUUAAGAUAAAAGUAAAAAAGAAAUUUACUUUUUCUAUUAACACAAAAUUAUCUUAGAAAAUAUGAUACGUUAAAAAAUAACCAUUUUAAAAAUGACAAAUCUUAUAGAAAAAAAUAAUAUAAAAAAAUAACACUUAACACUAUUAAAUAGUAUUUAGUUUUGAGUUAUAUUAAGGUAUAUAUAUAUAUAGACACACACCACCUAAGGUGAUGUUUUACUUGUUUGUUUGUUUUUUCUAAAAUCUAAAUAGAUUUGAAUUUGGAUUGAAUUUAAAUAGAGCAAAAUGUCAUAAGUGUUUAGACUCUUUGUGCUUUAUUGUAUUUGAAAUAUGUUAAGUGUUAAAUUGUUUAUUUUUACUUAUGUCAAAAUACUAUAAGUAUUAAAUUUAUUUAUUUCACUUGUUAAAAAUGUCUACAAAAUUAAUUAUAGUAUUUGUUAUUAUUUUAGUUUUAAAAAUUUACAAUUUUUAAAAUAUAUAGUAAUUUAAAUAUUUCCAAAAUAUCAAAAUUAUUACGAUAAUAAACAUUUUAUAAUAAUUAAUAUUGUAAUUAUUUAAGCAUAAUUGGAUAAUAACAAGGAUUUCCUAUUAUGCUUGGUUACUAAAAAAAUAUUUUAAAAAAUUUCUAAUUUGACACUUAUUUCUAUAUGGUGUGUCUUCAUAUUUAAAUUUAAAUAUUUUCCAAAAUAUCAAAAUUUAUUACUAUAAUAAAAAUUUUACAAUAACUAAUAUUGUAAUUAGUUAAGAAUAAUUAUAUAAUAAUGAGACUUUCUAAUUAUGCUUGAUUACUAAGAAAAUAUUAAACAAAACUUCUAAGUUAACAAUUAUUUCUAUCUGGUGUAUCUUUGGAUUUAUGGAUUUGUAAUUGAAAAAUGUGUUUUAUUAUUGAGAUUAAUUCAUUAAUUUUUAUAUUUUAGAUUUUCAACAUUAAAUCCUAACAUUUUAUUUUUCAAAAUUAAUUAUUAUUGCUUAUUCUAAUAAUGUGGACCCCGCAUUUCGGCUCAUGCACUUCCACUCGAUGGCGAGCUCGAUUUUUAUUUGAAAAACGAUUUUAUUUAUUAGAAAAUGACUUGGAGUCACCACUUAUUUUUGUUUUAUUUUUAAAGGGUAAACAAAAUACGAAAGAAAACCCUAAGUGUGACUCCUUAUUUUGGAAAAGAUAAUCCACGAAAAACCGGAUCGGGCUCGGGGGUCAGGUUACUUAUCGGGAAGGUAUGGUAAAGACCGUAGCACCCCUCUAAGUCCCUAAAGUCGGGUCUCUACUAAUAAAAUGAAGCUAACGUGGCAAUUGAUGAGGGAAUCAAUGAAUACUUAGUGUAAUCAUGCACAAGUGAGAAUUAAAACAUACAUAUAGAAAGACCAGAAUGGGAGUAGAUGCGUACCUGGGUGAUGAGCCACAAUGCGCUAUCAAGAAAUGGGAUUAGUGCAUAGUAAUGAACAUAAAAUGUGUCAAUCUUAUCACCAAACAAGAGAAAGAACCACCAAUAGCACGCAUGACAUUUCGUUCAAAUUCAUUUUUAUUUUAAAGAAAAUUUAUUUGAUGUUGGGCCCCCACCAUAGCCCAUCUACUUUUGAGUGAAUCGAUUUCGUAAAUUCCAUCAUCAAGAAUUACGAAAAAUAAAUUCACACUUAUUUUGAAACAUUUUGAAAAUCAUGGAAAAUUCAAAAGUGGCUCGCCGGAAAGGAAAUGGUGGCCAAAUUUCAUUGAAAAUGGGAUUUUUAGGUCCUAAAAAUAAACUAAGGAUGAAAACUUAAAAAAAAUGUCAAAAUUAUUUGAAGAAUUUAAAAUUUGAGAAACCAUUUGAAAACUGGAAUAUGAUGGAUUAUUUUAAAAUCAAGGAUGAUGAAAUGAAAAGAGGUGGUACGUGGUCACCAAGACUACAUGUCAAAAGUGACCAUGCAACUCAUGCAAGAGUAGGUCUACGGGUAAGAGUACUGGAAUUGGGUAUAAGAUAACCAAUAGGAAUGGGGUAAAUUAAGAGACCCCAGCGGCAAGCAACUUCAUGAGGCCUUCCUUUGUUGAUGUGUACCAGAACCAACCUUCUUUUUGCCUUUUACAAACUUCUGUAAAGAUCCACCUCUACAAUUCUGAGCUUUUAUGCAUGAUUCAAAGAUAGCAUGAUGUUGUGCUUGGAUGUUCUCUUGGCUAUUACUGCCUUUUCUCCUUGUUGACCGAGAAUUAGUACCAUCAGGCAUCAAGUUAUGCAUUUCUUCCCUCAUCCAAACAAACAAGUUUUCUCUUGCAACUUUAAGAUCCUCUAAUAAGGACUCCAUGAAGAUUUUAAAAUCAUCCAAUGUUGCAGGAUCACAUGCAUUGCUCUUACUCUUCUUCUUAUUAACUUUCUUGAAAGAAUCCCUCUUCGUCUCUUUACUAUAUAAAUUAUUCCUCUUGCUUGAUCCAAUCUGCAUUUUGUUAGCUUUCCCAAUUUUGAAUUGAUCCCCUGAACUACGAUCAGACUUACCUUCUUGUUGAGAUCUAGGAGUACCACUGGUUUCAUCAUUUUCAGGCGAAAUAAGAGAGGAAACCAGUUUGUGCUUCUUGAGAACUGGCUCACCACUGGAACUCGAUUUGGAAUUAUCACUUGAAGAAUCAACGUCACUGUCUCUCCUCCUGAACUCCCACCUCUGCUGAAAUUUCAGGUCUUCACUCAUGUUAGUACUUGGGGAUAUAAUCACAACUGUAUAACUAUGUGCUCAAUCCUCGGGAGAGUCCGACCAUAAACGACUAGACCCACUUAUCAUCAAAGUUUCAACUGCUUGUUUGGAGAAUGAAAUCAGUUUGAUGGAAGGAUUUCCACUGCAACUGCACCUUGAACUCGUUUGAAAGAUUGUACCAGUGAUUCUAGCAGCACCCCUCCUCACAAAUCAAAUUUUGUGAAGAGACACCAUGAUUAAACCGCUCCAUCAUUCUCUUUCAUACACCCAGCACAAGAGCAUCCUCUGUGGAUGAAGCCCAACCAUUGCUCUGCAUCCACUUGGAACAAUCUUCUUAGCCCCAGAUGGGAGCUUGAUCCUGCUGGUGCCAUUAUCAGGGUUGUGGCUGACGACAAUAGCUCACUUGCCGGAUGCCCUGGCGAAGACACCUCGAUCACCAACGUGAUCUUCAACGUUACAGACCUCGGCACCUUCGGGAGUAGAGCGCAGGGGCAGAACGUUAUCGGCAAUGAGGGUGGCUUUCUUACUGCAGCAAACGAACUGGCCCGUGUAUAUGCUCUCAGCCACCACGAUAGGUUCAUCAUGACUGCAACUCCUACUAAACCAUAUCCCUGUCUCAGCAUCAAUAACCAGCUAGGUACUGCAUGUAUCACCAACACCACUAUCGAGGUCCAGGCUAUCACAAGUUCUGUUGCUAGGCAGAGCAGCAGGAAGUUGGUUAUCAAAGACAUGGUAAAUUUUAUCACCACCUAGGCGCACGCCAUCGAGAUGCUCUUUGUAUGUCUGAUCGAAGACACAAGAAAUUUCCAUGAUCAUGUAUAACUUUCUUCCAUUCUUCUUCAGUUGCACCAGUACCAAAUCCAUAUCAGCCAAGGACCCUUCACGCACAAGUAGCCACAGAUCUGUCAGAGAUGCACUUGAUACAAUUUUGCGAGCAACUGUAUGAUGAUUCUGCUUUUGGCCUGGAGGUGGAACUAAACCUUCCACUAAUCUAUAUUUUUCUCAAUAAUAUAUAUCCUCUAACCUUGACAAAAUAAUAACUUAAAUCCCAGUGUUGACUCCUUGCUUCUCGCCACUUAAGCUAACAAUGAUUAUGCCUUGUCACCAGAUGACUUCAAGAGCUAGGUUGUCCAAAAUCCUGUUAAGAAAUUAGUCCACACCAACUGAUAACAAGCUGAUGUGGCCCUCGAAGACAUUGAUUGAACCUAGUCCAUGUUGUAGUCACUUUUUGAAUUUCAUGAUCAAGAAAAUGAAGAGGAAGCCAUUUAGAUGCAUGGUUGAAAAUGGUCAACUGUUAUGCCCCCAUCAUCAUCACCUCUAGUAUUAUGAACACAAACCAGUUGCAACCGCCAUUCACAGACUCCCAUCACAGUUCAUGGGCCUGAAAUGAAUCUCCAACUAAUGGUGUAAGCAACAAGCUGAAUGUUGUUAAAAAUAUGAGAAAUGGGUGGAGAGUUGUGCGUUAAGAAGCAGAGAAUGGAAUAAGGGAAUAUACCCCUUCCCUCAAAGGCACAGAGAUGGAAUCAAGUAAUUGAAGCCGAAGGAAAGCCUUUCGGGUAGCCAAGAAAGCUUGAUUUACAUAUUCUGCAUUACUUUCAGCAACAUUGGCAAUCACAUCCCUGUCUGAGAGGCCAACUGGUUGUCCUUUGUGGUGAGUUCAGUGUCAUUUUAAACUUCUCCAUUGUAUCAAGGGAUAGCCAGCACAAGAAAGAAAUGAUACAAUGAAGCAGACAUGAGGCAUCUUUAGAAAUCCUCUGUGGAUGACAUUUUAAAGGCUCUGUGAUAUUCUGAAGCAUUGCUACUCAACUAUGACCUCCAUCCCUGAUAUAAAACACUAAACCAACCUCAAUCUACUUAACAUGCAUCUCGGGUACUCCAUAGAGAUUAAGCAUCUGUAAUCAUAGCUUCCGCUCCUUGAAUUUGCGUUCUCAGAUGGAGAUGCACCAAUCAAAGCAAACCACAGACAAACACCAAAAACAGAGACGUAUAGAGAAGAAAAUUGAUAAAACAAAACAGGGAUAGGUGAAAUGAGAGUUUGUUAAGCAAAACCUGGUCCCAUAAAUUAUCAACAGGCUUACCAGUUAGUGGGAGGGGAAAUGGGUUUAAGGAGAAAUGAUAGGAGAGAUACAUUCAGACAUCACGCAAUAAAACUGGACAAGAUUCAUACUAUUUCUCUCAACUAAAACCCAUAAACAAUAGAUGGAUAUAUAGUCAUAGCAAAUCCAGUGGAUGCUCAGAGAUCAACAAAAGUAGCCAUAUGAUAUCCACACACAAAUAGCUAAAUAACACCCACUAAUGAACAAAAGAGAAUGAAUAGCAAGAGAAAAAAAUAGAGAUGGAUAAGAAACAUACCUGGAAAUACCCCUCUCCAGUAAAAUCAGCUGAACUGCUAGUCCAUUGCUCUCUCCCCCUUCCUCUGGUUCCCCUCAAGUUAAAACAAUACCCUUCUCAAAUAUCUCCGACCAAAAAACCUUCUCCAAAAACUUCCCUUUCUCCUCUGCCAACCCCCCUCCAAAAAGCAUCUCCCUCUUCUCUACAACUGGCAGAUACGCUCCUCCCAUAACAGAAACGUUCUUCUCUAAACGUCCCUUUGGGAUCUCUUAUCAAACCUCUAAUGACUCUCAAGACUAGGUCACCGAUAUGUAGUGGUAUGGGCUUGACCCGCUUUUUGAAAGCGCGGGCCAUCUUCCUCUAUUAUGCACGAACAUGGUCUGUUGCUCUCAAUCUCAUCUCAUAUAGGAGAUUGAGCUGAUCAAAUCGAGCCUGAGCCCAAUCCGCCUCGGGAAUCUGCUACUUUAGUGCUACUCUCAAUGAACUCAUCUCGAUCUCAACUGGUAGCACUGUCUCCAUACCGUAUACCAAUGAAUAAGGUGUGGCUCCUGUAGAGGUGCGAAAAGAAGUCCGAUAUGCCCACAAUGCGAAAGGGAGCUUCUCUGACCAAUCCCGAGAAGUCUCAACCAUCCUCCGCAAUAUCCUCUUAAUAUUCUUAUUCGCAGCCUCUACUGCCUCAUUCGUCUACGACCUAUACGCAAACGACCUAUGAUGUCGGAUGUCGUAUCUCUGUACUAAGGUAUCAACCUCUGCUCUGAAAUGUACCCCUCUAUCUGAAAUCAACUCAUGAGGGACUCCAUAGCGACAGAUAAUGUGUGAUCUGAUGAAACUAGCAACUCCAGCUGAUGUCAAUCUCUCAUAUGAGGCGGCCUCCACCCACUUGGUGAAGUAAUCGAUGGCGACCAGGAUGAACUCAUGACCACUGGAAGAUUUCGGUGAAAUCUUUUCGAUGAUGUUAAUACCCCAUAUAGAAAAUGGCCAUGGUGAAGUCAAUGCGUGCAACUCAGAGGACGGCACGUGAAUGAGAUCUCCAUGUAUUUGACUCUUGGGACAUCUCUGAACAAACUGACAACAAUCUGUCUCCAUGGUCAACCAAAAAUAGCCAAUCCUCAUGAUUUUACGGGCCAACAUAUGCCCUCCCAUAUGUGGUCCGCAGACUCCCGCAUGAACCUCUCACAUCACUCUAUCGACAGAAGCGUAGUCCAAGCAUAAUAACAGCAUCCCAUCAGGUGAUCGUCUGUAUAGUGUCUUGCCACAAAUCACGAAUCAUGCAGCCAACUGUCUCAAUGUUCUCUUAUCCUUGGCCGUGGCGGCCUUAAGAUAUAUGCCAAGUCUCAAAAAGUGAUAUAUGUCAUGAUACCAUGGCAAACCAUCGUCUAUCUCCGUAUCAUCGAUCAGAAAACAAUAUGUAGGAGCAAAUCUGGACUUAAUCAGUAAAUGACGAAUAGUGGCAUCAGCAGGAAUGUCAAUCAUGGAAGUUAGAGUAGCUAAGGCAUCAGAAAACUAGUUAUGCGCUCUAAGCAGAUGUGUGUAUCUCAAAUCAUCAAAUCUCCCAACCAGUAGCUCCAAAUAUGGCGGUAAGGCCUAAGUUUCACAUCUCUAGUCUUCCACUCGCCCUGAAUCUGUCUCAAAACCAGAUUGAAGUCGCCAAACACCUCUAUCUAUCUAAUCCCGAGCUCAAGGGCCGUCUCUAAUCCCAAGAUACAGACCUCAUACUCAACAAUGUUGUUUGUGGCCGGAUGUCGAUCCAAGAAUGCCAAACAAAUAGAUCGGGGAAUGUGAUCACCAUGAGGGGAUAUCAACAAGACGCCUAUCCCGUAUCCAGAAUGGUUGGCUGCACCAUCAAAGUACAUGUGUCAACCUGAUAAACUAGUCACAACAGCGACAUCCUCGCCUGGGAAGUCAUCAUCAAUGGCUCUACCAUUGGAAACUAGUAAUGAGGCUAAGUGAUCUACAACAAUGCUCCCUCUUAUGGACUUCUGAGUGACAUAAUGGAUGUCAAACUCGGUCAGAAGUACCAGCCAUCUCAUGAGACGACCGAUCAAAGCGGGUCUGUCAAAAAAAUAUCUCAGAAGAUCUAGAUGGGAUAUCAAGUGCACUGAAUACUCGGUCAUGUAAUGUCUUAGUCGGUGAGUGGCCCAAACCAAUGCCAAACAGUAGCGCUCAAUCAUGACAUUCCUUGCCUCAUAGUCUAGCAUCCUCUUACUCAAAUAAUAAAUGGCUUAGUCAUUGCCUGAAUCAUCAAGCUGAGCUAACAUGCACCACAAUGCUACAUCUGAAAUUGACAGAUAUAGGAGUAAGGGACAACCUGGUGUAGGAGGCGCCAAGACUGGAGGUGACAACAAGUACUUUCUGAUCCUCUCAAAUGCACGCUGACACUGAUCAUCCCAAACAGUAGGUUGACUCUUCCUCAAGAGUCGGAAAAUGGGCUCAUAGAUGUCUGUCAAUCUGAUGAUGAAUCUACUGAUAUACUGAAGUCUACCCAAGAAGCCCCUGACCUCUCUCUCUGUCCUCGAUGCAGGCAUGUCAAGGAUGGCUCUGAUCUUAUCCGAGUCUACCUCUAUGCCUCUCUCUCUGACCAUAUACCCCAAGAGUUUCCCAGAAGUCACUCCGAAAGUGCACUUCUUGGGAUUCAGUCUCAAUUUGAACCGUCGGAUCCUCUCAAAGAACCUCUCUAGAGUUGCUAGGUGAUUUGGUCUGUCUUGGGAUUUCACUAUCAUGUUGUCUACAUAAACCUUGACAUCCCGAUGCAUCAUGUCAUGGAAGAGGGUGGUCGUCGUUCUCUAAUGGGUGGUUCCUGCAUUCUUCAAUCCGAAUGGCAUGACUCUAUAGCAAUAAGUACCCUACUCGGUAAUGAAGGACGUCUUCUCCAUGUCCUUUGGAGCCAUCAAGAUCUUAUUGUACCAAGAAAAUCCGUCCAUAAAGGACAACAUCGAAUGACCUGUCAUACUAUCAACCAACAUAUCGAUGUGUGGGAGAGGAAAAUCAUCCUUAGGACUGGCCUUGUUGAGAUCUCGGAAAUCAACACAAACUCUCACCUUGUCGUCCUUUUUGGGAACAAGGACUACAUUGGCCAGCCACUCCGGAUACUCGACCACUGACAAAAAUCCUACACUGAGUUGCUUCUGGAUCUCCUCCUUCACUUGCAAGCUCCAACGAGGGUGCAAUCAUCUCAACUUCUACUUAACCGGUCUAGCAUGGGGCAGAAGUGGCAAACGAUGUUGGACGAUAGAUGGAUCAAGGCCUGGCAUGUCCUCAUAGGACCAUGCGAAAACGUCCAAGUAUGCUCUGAGCAACUGGAUGAGGUUGUCCCUCUCAUCAUCAGAUAAAUCUGAUCUGAUCCUCAACUCCCUAGGCUGAUAUAUUGUGCCGAAAUCAACAAUCUCCAUGUCCUCUAUAGCAGGUGAAACUCUCUGAUCAAAGGGAUCCGAAUCGGAAAUAGAAGAUGAGUCAUCAUCUGAGUCGUGUUGUGCAAUCUCAUCAUCAAUAUCAAAAAUCUGUGAUGUGGGUGAAGAUGGUGCAGAUAAAACAAUAUCGUAAAAGAGAGGCAAAUUUUAAAAAAUGCUCAAAUCCAUAGAUGAAAAGUCAGAAACAUAGUCAUGAUGGGAGACAAAUCCCGAUAAAACAUCAAAUGAAAGAGGUGAGUCUACAAAGUCGAACAUUCCCUCAACUAGGCCAAUAGGGCCAUCAAGAAAAUCAUCAACAGCUAUAAUGUCCUCAGUAAUCUCCGAAGUAGGGGCAGUCUGGAUCUCCUCAGCGAUCUCAAUGAAAGACACCCCGAAGAGAUCAAAUGGUGAAGUGAGCUCAGGCUGGACUAUCUCCUCAAUCUGGCUCAAGCUCAAUGCAAGCAUCUCAUCGACGUACUCGUCACAUGGCAUAGCUCCGUCUACUAUGUCGCUAAUCUCAACAAAUGUCUUGUGAUCAUCGAUCUCAUCCAAUAAGCAAAGCGUCAUAAGGCUCGUGCGAUCUGGAGAGGCAGGAGCGAUCAACGCAGAAGUCGAAGGAUCAAGGGCUCCGUUACUCAAUUGUAACUGCUGGACGAGGCGCUGAAGCUCGGCCUCCUUGGUGGUGUUGAAUCCUCUGAUGAUCCCAUCAGAUGGUGCAUGUGACUCCGAUGCCCUCACAAAGUAAUCUGCCAGGCUCAUGGUGUAUGGGCGAACAGGAUAAUAAAAGAGCGUAUGAGUCAGUCGAGCCCUCACCCUCUCCUUGCUCAAUCGCGCCAUAUAACGAUAAUCGGCCUCAGUGGGGAUGAACCUGAGUCCGAAUGGUACGUCGUGAUCAGGGAUGGCUAUGAACUCACUAGGCCCAUGCUGACACUACCCUAACCCUAUGCCGGGAAAAUAAGGCAUACUCUGCAUCAUAUCGAGCACCACCGUGCUACUAUGCUGGUCAAAGGACAUGGCUACGAAAUCUCGGUAGAAAUCUUCUAUCUCCACGGUUUGUACCUCAUCAAAGGUGAAUCCAGUCAGAAAAAGAUCGUCAUCAGUGUGACUAAUCUCAAGCACAGGCUUGGCAAAAAUGAACAUAUCUCCCACAGACUGCACCACGACGACCUGGCCAUCGUGAAUAAACUUCACCUUUUGAUGAAGGGAAGAAUGAAUGGCCCCAGCUCUGUGGAUUCACGGUCGGCCCAGAAACAGGUUAAAGGAUGUAGGAAUCCUCAAAACCUGAAACACGGUGACAAAAGUGGCCAGAUCAAUUAGUAGUUCAAUCUCUAGUGUGCCCAUGACCUCCCUUCGAGUACUGUCAUACGCGCGAACGGUCUAAGUGGAGGGACAGAAAUCAGAUGGUGCAUAGCCGAGGGCAGUGAUGGUGGCCAGAGGACAAACGUUCAGGGUCGAGCCAUUGUCCAGAAGGACAGAUGGGACUCGACGGCCUGAACAACCAACAGAUAUAUAGAGUAGACGCGUGUGGUCUGAGCCCUCUGGUGGCAAGUCAUCAUCGGAGAAUACAAUGCAUGUGGCUCUACCGACCGUCAUCAUAUGAAUCAAUCCCUCAUGGGAGGUGGUAGUCUUAACUCUAAUCUGGCUCAGGGCUCAAAUCAGAGCAUCAUGGUGAGUGGUCAAGGAUGCCAACAAACUCCAGAUGGAAAUACGAGCCUGAGUGCUCUAUAGCUGCCUCAAAAUCUCGGCGUCCUCUACUCUGACCUCAUCGGGAACAGAUGUACCCUCAACUGGCUUAGCUGCUGCGCGAGGUGGCUAUCGCAACACUCUACCUCCUCAAAGAAUAUACUAAACAUCCAAAGUUUGAGAAUCAUCAACAUGCGGAGCUUGAACCUCCUCAACAUUCGAGAUCAAGAUGAAUGGCGUCUGGACGCUGUAAUAUGGAAAAAUCAAUGGCUCAACAGUGGUAGUCUGUACUAAUGCCACCUGGGGAACUAAUCCGAAUGAAAUGGGCAUCUGAGGCCCCAAAGUCGCUCCGUCCAUCUCAUAAAUCCCAUUUGACAUGAUAGGCUCUGGCUCAAUGUCAUCACAGCUCAACAUAUGGAUAUAGUCAUCAUGAUCAAAGAACUCCAGGAAAUGUAUGCUAUCGACCGGUGGGGGGACCACAUGUGUAGUGUGGGCAAGUAAUGGGUUUGUGGUUACACUCGGCUGACCCAAGUGCACCAAACCCUGGUCGAUCAGAUCCUGGAUGGCAUGCCUCAAAGUGGUGCAGCGAUCGGUCUCGUGUCCAGGCCCUUGAUGGUAUGCACAGUGCAAAUCCAUCCUGAAUUAAGGUGGAAUCGGCUGAGGUGGCAGCCUGGGAGUGAGAACGGUCAAUAACCCGGCCUCUGUAAGCUUCCGAAGAGCCUAGCUCAAUGGCAUGCUUAAUUGCGAGAACUACCUCUGUGUCCUCAAAGCAGAUGGAGCAAAAGUCUGCUGAGCUUUGGGUUGAGGAUAAGGCGUUGUGGGUCUCGCAGUGAAUUGAGCAGCAUAGCAUGGCUGUCCUAUGGCCGUGUAGGAAAUUGGGGGUCUCUCAAUGUCCUGGGUGGCAUAAUAAGGCAAAGCCAAAGUCUGUGGCAUGUAGACUGAUCAUAAGUCGGGUGAGGCGCUCGUGGCCUAUACUGCUGAGGUGGAUAUGAAGAAUGAGCCUCAGGAAGCUAUGGGAUCGGCUGAUGGCGCCUGGGAGGUCUCUAACUGGAAGAACUAAUGGCGCUCACGUCAACUGAUCUUUGUCCUCCAAAGGGCUUCUUCCCCUUAACAUCACUAGGGGAAGAAUCUGUCCACAAUCCUCUAGAGAUGUCGUCCUCGACAUCGUAUAAAGUCAAAACCAAUGAACCAAAAUCUGUGAAUGGUACCCUAACCACGUGUCUGGCGAUCCUGGGCUGUAAACUCCUCAAGACCAUCUAUAUCUGAUCUCUCUCUGAAGGUCUAUCAAUGAUCUCGACAAUCUUCCCACGCCAGCGGGAAAUGAAUGAAGAAACUAACUCAUCUAUUAUCUACCUCAGAGCCUCGAGCUUUCUCCUCGAUACAUCCACGACAGUGUUAAAUGAAAACUGUCGUAAGAACUCCUGGGCCAAGUCGUCCCAUGUUCGGCGUCGUGAGGACUUCAAGGAUGCAAACCAACGUUGGGCCGUCCCACUCAGAGAUAGUGGAAAUAAAGUGAUCAUCUGAGACUCAUCCAAUCCAUGAGCCCUCAUCACUGUGCUAUAGAGUCUGAGGUGGAUGCGUGGACAACUAAUGAUCGUAUAUCUCUUGAUGUCUGGCAUCCUAAACUUAGCCGGCAAACUGGCUAUCGGCAUACCCUCGAAAUCAUCCCAAACAAUUGAUCUAUCUGACACUCUCAUCUGCCUCAUACGCUGUUUAAGACAGUCCAUACGUGCAUGAGCAUCAUCAACGACAGUGGUCUGGACAACAGCGGGUGGAACAAUCUCAGAAUGUCCAUGUAAUAUAUAGGGUGAGGCCUGAGGCACUGAAGGAACGGGUGGUGGUGGUGGAUGUGGAUGUGAGUCAUACGACGUCUCAUCCUGAACUGUUGGUGGUCUACUUUGCUGACCACUGAUCUCCUGCCUGAGGCUAGCCAAAGCCUCCUGGAUAGAAGCCAUGGUAGCCGUAAACUGAUCCAUUGUAACAACCUGCUGAUCCAUACUCGGUCUCUCUGAAUACCGGACUAAUCUCCCCUCUACUCUGACCCAAGAAGGCGUAUCCAGACUGUGAACGAAGAUCCGAUCCUGAUCGAUUCUUCUCCUACUCCUCUCCUCAAGUCUCUCAAAACCAGCAUCCAAAAGCACCUCCUUCGACCUCUCCUAUCUUCACUCCCCUCAAAAGCACCAGAAGUCUCUCAAAAAUCUCUUUUGCCCCUUGCCAAAAAGCCCCCUCCUCUCCAAAAUAUCUCCCCACAAAACGCCCCCUACGCUUGCCAGAAUAUCCUCUCUCUCAUCCGAUCCUCCUAACAGACUGCGGCCUCUCUAGAAUGUUCUUUCCACGUGUUCAACUCUCAUUUGCUCCUCGAUUCCACUACCUAAUUCUCUGUCCACCAACCACGAGGUGAUACGUGGCUCCUUGAGAGCCUUCCACCUGGCAAAAUGAGUUGCAGAAAAUGCAUGAAAGUGAGGCCCCAAAAUGAGGGUCUACAAAUAGGUUUUUAGAUGAGUGUGAAUUGUGUUUUGGAAUUCUAACUAAAAAAAAUUCAUUAGAAUUGAUGAUAGUUUAUUUUAGUCUUGUUCUACUAUAAGAGGUUGAAUUAUAAAAAUUUGUAGUACAUACAUUUCUAAUAAAAAUGUUUAUGAUUUAAGUAUUGUUAAUUUUAUUAUUAAAUGAGGAAUCUACAAAAAUUUAUGAAAUUUAAUUUUGUUGAGAAUUUGAUGAAUUAUGAAGCAGAAACAGUAGCUAAAUGUGGUAGAAUUUUGAUUCAAGUUUUGGAAUUUAUGAAUUUAUUUAGAUUAAUUUGUUACCCAAAUUAAGUUACUUUUAUGUUGUUGGGCUUCUUUUAAUAAAAAAAAAAAAUCAUUAAAAUUUAUAUCUAAAUUUUAUCAAGAAUCAAGAGGAAAAAUGGACAAAAACAAAGCAUAUUUCAAUCAUUUCAUUUUUUUUUCUUGAUGACAACUUUGUUAAUUUAUAAUAUAUUCAUUUUUCUUCCAAAUUACACAAAAUUGAAAUAGUUUAAUUCUUUCUUCAGAUAAAAGUUAUCUAAAGUCAUAAAAAAAAAUGAAAUUGAUUUUAUUUUAUGUGAGGAAUUAGGUCUAAAUAUCAUAACACAGUUAGAGAUCAAAAAAAUAUAAAGAGAAAAAAAAUGACUUUUUCUAUUAAUAUAAAAGUUAAAAUUAAUUCAUUUUUUCCUUAAGUAUAUAUAUAUAUAUAUAUAUAUAUAUAUAUAUAUAUAUAUAUAUAUAUAUAUAUUUUAAAAAAAAAAGUAAUAAGCUGAAAAAUAAAUAGUUCUAAAAUGUAUUCAGUCUUGAAGCAACUUACUUUAACAUUUGAGUAAAAAAACUAAAUAAAAAAUAAAAAUAGAAAAAAUCAAGCCCUAAAGCAUUGGAUGAGCCAAUGAUCGGAUACUUGAUUUUAACUAAGCAGUUACUUGUCAAUAAUUGUGUUCAUGUUCAUCUCUGCCAAGUACCUUAAAAUGAAAAGGAACAAGUUCAUAUAAAAUCCAAUUUGUCUUUCUCACCCAACACAAUUGCAACCAUCCACCACCAAUUCAAUAUCUCGAAAAACCUUCAAUGUCUCUAAUAGAACCAAAAUCAUGUUAUAUUUGGGAACAUUAAAAUCUUGAUGUAAUGCAACAUUUCAAAAGAAUUUUUCACUUUGAUCUAUGCUCAUAUCAACAUUUCUCUUUGAUAUAGGCAUUUUUCAAAAGAAUUCACCUAUCUUUUCUUGCUAAAGCCUUAAAUUUCUCUCUUCUCUCCAUAACAAACCUUGAGCAUGCAACUUACUAAAUAGACAUUACAUAGGAUUCAAAAUUAAUUUUCAACAAUUCUCAAGUAUAGUGCCUAUUGCAUAAGCAAAUAUACUUUUAAAGAUAUUGUUGAUAGCCUUCUCUAUGCUAAUAGCACUUUUAAUGCUUGGGUUGAUCUUUAUGAUUGAUUCCACCAAAGCAAUGCCCCACGAAUCUUCCAAAUCGAGAAGCACAUAGUUGUUCUUGAGCAAAGAUCUAUGGAUGUCAACACAUACUACACUAAGCUCAAGGUCCUCUAGGAUGAGCUCAAAAAUUAUCAACCCAUUCUUGUCUAUCACUAUGGAGGCACAAAGUCUUGGUUAGACACCAACAAUAGGAGUACAUCAUGCAAUUUCUUAUGGGUUUGAUUGAGUCAAAUGCUUAAACUUGAACACAGAUCUUAAUGAUGUCUUUGCACUAGUUGUCCAAGAAGAAUGCCAAUGUACUAUUAAUCAAGGCUCUUUUUUUCCUAUCGAUUCUCUUAUGCCCAACAUUUCAAAUUCCUCUGCUUUUGUUACAACAACAAAUUUUUCUCGAAAUUCAACUUUAAAACCCAAGUGUGAGUGACCCUAAUAUUCCCACUGUGGCUUGCAAGAACAUAUUGUAAAUAAAUGCUAUCAUCCUGGCUAUAAGUCAAAAUCAAAGAAACCUGAAGUAAAAAAUUCAAGCCACCUAGGCCAAUGCAACUAUUAAUGAGACUAUUAACUCUGGUUCACCCCUUGGAUCUCUUACUUUAGCUCAGUGUCAUCAAUUGUUUGCAUUCUUGAGCUCUCAACUUCAUAACAACUUUCUUGUUAUGCUAGAAUCUCAAUAGCUAGAACCCUUUGUUUCCCAGUUCAAUGGUAUACUAUCUUUUUCUUCUGUCUCAUAAUUUUCCAAUUUCUUUUUCCACCUGGAUUUUGGACAUAGAAGUCGCACAUCAUGUUUGUUGUUCAUUAAGCACAUUUACACAAUCUACUCCAGCACAAAAUUCUUUUGUAACUUUGCCUAAUGGUCAAUCUGUUGUUAUUAAUCGUAUUGGUUAUGUGUUUUUGUCUCCUGAUCUCAUCCUUAAUAAUGUCAUGUUUGUUUCUAAUUUCCAUUUCAAUCUCCUCUUUAUCUGUUCGCUCACUCAAAGUUAUAAAUCUUCUAUUAAUUUUAUGGUUGAUUCUUGUACUAUUCAAGGCCAUACACGGACCAAAAUGAUUGGGAUGAGUAGAAGACAUGGUAGCCUAUACUUCUUAAAUAUAGUCAAUUUUCAUUCCACUACACCACAAAUUUUCAGUCCUUGUAAUAAUGUUUCGUUGUCUCAAAAUGAAAUUUGGUUUUACCAUUUAGGUCAUCCUUCUUAUGUAACAUUACAAACAUUCAAAAAUGAAAUAGAAGUUAAACCAAAUUCUGGUGAUUCAAGUCAUUGUUUAGUUUUCCAUUUAGUCAAAAGAUGCAAAUUACAUUUUAUUUCUCACAAUUAUUUGUCUGUUUUGCCUUUUCAACUCAUACAUUGUGAUGUUUAAGGUCUCCUUCACACAUUUACCAUUGAAGGUUAUAGAUAUUUUUUUUACUAUUGUUAAUGAUUGUACUCAUUUUAUUUGGGUGUAUCUUUUGCGUGCUGAGCCUGAUGUUACUGAAGUUAUUCCUAUUUUUUUUUCUCAUUGAUUCAAACUCAAUUUGGAACACAAAUAAAAUUUGUUCACUCAGAUAAUCCUCCUGAAUUGGCAUUUUUUGACUUCUUUCAUGCAAAAUGAGUCAUCUCAUUUCAUUCUUGUGUUGAUUAGCCUCAACAAAAUUCAAUAGCAGAAAGAAAGCAUCAACAUAUCUUAAAUGUUGUAUGGUCUUUAUGUUUCCAAUCACAUAUUCCAUUGGUUUAUUGGGGGGAUUGCAUUCUUAUUAUUGUACACUUAAGAAAUAAAACUGCAUUCCCACUUUUGUCCAAUAAAACAACCUUUGAACUUCUUUGGAAAAAGAAGCUUGCAUAUUCACAUCUUUGUAAUUUUGGUUGCCUAUGUUAUGCAUCUACUUUAGAUCGUCAUAGGACAAAUUUCUCACCUCAUGUCAUUCCUUUUGUCUUUCUUAGGUACCCAUCUGGUUAUAAAGAAUACAAAUUAUUGAAUCUAGUCACUAAUUCUGUGUUUAUCUCCCAUAAUGUGGUAUUUCAUGAGUCUAUAUUUUCUUUCAAAACUAUUCAAACUUAUUCUCCUCUUCCAAAUAUUUUCUCUGAUACUGUUUUACUAUUUCCUUCUUUUUCUUCCAUUCUUGAAUCUACAUCUUUGCCAAUAUCAACAAUUCCUACUGUUUUCAUACCUUCUACGUCUCAUUGUCAUCCUAAUCGUGUUCGUAGGCCUCCUUUUUAUCUAGCAUAUUACUACUGCUAUUCUUGUUCCCACAGCACAUCUUCUACCUCACAUCCUCUCACACAUGUCCUUGAUUACACAAAAUUGUCAAAUUCAUAAAAAUAAAAAAAUGAAUAAAAGUUUGUGUUAUUUCCUAUAAUUUUGAACCCACCACAUACUUCAAGGCUGCUACUAUUCUAGAUUGGCAAGAUGCAAUGUCUGCUGAGUUAGGAGCUCUUGAACAAAAUGACACUUGGUCUUUAACUACUUUGCCACAAGGAAAACAUGCUAUUAGGUGCAAAUGGGUGUACAAAAAUAAGUAUAGAGUUGAUGGAACUAUUGAACAAUACAAAGCUCACCUUGUAGCUAAAGGCUGCACACAACAAGAGGGCAUAGACUAUCUAGGUACCUUCUCUCAUGUUUUCAAAUUGGUUACUGUUAAGGUUUUGCUUGCUUUGGCUACCAUUAAUGGUUGGAGCCUUCCUUAGAUGGAUGUCAAUAAUGUGUUCUUACAUGGUGAUCUUUUUAAGGAAGUUUAUAUGACUCUCCUAGUUAUCACCUGAAGGAAAAUCAUUAUCCUCACACUCUGUUUACAAAAUUCAAAAGUCUUUAUAUGGCUUGAAACAAGCAUACGACAAUGGUUUUCCAAACUCUCCAAUUUCUUACUUGUUGAAGGUUUUUAAACAUUCUAAUGCAAAUCACUCUCUUUUUGUCAAAGUUGUCAGUACUCACUUCAUUGCUCUGUUAGUUUAUAUGGAUGACAUUGUCAUUGUUAGUAAUAGUGAUGAGCGAGUUGAGAAAUUAAAAGUUCUAUUUAGGAAAGCUUAAAUACUUCUAAGGCCUUGAGGUGGUGAGGUCUAAUAAGGAAAUUUCCCUUAGUUAGCACCAUUAUGCCUUACAAUUACUAUCAGAUAUAGGCUAUGUUGGUUGUAAAUCAAGGAAAACACUUAUAAAUCCAAAUGUGAAGCUCACACAAGACAAAGGUGAUCUAUUAAAAGAUCUUUUAUUUUACAGAAGAAUGAUAGGCAAAUUGCUUUAUCUAACCGUAGCAAAUCCAGAUUUAUCAUUUUCAGUACAUAAAUUCAAUCAAUUUCUUGCAAAGCCCAGAGUUCUUCAUAUGUGGGCAAUACAACAUGUGCUUCAGUACUUGAAAGCAUGGUUUGAAAUAUUGGUAAACACGGAUAUAUCGAUACUUGGAUUUUAUGAAUAUGUUGGAAAUAUUGGUAAAAUAUCGGUAAAUAUUGGUAAAAUAUCGGUGGAUAUUUUGGCAAAAAUAUUGGUGAAACAAAAAUUAUUCAAAAUUCAUGGAAAUGUUUGGAAAACUCUAAAAAAAAUGAUAAAAUAAGCAAGAAUACAUAUGUUAAAGUUAUUGUAAGUGGAAUUGACAUAAAUAUGGUCAAUGAGAAAAAUAUGGAGGGAUAUAUCAAACUUAAUAAUUUAUUAUUUAUCUUAUCAAAUUAAUUUUAAUUUAUAAAAUAUUAGAACUUCAUUAUUUUUUUUAUUUUAGUAAUGUUUUGAAUACAUUUAUAUUUUUAAUAUUUGUAAAAUAAAAACAUUCAAAAUUAAAUAAAAUUAAAAGGAUAAACAUAAAAAAAGUGAACUGAUAGCAAUUUUUAAAAAUAAGAUUAAUGAGAUAAAUGAUGAUACAUUUAAUAUUAAAACUAUAAUUUAUUUAAUUCAAAUACAUUCAACAAUGUAAAAUAAAUUAUGAUGCAUAUAUAAUUUUUUUGAUAUUUAUAUUUUUUUUAUAUAAUUGUCAUAUAAAUGAUAUAAAAAAUAAAAUAAAAUAAAAGACUUGUUAAGAAAAUUAUAAUGAUGGUUUUAUACUUUUAUUAAAUAAUUAAAUAAAAUUUUAAAUAAAAUAAUUAGAAUUAAUUUAUUUAUUCUUUUAAUGAUGAAUUUUACCAUAUUUAUUGUGAACAUAUAUUUACAAAUGUGGACUUGGCCCAAUAGUAGUCAGGCUUCACCCAAGCCUUUUGGCCUAGGUUUGAAUCCCCUUGGAUGCAAUAGAAAAAAAUUUGAAGGAAUUUACCCGAAUAUCGACAUCUUUUCGAUGAAGUUGAUUGACUUUCGGUGUACAAUAUCAUGUCGACUCUCCCUGAUAUUUUGACGAUCAACUUUUAGUGUGGAAUAUUGUGUUAGCUCUCCCUGAUAAGCAAAAUAUCGACAAUAUUUCAUCAAAAUUUUGCAACAUUUUAGUGUGGAAUAUCAUGUCGACUCUCCCCAAUAUUUCAACAAUCGACUUUCAGUGUGGAAUAUCGUGUUAGCUCUCCCUGAUAAGCAAAAUAUCGACAAUAUUUCGCCAAAAUUUUGCAACAUUUCAAACCAUGCUUGAAAGUUAUGCAGGACAAGGUUUUUUUUUUUUUUUUUUCAUUAAUAGAGUUGAAAAGGUUUGUUGAUUCAAAUUGGGCAACUUGUGUGGUCUGUUAAUGAGUUUUGCUUUUUUUUAUUUAUUUAUUGUUGAUUCCUUAAUUUCCCAGAAAUAAAAAAGGCAGCAUACAGUUUCAAGAUCUUUUGUUGAAGUUGAGGACAAAUUUAUGGCAAAUGCAACAUGUGAAUUGAUGUGGUUACUUUCUUUAUUUAGAGAUUUGCAUGUAUCUCGUCCUAAGCCUGCCUUGCUAUUUUGCAACAAUCAAGCAACUCUUUAUAUUGUAGCUAAUCCAAUUUUUCACAAGCACACUAAGCACAUUAAGAUCGAUUAUCACUUGGUUAGAAAGAAACUGCAAAAUGGAAGCUUGAAGACACUACAUAUUUCAUCUAAACAUCAAGUGAGAGACUUGUUGACCAAACCUUUUUCUUCACCUCAAUUUCUUUUUCUUCUUAGUAAAAUCGAAAUUCACAAUAUUCAUUCUCCAUUUUGAGGGGGAGUAUUAGAAUAUUUGGGUAUCUUGCAGUAUGGUUACAAGUUAAGUAAAGAAUUGUUAGUUUGUUAAAUAAUUGUUAGCUUUUUUUUUUUUUUUUUUUUUGCAACUAGAUGUGUCUAUUCAAUAACUUCAUAUGGUUAUAGUUAAUUAAAGAAUCCUUUACGUAUUAACUGUUAAAAUAAUUUGUUUCCAACUUUCCUAUUAAAUUUUCUUCUGCUCAAGAUUUCAAAAAUUAUAGUUCAAGAAAGCUCUUUCGAUUUCUAUGUUGCACUGUAUCUUCUUAUAUGUUAGUACAAAUCAUACUCCUCUUUUUACCUCUUCAAUGAAUCCUUUUAGGAGUAAGACCACCAAGUGAGCACCCUUAUAUUGAUCCACAAGCUUUUUAUUACAUAUUUUUUGUUUGUGCACACCACCUCAAAUUUAAGUGGCCCAUAAAUUUUAUACUUUGGAUACCUUACCAUCCAAUCAUAAGCAUAAACUAAAUUUGAAAGGAUAAGAUUAGUUUAUUUUAGAGAAAUUGAGCUCCAAGUCCCCUAGCCAAACAUGAAGUUUUGAAGCAUGAAAUUUUUGUGAUGGGACAUAAUUGCAAUCCUUAUUAAAUUGAUCAAUUGUGUUAUGCCAAGAAUGCAAAUUAUGCAUGGCAAAGUGGUUAGAAAGUGUACAAAUGCACCAUCUUUUUACUUGUUUGUUUACUCAAAUUUCUCGGUCAAUUUUUUUUUUUCAUUCUUAUCCCUCUUGAUUGAGGCAAACAUGUUUUGGCUAGUGCUCUCAAAUUCCUUAAAUAUAUUCUUUUCAAUAUUGUAAACAUUUGGCUUGGUCAUUGUUAUAGUUAUCAAUUGUGUCAACUUUUACUUUCUCUCAUCCCCAAUUACAUAUGCACUUUGUAGCUUUAAUUUUUUUUUAGUGAUUAAUCUUAGUUUUUAUCUAAUUGUUUGCCUUAUAGUCUUUGACAUAACUAUAAGUGUAACAUGUACCUCUCACAAACCAAAAGACAUCACUUGUCUUCUUUAAUUUAAACAUUUUUGCAUCUGUGUAAGAUCUGAAACUAGAAUUUCACAACAUCGCGUAGUCAUUUUCUCUAGUUGUUUCUCAAAGCUCUCUUCAAGAUUUAGUUCAUGUUCAAUUACCAACUUUGAGUUUUCACUUUUUUUUUUUCCCAUGAGUCAUGAGGAAAUGAAUUUCAACUGUGUUUCAUCUAUCCAUCUCUCUUAAAUUGUUUUAUUCGAUAGUUACCAAUUGUAGAAUUGUUUUUAUAUAUUCUUUUCAUAGAUAUUGUUAAUAAAUUAUGCUAAAUGAGUAGCUUCCUGAUGUGGUGAGAGCUAAUUUUGUUAUUGCUAGGAUAAUAUCUUUUUAACUUUCUUAACUUUUUCCGAAUUAUAAACCACUCAUGCUUUGACCAAUCUCCAUGUGUUUUUCAUUUGUUUGGAUUUAUGGGCUUUUGAUUCUAUUUGGUGAAUAGAUAAUAAGGAAUUAAGGAUCUGAGAUUGACAUUACUUUAAGGAUGUUUGAAGAUGACAUAGUGAAGCAUAGAAUAUUUUUUUGGGUUGUAUCUCCUCAUUUCCCAUACUUAUGGUGGACAUUGAUGAGUUGGAUUAUUUGAAUGAAAUGAGCUUUGGAAAAAUACUAGUAAUUACAUGAAUUGUUGCAAUAUAUUUGAGUGAAAAUAUUAUGUUAGUGUCUCUCCAUGUCACUAAUUCAAACCUGUUACUUUCCAUUGUAAGUGGUAGAAAUAUAUUUUUUAUUUUCUAGAAAACAUUACUCUAACUUGUGAAAAAGGUUCUUAUGCCUCCAUAUUAAAUGUUAUAUGAUGGAAAAAAAACUUGAAUCUCUCUGUUUCCUCAGUCUGGAUCAGGUUAGGAAUAUGCAUAACUAUCCUAGGCUUUUUCUAAAUUCUAUGCACAACAAAAAAAUUAAUUUUUUUUAUACUUUAUAAGGAUCUAGAAAGUGCUAACGAAAACUAUACCUCAAAUUCGGAUGCUCCCGAGUCUUCCGCUCGAUGACUCAAACCUUGAUCUUGGCACACUUCUAAUGGGGAGGAAAUGAGGGUGGAGGCUAUAGUUUUCUCUCUCUCUGGAUGGUGGACGAUAAAAGCUAUGGAACCCCUAACCUCUAGGGGGUAUUUAUAGGGUUCCUAAGUGGGCUUAAGUGACUUGAGCCCAUACAGGCUUGGGUCACUUAAUCUAACCCAAAAUGAGUUCUAACUGAUUAAUUAACCCAAUAAGGCUUACUAAUUAAUCAAUUAGCCCAAUCAAGAGACCUUGUUCACUUACCCCUAUACAACCUUGCGUAAUUAUCAAAAUGCCCUUAUGCACAGAAGUGAACUUAGAGUCAAUUCAACCCUCAUAACCCAUGCCAACAAGGUAUAUGAGUUCAAAGUGGGGACCAUUGGGACCCAUAGAAAUACUGACUCCCUCAAAAUCAAAUUCUAAAGUUGAUUCAAUAUCACACUAUAGAGAAUCAACUAAACUCCAAUAUCUUAUGUAAAUAACAACGAGACACUAAGUGAUCGGGUCUGUGACUUGCUAUCCAUUGUGUUCAGUCUCCCCAUGAACUAAUGUCCGUAGUUUAAUAAGGUGAAAGCUAUUAGUCUUUCAAGACUACCUCUACCUUCUAUUUUGUGUUCAAUUGACAUAUCUUAGCUCUCAAAGAGCCUAUGUCAAGUUCCAUUUAAUGAACUACAUGACCAUAGUUUCCAUGAACACACCUCCUUAAGAUCACCCAAGGGGACACACUAUCUCAAUCCUAAGAGAUAUCAUAGUGCCUCUAUUGAAAAUACCUAUUACUACCAGCUUCUAUCAACAAUGACCCAAUCCAUACGGAAUAUAUGAUCAGCUUACGAUUUCACCUGUAGGUCAAAGUCAUUGCCAACUUUAGCACAAGCUUAAUAUUCUCUCAAGGUUGAGAGACAACACAAUGAAACAGCUUGGUGAGGUCAUGACUCAAUAAUAGCCUUAAGUCAUGACUCACCAUAAGUCUUGUCCAAUGUGUAACCAUACAUACUAGUGCACUCACCAUGGGAAACCCAUCCUGAUAACCAAGACCAGUGAUCCCUCCAAUUAGGAGGUGGUGCACUACAACCUUUAAUGGGUUGCCUAGACCCAUGAACCAAUUGUAAACAAGUCAUCUAUUUGCAAGGAACCCAUGACUUAGAUCUUCUGUGCAACUCCUAAUGCACCUAAGUCACGUACAAUACAAAAAAUGCAGACAAGAAUGCUCAUAAAGUAUAAUAUAUGGAAUAAGAAUAGAUAAAAGUGAAACUGGAACAUCAUUAAAUAAAUAAUGAAUUCCAAAUUUAUUACAUCAUGUCAUGAUUUUAAGUGCUUUAUCCUAACAUUAUAUAUUUGAGAUAAACAUGAUAUAAUGAGAUUUAUGUUUCUUUGUUAUAAUAUUUCAAUAAGUAAUUGUGUUUUAAUUUUAAUAAACUAUGCAUGCAUGAAACAAUUCAAGUAUCAUUAGCAUCAUUGGUAUCAUUGUGAGACAAAAGUUUCUCUUAUUACAUACUAAAGAGAUUUAAGUUAUCAAAAAGUGAAAACGGUUUUAUCUAGGCUAGUUUCAAGUUGACAACUUUUAAAUUGUUUAUCAUGUGAUAAAGAACUUUUCCCUACAAAUGAUACUUGAAUUGUAUAAUUAGACAGUGUAGGAAAACAUAAUAUCUAUGAAGUUAACUGUUUAUUCUUAAUUCAAUUUUUAGAAAUUUUGGUAGUCUUUCCUCUUAUUCUCUGGGUGCAUAUUUGGAUAAAGUUGCAUAGUAUGCCUUGUCCAUUUUACAUACUUAGAGAACUAUAAGGAAAUUCUACUAAAACUUCUUUAAAAUGAAAUUGACCACAUUGGUCAUUGACACAUAGAGAUUAUGUAUUUCUAUAUGGGAUAGGAACUACUACCGAAUUUAGGAUGUUGGAGAUGUUAGAAUGCAUAAAACAUGCAUCAAAAUUUGACAUACUCAAAUGAUUUUCUUUAUUUAGUAAAUUAGUAUAGAUAAUGUUUGAUGCAAAGGUCAUGGACAAACCCAAUAUAAUAAUAUUAAUAUGCACUAGUUUUAUUGAGGUUAUACAUCCCUUUUAAUGCAAGUAUUCAUGGUCAACAACAUUUAUAACUUAUUAGUCACUACUACAAAUAAGAUAUACCAUGACCUUGUUUUUUCCUUGGCACUUUUAAAAAUGUUAAUAAUUAGCGUGAUAUUUCAAAAGUGUAGAUCUAUGUUCAUAGAUCAAAAUGGUUAGAACAAUGCUUACUUUUUUUCUUUUAAAUUUGGCAUCUUAAAGAAAUGUUGAACUACACUUUCUUGAUUAUUAUUUGAACAAAAAAAAAAGGUUGUUAAACGAAUAGCAUAGAAAAUGUUGCUAUUUUCUUCAAUUUGAAGUUUGAUCACUAUUGAAAGUUUGUUCUUAAAAAAUGGAUCAUUUGUGGAUUUCAAAGGAUAGAGGACUAAAGGAGUAUGGGGAUGGGGUAGAACAUUUUUAUCACAUUUGCAAUAUAAAAUUCUGCAUAUAAAAACUCCAUUAAAUGUCCAUGCUUGUAGAGUGGUAAUAUGAUAUUUCAUACUCCUCAAAGAUUUCCUCAAAGAUUUCCUCAAAAUAUUAGAGAGCAUAUGUUUUUCUAUAGAAUUAAUCAGAAUUACCAUAUAUGUUAUUGGCAUGGGGAAGCAACUCCAAGUGAACCACCAACUAGAAGGGUAGAACAUUAUAAUAUGGUUCAAUUUAAUGAUGUAGAUAGUACAAUAGAAAUGGUUGAAGUUGUACAAGUUGAAUGUCAAAAUGACCUAAAAUUGCUUGAAAGAUUACUUCAAAUUGUUGAAAAACCUUUUAUAUCCUAGUUGUAGAAAAUUCACACAAUUGUUUGCAUUGGUUAAAUUAUACAACUUGAAAACACACUAUGAGUGGUCUGAUAAAAGCUUUUCAGAGCUUUUAAAAAUGCUUAGAUAUAUGUUGCCUCUAAAUAAUGAGUUACCCUUGUCUAUGUAUGAGACAAAAAUGGCAUUGAAUACAUUAGGAAUGGAAUAAGAAAAAAUACACGCAUGCCCCAUGAUUGUAUACUUUACAGGAAUAAGUUGAAAGAUGCAUUUCAUGUCCUAUCUAUGGAACUUCAAGGUGAAAGGUAGAUAAUAUAGGAACUAAAAAAAUGACAGGAACUCCUGGGAAAGUAAUGUGGUAUUUUCCUCCAAUUCCAAGAUUUAGAAGAAGGUUUCAAUCAUAAAAAAUCGUAAAAGACCUCAUAUGGCAUACCUAAGGAAGAGAUUUAGAUGACAAAAUGUGUUAUCCAGCUGACUCUCUAUCAUAGCUAAUUGAUCAUAAAUGGCCCAACUUUGUUUCAAAACCUAGAAACUUGAGACUUCCCAUUUUAGCAGAUGGUAUAAAAUCCUCACAAUUCAUUGAUUAGCAAAUAUAGUUGUUUGUCCUAAAGAGCUCGAAGCAGCAACUAUGGACAAUGUUUUUUUUAUCAUAAAGAGUAAGUUAUGGGCAACACUAUGGCUGUAAAUAGAGGUAAAACCUUUAACUUGUUUUUAGUUUGAUUUUUCUUUUCUUUCAUAAUGGAAAUAGAAAAUCAUCUAAACAAAUAGGACCUUAAUAAUUUUUUUUUUCUACAAUUUAUUUUUGAAUAAAAUAAUUUAAAAGAUUCCAUUCUUAUAUUUGUUAGACUUUUUUUUAAUGAAGAAAAAAAUAGUCUCCCUUUUAGCAUAUAUAUUAUAUAUGAUUAACAAUGGGUAUAAUAAAAUUUAUUUAAUAAAUAAUUGAUGUGACAUUCUAAAUUGAAAGUCAUAAAUUAGCUCAUUAGUUUGAUGUUGGCCCUAAAACUACAAGACUUGAUUACAUACUUAGAUUUUAUUCUUGAAAUUUAAGAGAUAAUUGAUGUGACAUCUUGAAUUGAAAGUCAUAAAUUAGCUUAUUAGUUUUAUGUUGGCACUAAAACUACAAAACCCAAUUACAUAAAUUUUGUUCUUGAGAAAUGUCAUUAUGGUUCAUAGUAAGGCUUAGUUUGGUGUGUUAGACCAUGCAUGCAUGAUAUCUCUUCACAUUCUCUUGUUUUUUGACAAACAUGCUACCAUACUUAAGGUGUUUGUCAAGGCUCAUCUUGGACUACUCAAAACUUUGGGGUCCUUUCUUUGAGUUCACAAGCUUCUUUCCCCUAGUGUCAACCCCAACUCCCAAAAUCCACUCCUUAGUAGUGCACUGACGAAAUCUACAAAUGCACUAUAAAGUGAGAAUGGCAUCAUGAAAAUGUAUUAAUGCAUCGUAGAUGUGGGAACUUAAAAAUAUAUAUAUAUAUAUAUAUAUAUAUCUAGAGUUUAGACUUGUUUCUAUUAAUUAGAAAUUACUAAGCAAUGAAUCUUGCUAGUGUGGAAAGUACCAAUAGAUUGACCAAGGAAGGUAUAUGUAAAAAAGAUUGACAUUGUCAAUUGGAAAAAUUCCUUUACAAACGUCAACCCUAUCUUCCUAACCAUCAUGGAUGUUGAGAAGUAGAUAUCGAUGACUAUGAUGAGGAUCACAAAGGAUUAUCAUACCAAGGAGUUAGACAUUUGUUGGGUUAUCAACAAUUUUAAUGAGGGUGGUAUUAACUAUUUGGUUGUUGAUAGUGUAUUGCGUAGUUCCACCAAGCCAAUCUGCUCCUGCAUUGAGAUCAAUCUCGAUGAAAAGGUAGCAUAUAUUUUUCAUUUCCUAAUUCUAUCAAUUGCUUCAUGGUGCCUUUGUCUAAUAAGCUUAACAGGUUCUUCUACAUUUUCACCAUUUAAUUCUCUAACGUUCAUCAUGAUAGGGUUGAAAUUUCAUCAUCAAAUCAAAACAUAUCCUCCUAUAAGAGGCCUUUGAAUUCUGAAAUAAUCAAUUCACUUUAUUCUCAUAUUGGCAAAGACAAGCUUACACUAUUGGAAAGACUACCCCUAACCUUUGCCCUCCCAAAUAGCAAAGAUGAGAGAGAACCUUUCACAAAAUCACAAGAAUUAUUCAAGUUUGGAAUUCAUAGGCAUUGUUAUUGAAUUUCAUUUGUAUAAAAUUGGUGUGUUGUGUUUAUUUUGUUGGUAUUAAAAUUGAAUUUUUUUUAAUUGCAAAUUGAUGAUUUUUUUUCUCUCUCACAUUUAUACCCAUUAGAGUUUCUUAUUAGGGUUUGUGUUUGAAAUUUGGAGAAAGUAUGGUGCAAUUGUUCAUCGGUGUGGUGUACCAUUUUGUUUGUUGUAUCUAAUAUUUGGGUAUUUGAUUUAAUUUUAUUGUUGUUGAAAUUGAAAGUUGAAAUCCAAGUUAAUUGUUUAACUAGCUAUUUGUAGUUGACUUGUUUUGCACCAAUCUUGAUUACCCAUUUCAUGGGAAUAAUCGAUUCCAAUUUUCCUUCAUGGUUACUAAAAAUAUAUUGUAGGUGAAGGACUAUUAUGGAGUAUAUUAAUUCACAAGAAAAAUGUUCCUUUAGUUAGUAAAAACUUCAUUCAUGUGGUCAUUUAUGAGCAUCAUAAUAAUCCAUAUUAAAAAUAUUUAAAAACAUUAAUGCACUAAAACAUUGAUUUCAUCAACAAAAAUACACUCAUUCUUUUGACUUAUAGCAUUCAAAGAUGUUUAAAAAUAUAUAUGUACAAUAAAACAUCAUCGAAUUUAUUAACAAUUAAACUUUUAACCCCAAAACAAUCCGUUACUUUAGUAGAUAAGACACUAUUGGAAUAACAUUAUUUUUAGCUCAAGUUAGAAGUUAAAAUGAUAAGGUUAAAAGAACAAAACCAACAAAAAAAAAAAGUUAUUUUUUGUCAAACUUGACACUAGUACAAUUUAAAUAAUGUAGCUCAAUGCCCUAUUGAAUUGAGUCAUAUAACUAGACUCCCUAAUUAUAUAUUAUGAUACACACACAACCUUUGGUCUAGUAUACAUGAUUAAAUUAAAUGCCAACCUAGUUUGCAAAGCUAAACUGGAAUCCCAAAUCUAGUUCAUUAUAAAUACUCUUCAACCAACUUGCUACAACAUUCAAAUAAGACAAUGACAAUGAUAGAAAACCAAAAAAAUACCUAAUAUAUCAUUGAAAACUCCUUCCUAAAGGAGGUAAAAAAAAUCAUGAAGUAACUUUCUUCUAUUAAUAAAAAUGGGAAUACAAUGAUCUAUAUAGUGUUUUAACUCGAAACUGAUGGUAUUACAAAUAUUAAAGAAGAAAUUUAAAACACACACACACACACACACAACAAGCAUGUUGUCAAGCUUAUAAGAGUUGGAGAAAUUUCUCCAUAUAAAUCUUCAAAACAUGAUGGAGAGUAACCUUGACAUUUAAGUCAAUAAUAUACAAGGAAAGACAACCCAAAAAGAUACAACUUUGAGAACAAACUCUCCUUUUUGCUUUUUUACAUAACCUUUUUUUUUUUUUUUUCCUUUUUGAAAACUUCUCUCCUUUCCUCUAAUUGUUACACCAUACAACAAUCCUAAAAAAACAGAGUUUAAAGGCUUGUUUGAUAACUGUUUUUAAAAAUAAUUUUGAAAAAUAGUUUUUGAAAAUUAUUCUCUAAUGUUUAAUUUGUAGAACAAAAGUUUGUUUGGAAACCCAAAAUAUUUUUAACAUGUUUUUAAUGUUGUUAAAUAUGUUUUAAAAAUAAUUUUUAUGUUUAGUAUUUUAUUUUUAAUCAUUUUAUAUGUUUAUAUAAUUAUUUUUUAAGGCAAACCUUAAAAAAUAAGUGAAAAUAACAUAAAACACUUAAAAGAUAUUAUCUGAAAACACCUUAUUUUAUUGUAACAGAAAAUAAAAAGCGGUUUUUGGUUGUCAAACAUGUUUUCUUAAUUUUUUAUUUUGAAGAAUAGAAAUUUGUUCUUGAAAAUAUCUAGUUAUCACAUUAGUUAUUGCCCAUUUUAUGAUUUUAAUUAUUGCUUAAAAACUAGUUUUUCAGCUAAAAAAGAAGGUCCACUACUUAUGGGUCAAACCUUCAACUUUCAAACCCGAACACAAAGUUAUAGUCAAGACUAAUAUUCACAUAUUAGUAUUAAUAUAGUUCAUUAAAUAUGAAUUUCUAUUGAAGCCAAAAUCGAGUUUUUAGGGGAAGUAACAUUCACUUUCAAUUAAGCAAUUUUUAACUCAUAAGUUAGUACUUGUAACAAAAUUUCUUAAUAGAGACUUUAAUUGAGUUUUAAGAAGAAUUUUUUGUUUGUUAAAAACCAAUUCAAACAAAAUCUAAAACUAAUAUUAUUAUCUAAAAGACAUAAUGAACAACAUAAACCAUAAACCAAAGUGGUAGUGACAACCAAUAUGUAGCGUCAAUGAAUAAUUGAAAAUAACCUCAUUUUCUAAUGACCUCGAACCUAGAAGCUCUAAAAUUCUUGCCUAAUUCCUUGUGAUGACUUUGGUUCAACCUUAAUGGCGAGGGCAAAAUUCUAAAUAAUUUUUGUCACAACUCAUAAAUUUAGAAGAAAAAAAUGAGAAUAAAUGGAAUCCCUAAUGAGAAAUUGUUAUUUUUCCCCUUUAUGACAAAAAUAGUAACCUACUAGUAUUAUUAAAUAACAUGGAAAUUAUUAUUUCAACUUUAAUACCAUGUAUGACAUAACUUUAACAACCUUAAUUUAUAAGAUUAUUUAAUUUAAAAGGAUAAAACAAUUACAUAUUCAUAAGAAUCGCUUCUAUUUUUUAAAAACAAUAAAUUCCAUUUUUUGGACAAAAAUACCCUCCAUUGUUUUUAUCAACAUUUCACAAUCAAACACUUAUUGGAAAAAAAAAAGUAUAAGGGUAGCUAUAUUAAAAUGAGGUUAUAAUUAUAAUACUCAAUAAGUGGAGAUUUUUUUUCCAAAUAUUGGGAUCAUCUUCUCCAUUUGACACAAAUAUUUAUAAUUUAUAUUAUAAUUACUCUUAUAGUAAGAGAGAAAGAGUAAUUUCACAUGAAAUGGACCCAUAAACAUAGAUUUAUUAUGAGGCAUGAUACUAUAAUAAUAAUAGGAAAUAAGACGAGACGUGAUACCAUAAUAAUAGAAAAUAAGAUAAGUAAUUCAAUACUUAAUGAAGGUCUGAAAUAAUUAUGUUUCUCAUUAAAUGAUAUUAAAGACGAAAAAAAACUUAUUAAUUUUUAUUUUAAGUAUUAAGAUUAUUUAAUAAAAUUAACUUAAAAUUUAUUUUAAAUUAUCAAAUUGAUAUAUUUAUUUUCAUAGAUUAUAACUAAGGUAAAUGAAAUCAAGUAAUAAUGGAUGUCAUGUAGUGAAAGAGAUCCUAGAGGCAACGGGACAAAUUGUGGUAAAAAAUGUCAAAUAAAAAUACGAACUUAAGAACAAAUUAAUUGUUUGUACUUAUUACUUAAAGUUGUUAUUUAUUUUAUAUUAUUAAAUUAUUUUACUAAAUAUGCUUAAUUUAUUUAAUGACUUAAAUUAAUUUAUUAGUCACUUUAGGCUAUUAAAUCGGGUUUACCAAUCAUAUCGAAUACAUUUGGCUAGUAGGCCAAGACUCAAGAAUAUUGCUAUCAUAUGUUUUAUGUAUUAAGGUGCCAAGAAUAAUUCACCACAAAAUAUAUGAUGAGUUGAUAAGUAUAGGAUACAAUCUAAAAUAUGCACUUGAUUUCAUCAUCUAAAUAAAUGCUCUCGGCAAAUGGAUCAUCCUAGCUGAUACCAGAGCACAAGCCGCCAUGGACAGGAGGCAACGGAGAAACCCUUCUGCUUCUUCUUCUGCCUUUUCAUCUCCAGCUUCAUCCUCAUCGCGUUUCCGCUCAGAGAAAUUCUCCUCGAAUCCCCCAAAAACUAGUAACUCCCUGGAGGAUGCUCACCAAUUGAAAAGCAAAUGUGGGAAGCCACAAAGACCAAAGCAAGAGGAGGAAGGAGAGCAAGAUCCGAACAAUCUUCUCUCCUUAGUUGGAACUUGCCCAUUCAUGUGCCCUGGUAAAAAUGCGUGCUUAUUUUUCCAUUUUUUUAAAAUUCUAUUUUCCUGUUAUUCUGUGUUUGGUUUCCGAGAAAUUGGAGGAAAACAGUAGAAAAGAGAAGUGAAUCUGGAGUUUCUGUGUCAUUUUUGUGGCUUUUACAUAAAUUUUACAAAUAAAAUUGAUAUUUCUCCCCCUUUAUUAGAUACCAAUCUGCAGAAGAUGUAGGAAUCCCAAAAAAAAAUUCGCUUUUGCCUUUACUUCCCCCAAAUCUUUCAUAAUGGAAAAUGGACUUACCACCUCUUUUAUCACUUUUCCUUUACCAUGUCAGGUUUACAUGUAAUCAAACACUGUAUUUGGAGUAGGGCACUUAUUCUAAUGUCAAAUGGUGUUGAAAACUUGAAUUACUGGAUCUUAAGACUCCAGAAGAAAUUUGAUUGUUUAUGAUUAUUGCUCCAUGAGAAGGGAAAGGGAUUUCUUUUGUUUUUGCUCACAUAUAUGGCCAAAUUGAUUUAUCUCCUUCUCAUACGAACAAAAUAAGGACAUUUCUUGUCUUGCUGCCUUUUAUGCCACCGGUUCCACAUGCUGAUGUGACAACCCUUUUGCUAUUCUGUACAAAUGGUAGGAAAAUUCUGGUAAGACUGGUGGCCAGCCUAUCAUGUUCAGGGAAUAAAUUCAUUGUAUAUCUGGAAUUCACUCUAUAUCAGCAUAGGGUGUUGAUACUGAUUAUAAAUGACAAAUUCAAUUUAUUAUCCUUACAUUAGGGAGUGCUAAAAGGAUGCAAAUUGUUCAUGUUAUACCCAAAGACAUACAAGUGAUGCUAGAGAUUUUCACAAUGUGGAUAAUCAUAGAGUAGAGAUGAACACUAUGGAGUCUUUUGGCAUGUGUUCAUUCCAUGUACGGGAACAUGCAUUGGAAGAUUAUGUUUCCUCCUCCCUUCCCCUCCCCAAAGUUAAUACUAUGUUGUCAUGGCAAGAACUUUGGUGACAUGCUUCUGAGUGGAAUAGCCUCCUAGAAGUCCAUUUAUGUGGCAGUUGGCAAGUUCUUCCGGUCAAUGAGAACUUUGUGACUGUCUGAUUGUUGUACUAAUCAUCAUCAGAUUUUUUUUUAAGUUCAAGUUGUAAAUAGCCUUUCACAGUUGAAGGUAGCGAUGAAGAGGCCUGUUGACAUAAUUAUUUCUUCUGCUUGAAUGGAUUAAAAUCAGAUACCACACCUUCAGCCUAGAAAACUAUGGACUUUCCUAUGUACCUGCAAUUGGCUGAAUACUGGUGUGGCACUGACUAAAGGCUCUCUGAUGCUGUUAUUAAUUUCCUGAGCAAAUUAGAGAAAACAGAGAGGUCAUAAUGUGAAUCAGUUACCUCUUGAGUAGGGAUGAAGGCUUUUUAUAACUUUUUACUUUCUGGUUAGGCCUUGGAAGCACUUCUGUGAACCAUGAUUUUGUACUGUAAAAUUAGAUGGGAUGGAUAGGUCACCUUAACUCUACUUUUGGAAGUGAUUGGGGAGCGCAUGACUGUAUGAAUAUUGAUGUGUUCUCCCCAUACAGAGCCCAACUUCUUUUUGAACUAGGAAGCAUGAAGGGUGGGUGGAUGUGGGCUGAGGAAGGAAGAUUUGACUUGUGUGCCGCAGGCCUGCGGUACCAAUUUGUUCCAGAACUUGAUAAGGCCCAUAAACUGGUAGGCAAGUUUCAUUAUUUGGUCACCACUGAAUUUUGGCAGUAUGGCCACAAGGAAGGUAGGAAGGAGAGGGAGAAGAGAAAACCCCAAUUGCCAAUUGCAAGCUUCCGGUUGGCACAGUGCUCAUUGCUGACAUUUUCAUUUGAUUUUGACCUUGCAACAGAUACAGCUUAACAUGAUGGACCAGUUUUUCACAAUCUUGUGAUUCAUUACCCAACUUCUAGUAACAGUUUCUCAGCAGAUGACUCACCUAUGACAGGCUGAUGAUGUCUGCACACAACUUGAAAGGUAUUCAUGCCAAGGUGUGAAAGGUAAUAUUGUGACACCAUUUUGCCUAUUCCAGAAAAUGUAACAAAUGUAUGGCUGGUUCUUGACCUAAAAAUGCUGGCAUUGGUCACCAAGUGCUAGGGUGAUUCUUGACAAAAAAUGUUCGUAUUGUUCAGAACAAUGAUUUACAACUUCAGAUUGGCCAUCCAGUUAACGAUGAUAAUCACUUGUUUUACAAAGUUCAGUGUCAUAAAAGCAAAAUAAUUUUGUCAACAAAUAUGCGGAUAACUUUAUCAUAAUUACUACUUAUGGAAGUUAAGGAUAAGUUGGGUAAUGUGAGAAAGUUUUGGUCAGAGGAUAUGAGGAUAAAUUUGUUGCAAUUGCUAAGCUUCACCUCCUAGGACUACUAGGAGAAACGUAUGAGCAAUAGAACAAAUUUACAGUCCAUCCCCAUUAGCUGCAUGGAGAGGUUGGGCUUAUUGCUGCUAUGGUGGAGGUCACCUUCUUGUAGACUUUGAAAUCUGCGAAUGAAGAGGCAGAUUUCUUAGAGGAAUUGGUAGGACUCCAAGCCCCCCAAAUGACAGGGGGGUGGGGAGGAUGGGGGUGGUGGGGGGCCAUUUCUAAUUUCAUGUCUUCUCAAUGUGGAUUUGAGGUUUAACGAGAUUUUUGGGAAAUCAUUAAGGUUAAAAGUAAUUGAAAGAGUGUGUCUGUGGAGAGCAAGAGGGGGAAAUGUUUGGUUCCCAACUGGGGUUGCUUCAUCUGACCGUUAAUCUCACAGCAAACACCGACGGAGCGUUGUUGUUGGAGGCUUCCAGGUUCUCUGAUCAAUUCUCUUGUUCUUUGUUUUCUUUGGGGAAGCGGGAAACCUCUCUUUCUUCUAUUCCUUCUGGGCGGGAUGGGGAAGGUGUUGCCAUUGCCAGGGUUUCCGAUCAGGGCAGUGGUUUAGAAGCCGUAGGGGGAGCUGUUAUGGGCCCGUUAAGGAUGAUAUUGGCGGAUGGGAGGGAGGCCGAGGUCUCAAAUUUGGCGGGUAGGGAGUUUGGGACUUUCGAGGAGGCGUCAGAGGGGGUUUCGAAAAGGGUCUCCCAAGAGGAUGAAGAAGAGAGGGACAAAGAGGGGGAACUGUGUUGGCAUUCUAGUAGCUUGGCUAAGUUCAGCCGCUAUCUUGGAAUGCCGAUGGAGGGCUUCGAAGGGGAAAUUUUGUUUUUGCUUAAAAGAAUGAAAGAGAAGAAACUUCAAAAAGGAAAGUUGAAUGGCAGAAAAAGGAAAAAAUUGGAGUCAUCAAAAUUCGAAAUAGAAUUGAGAAAGUUGGAAUGGACAGUGAAUUAUCUUGGAGGAGGAGGAGGAGAGGGGGGGGAAGUACGAGCAGGUCUAAAUGAAGCUCCGACUGCUCACUUGGAAUGUAAGAGUGACCAAUAAUUGUGAUAAGAGGAAGGUGAUCAAAGCGUUGAUAAAGAAGAAUAGGGUGGAUCUGGUUUGCCUAUAGGAAACCAAGAUUUAGGAAAUGUCAAUGGGCAUUAUCCGUAGCUAAGGAGUGGGAAGAUUCCUUGAAUGGGGAGCUGUAGAUUCAAGGGCACAGCUGGAGGUAUAGUGGUGUUUUGGGAUAACAGGGUGUUGGAUUUGGUUGACCUUCAAAAAGGAUUGUUCUCUAUUUCUUGCACUUUUAAGAGUUGCGAGGACGGUUUCAUAUGGACGUUUACAAGGGUUUAUGGCCCAACAUUGAGGAGGAAUAGGGAGAGUUUUUGGGAGGAGUUGGGGGCCAUUAAGGGGCUUUGGAAUGGGCCGUGGUGUGUUGUAGGGGAUUUUAAUGCCAUUCUAAGUCCGGAAGAGCGCAACAGAGGAGGGAGCUUGAAUUCAAACAUGAGAAGGUUCUCAGAAGUUAUAGAAGAUCCAGAGUUAAAGGAUCUGCCUAUGGUUGGGGGUCCUUUUACUUGGAUUGGAGGGGUGAAUAACCAGUCUUUUUCAAGGCUGGAUCGUUUUUUGGUUAAUGAGGGGUGGGACAGUCAUUUUGGUGAUGCGAGGCAGUUUGUUCUACCAAGACCUGUGUCCGAUCACUUUCCGGUUCUUCUGGACGGAGGGGGCCUGAGAAGAGGCCCUUCCCCAUUUAGAUUUGAGAAUAUGUGGCUGAAACUGGAAGGUGUUAAGGACCUUUUGAAGCAUUGGUGGGAGGAAGGUAGCUUCAGUGGAUCCCCAAGUUUUAUCUUGGCCGAAAAACUAAAAUUUAUGAAGGCUAAGCUGAAGAAGUGGAACAGAAACACAUUUGGUAGGGUUGAAUAUAGAAAGAAUUUGGCUUUGGAGCAGGUGGAGUUUUGGGAUACCAAGGAGAAAAUUAGCAGACUGUUGUUGGAAGAGCUGGAAGCUAGAAAAGAAGCGAGGGAAGAUUAUAAAAAAUGGGUCUUACUUGAAGAAAUCACGUGGAGGCAAAAAUCUAGGGAAGUGUGGCUGAAAGAAGGGGAUAGAAAUACCGGUUUUUUCCACAAGAUGGCCAAUGCUCACAGGAGGAGGAAUAAUGUGGACAGAAUUAAGAUUAAUGGAGCCUAGCUUACAUAGGAGAAUGGAAUUAGGGAAGGGAUUGCCAAUGCUUUUAGGUUGUUGUUGUCCAAUCCGGGGGAAUGGCGCCCUUCUAUUUUCGAGCUGCAGUUUGAGACUUUGGAGCCUUUGGACGCUAGUGCCUUGGAGAUUCAUUUUUCGGAAGAGGAGGUCUUCGAUGCACUAUUGGGCUGUAAUGGGGAUAAAGCCCCGGGGCCAGAUGGAUUCUCUAUGACCUUUUGGCAAUUUGCUUGGGAUUUCGUGAAGGCUGAUGUGAUGUGUUUCUUCAAGGAGUUCAAUGAAAAUGGCAAAUUUGUUAAAAGCCUAAAUGCAACUUUUAUGGUCCUAAUCCCAAAAAAAGCAGGGGUUGAAGCCUUAGGGGAUUUUAGGCCUAUAAGCUUGGUGGGAAGCUUGUACAAGUGGCUGGCCAAGGUCUUAGCUAAUAGGCUAAAAAAGGUGGUUGGAAAGGUGGUCUCCAAGGCUCAAGGGGCGUUUGUGGAAGGUAGACAAAUCCUAGAUGCAGUGUUGAUAGCUAAUGAAGCCAUUGAUUUGGUUCUCAAGAAUAAUGAGAAUGGCAUUCUGUGCAAACUGGAUAUAGAGAAGGCGUAUGAUAACAUGGACUGGACUUUUAUUCUCACAGUUAUGCAGAAAAUGGGUUUUGGGGAAAAAUGGAUCAGGUGGAUUAAGUGGUGUAUAUCCACUGCAGGUUUCUCCGUGUUGGUCAAUGAAACCCCUACGGGUUUCUUCCAAAGCUCCAAGGGUUUGAGACAGGGUGAUCCCCUUUCCCCUUAUCUCUUUGUGAUAGUUAUGGAGGUCUUUAGUGCUUUUCUUAAAAGGGCUGUAGAGGGAGGUUUCUUAUCGGGUUGUAGGGUGAAGGGUAGGAGUGAAGAAGGGGUCCUAAUUUCCCACUUGUUGUUUGCUGAUGAUACACUGGUGUUCUGUAAACCUUCACAAGAUCAAUUGACUUAUCUCAGUUGGUUACUUAUGUGGUUUGAGGCCGUUUCGGGAUUGAGAAUAAAUUUGAAAAAAAGUGAACUCAUUCUAGUAGGGAGGGUAGAGAAUAUGGAUGAUCUUGCUUGGGAAUUUGGUUGUAGACUGGGUAGCCUUCCAACCACCUAUUUGGGGAUGCCCUUGGGUGCUCUUUUUAAGUCAGUUACAGUUUGGGAUGGUGUGGAAGAGCGCUUCUGAAGAAGGUUAGCCAUGUGGAAGAGACAAUAUUUAUCCAAGGGAGGAGGGCGACUCUUAUUCGAAGCAUGUUAUCGAAUUUACCCAUCUAUCUCAUGUCAUUGUUGUGCUUACCAAGCUCAAUUAGACGGAGAUUAGAGAAAAUCCAAAGGGACUUCCUUUGGGGUGCAAUUUGGAGCGAAAGCCUCAUUUAGUAAGAUGGGAGUUGGUGUGUUUAAGUAAGAAGAAAGGAGGUUUGGGGGUCAAAUGCCUUUCCAUUCUCAACAAGGCUCUUCUUGCUAAAUGGAAUUGGCGUUUUGCAAAUGAGAGAGAAGCUUUGUGGAAUCAAGUGAUUAGGGGGAAGUAUGGAGAAGAUAGAGGGGGUUGGUGCUCUCGGGAAGUGAGAGAGGCUCAUGGUAUGGGGUUGUGGAAAGGAAUAAGGAUGGAUUGAGAGUUGGUGAGCGAUAGGAUGGUUUUCAUUGUUAGUAAUGGGAGGAGGGUGAGAUUUUGAAGGGAUAGAUGGUGCGGGGAUUCUCCUUUGUGUAUGUCUUUUUCUUCUCUUUUUGAUUUGACUGUUGAAAAGAAAGCGUGGGUGGCAGAUUUUGGGACCCUUUGGCUAAGGGGGGUUUGGGGGGGGGGGGGGGGGUGGGAACCCCGUUUUUUAAAACUUUUCAAGAUUUGGGGGGAGAGGGAGGGGAAAAAUUUUUUGCGAAGGUUUCUGGUUAAAAAAUUUUUUGGGNNNNNNNNNNNNNNNNNNNNNNNNNNNNNNNNNNNNNNNNNNNNNNNNNNNNNNNNNNNNNNNNNNNNNNNNNNNNNNNNNNNNNNNNNNNNNNNNNNNNAAAAAAAGGGUGGGGGGGCAAUUUUUGGGCCCUUUUGGUUAAGGGGGUUUGGGGGGGGGGGGGGGGGUUGGAACCCCUGUUUUUAAGAGCUUUCAAUGAUUGGGAGGUAGAGGAGGCGGAAAGAUUUUUGCAGAGGCUUCAUGGUAAGAGAGUUAUUGAGGAUGUGGAGGAUAUGGUGUCUUGGACUGAAACUAAGAGUGGUAAAUUCUCGGUCAAGUCUCUUUAUGUUGCCCUUGAAGCGGGUUGUUCAUCUCUGUUUCCUUUAAGCUAUAUUUGGAAUGUGAAUGUGCAGCCCAAGAUUAGUUUCUUUACAUGGGAGGCUACGUGGGGCAAAGCCUUAACCUUGGAUAUGGUCCAGAAAAGAGGACGGGCAUUGGCAAAUAGAUGCUUUAUGUGUCUUGAGAAAGAGGAGACCAUAAACCAUCUGCUCCUUCAUUGUUCAAGAACAAGGGUGUUAUGGGAUCUACUUUUUACUUUAUUUGGGGUGUCUUGGGUAUUGCCUUCUUCAGUUAGAGAGACCCUUCUAAGCUGGAAUGGUUUUUUCGUGGGCAAAAAAUGCAAAAAGGCGUGGAGAGUUGCUCCUCUUUACAUUUUCUGGACGGUUUGGAAGGCGAGGAAUAGAUUGGCUUUCAAGGAUGAUAUGUUGUCAAUUUAGCAACUGAAACACUCUUUUAUCCUUUCUUUUUGGUCCGAGAUUAAGUUGUUUAUAGAUGAUUGCCCUCUAACUAUAGCUAAUUUUAUUGAUUGGUUGGGCUCUAAGUAGGAUUGGGUUGUUGGGCUAUCUUUGUUUUUUAGCCUUGUUGGAGGCGGGUGUAUAGGUAUUGUAUACCUUGAGUCACUUUUUUAGCGUUUCUUUUAUAUAUGAAAUCUUAUUUACUUAUCAAAAAAAAAAAAAAUGUAAUCGAAGACUUUCACAUUAAUGAGGUAAUGAAUAACCACUGAUACUUCUUCACCCCAAAGUUCCUUCACAAAAAUUUGGUAAGUGAAGAACCAUUUCUGAGUUGUGAAGCACCAAUUCCACCUUCAUUAUCUUGAUCUUUAGAAAGAGGGAUCCAACUUGAUUUGGGAUUUUAUACCUGUCAACCCAGUCACUAAUUUUUAGGAGAAUACUUCCAAUUUACCCUUGGGUUGCUUUAGAAAGUUUCUUAAUAGUGCCAUCUCUCUAGCUUAAGGGGCUUUUGUUAAUGGAAGGCAAAUACUAGAUGUGGUUAUCAUUAGUAAUGAAAUCCUAGACAAAUACUAGAUGUGGUUGUCAUUAGUAAUGAAAUCCUAGAUGAAAAAUUCUGUUCUAAGGACGAAGGGAUGGUUUUUAAAAUAGGUUUUGAGGAAGUUUAUGAUCACAUAGAUUGGGGUUUCAUGUAUGAUACAUACUUUGAAUAGGGAAGGCCUUGAACCUGGAUGGCACAAAGGGACUGGAUAUUUUGAGGUUGUUUUUCAAACUGCAGGCUCUUUAAUGGUGUUAUUGAAGCUGAGUGUUUAGCACUCGAGGAAGAUUCGGAUAUGGUUGUUUGCCUGGAUGUAAUGAACCUCCAUAUUGAAGGGGAUUCCUUUGUUAUUGUCUCAAAACCUUCUUUGAAGGCAAAGGUCCUUAGUGGAUUGCUCAUCAGAUGGGGUGGCUUCAUAAUCAUGCUAGAGACAUUGCUUGUUCUUCUCUAUUGAGGCCCAGAUCAGCUAGCCAGGUGCAUGGCUAUAUUUUUCUUAUAGGGAUGCUAAUAUCUGAAAAUUUUUAUUGAGAACACUUACUGCUCUUUGAUUGGUUUGAGGCAUGGAGUGGCUUUUCUGUUCUCUUCUUGCCAUACAUGCAUAUCAUCCCUCUUUUUUAUCUUGUUUAACUCAAUAAAUUCUCAUUUGUUAUAAGGAAAAAAAGAGAUAUUAUGUUACAUGAUGGAAGGACUUUAUUCUGUUAUGGAAUAGGCAAAACCUAGAUCUAUUGGCUAGAGCUAUACAGUAGGUUGUUGGGCUGUUCAGCAUUGUCUUUUUUUUGGAUAGGUUUGGCCAAUGCCCCUUGAUGUUACUUUUUGGUAAUGUAAUUUUCUUUGAUUUUUCUUGAAAAUUCCUCAUUUUUCAAGCUUGCUUGUAUAUCUUUCCUUCUUCCAUUAAUGAUUGUUUGAUUCCUUACUAAAAUAAAUAACAAAUUAUGAUGCAAAAGGAUUACGUUUAUGGAAAAUUUUGAGAUUUUCACCAUAUUAGAGUCUCUGAAGUUGGUACUUGUCUUGACACAGAUAAUAGGAAUCAUUUUCCCCCCAAACUACAUAAGACAUGUCUGCUACUUGGUAAUGUUCCAUUGGCAGUUAUAAACUCUCCUGUCAAAAGUGAAUCUGUUGUAGCAUUCCAAAUGGUGUAGUGUCGUACAUAGAUUGGUAAUUGAGGACUUUAUUAUGGAUUUUGUCCUGUUGUGGUUGUGCCAACAAGUUCUAUCCUGUUCUUUGUCUUGCUGAUUUGGGUGGUUGUGCAUCAUGUUCCUACAGCUGUAUAAUUAUGCUUCAGGAGCAUAGUUAUUCUGGUUUUACCAUCCAGAUGAUGGUAUUAAAGUAUUUGUAUUCUAGAUUGCGCAACUCCUUAUAUGGGAUAUUUUUGCACCAAAUGCUUAGUGAUCAAGAGAACUCUCAUAUUAAACACAGUCAUCUUCUAUUAAACUAAAUUCCUUAAGUAUGCAGUCUCACAACUACAUCAUACCAUUCUUUUCCUUUUUUAUUCCUUUCUUGCUAUUACAGGUUGGUUGCCACUAAUAUAGUAGAAAGCAAAUUACACGACCCUGCUUCCAUAAGACCUUUCUUAUUCCAUAGGUUGAAAUAGAAAAAACACUCGAUGGGACUAAUGUUUCUCUUUGCAACCAAGCAAAUUAAAAUGUUUUGAAACCCAUGCUGCCAUGAUCUUAGCUAAUUUGCAUUUUAUAUCUCUACCCCUUUCUAUUUACCAUAAUGAUGCAUGCAUCUAGUCAAAUUGUGUAUUUCUUAUGCUUAUAUUUAUUUCCUGAUGAGUUUAUUCUGACUCUUUGAUCAGGAUUUCUGCAAUCACAUUGCUUGCUAUUGAAUUUUCAAUGGCUUAAUAUGAAUUAUUAAUAAAGAUGUUGUUUAAUUAUUUCAGCAGCUUAUACUUGGUAAUUUCUUUUAACAACUCUUAUCUCUGAUGUUCAUUUGUAAUAUAUAGCUGGAGAAAGGGCCCAACGUGAACGCCUUCGGGACUUGGCUGUGUUUGAGAGGUUACAUGGAAAUCCUGGGAAAACAUCUCCAAGCCUUGCUGUCAAAAAGGUAAACCCUACAUCUCAUUCCUCUAUACCGCAUCUUAGCUUCUCAUCUUGCAUCGGACAAUGAUACUCUUAUUGAAUCAUCUUUACCAUAUCAGCCAUCAACAUGUGCACUUAUUGAGCGCUAAUUCAGGCACUGAUACUUGUGCUUUUGUUUUGUUUUGUUUUAUCUUGUCUUGUUUUGUUUUGGAGGUGAUUGUGUUGGAUGACCUAUAUCUGUGUUAGACACCAAAGCCUAUCUUAAUGCUACUGUAAAGUAAGACUAUGCUAAUAAGCUAUUGAUCUGUUACAGGGUUUAUGCCAAACUGAUUUUUUAGUUUCUCUAGUAGAAAACUUGUUUUUUCCCCUGUUAUAUCGGUGCUAUUGUUGGAUUUGUGUUUGUUGUUGAUCAAGCAUUUGCUGAAACCUUUUUUUUUUUCCUUUGCUUCUUGAUGUGCAAAGCAUUAUUGUUUGAAUUUUAAUGAUCCCAUUUGAUUCACUAUUCAAUAUUUUUAUUUGAUAUUACAUCUAUCUCAUUUGUUUUCUUUUCUUAGUUUGUUUGUUUGUUUUUUUUUUUUUUUUUUUUUUGAAUUUGUGACAUUUGAAUUUGAUGGAGCCACCAUUAAUUUAUUUUUCCUUAUUAUUGUGGGGUGUGCUUUAUUUUGUUCAAUUGUUGUUGCACUAUUAUUGUCAUGUAACUUUUCUUUUUUGUUUUGUUUCUAUUGUUCCUAUGAGCAUUAAAUGCUUCUAAAAUGUAUGGAACAGGCUAAACCUUUCUAUAGUUUUUUUAAAAAAAAAACUCAUUUAUUAUCUAUUUUCUUGUGCUCAAAAAAUUAUAUUUUUUUAGUAAAAUUGAAAAUUUAGGGAGCGCUUAGGCCUCAGCGGCUCAACCCCUUGAGGGUUUAGGCCUGUCAUAGCAAGAUGUAAACCCCCUUGCCUCUUAUGCUUUUACCUUAUGAAACUAUACCAAGAAACAAACACCACAACUCCCUGCUGCCAUCAAAGGAUACUUCAAAGUUUGCUUCAAAUCAAUCUUAAGGCCAAUUAUCAUAGGCUUGUCAUCAUGUCACUAAAAUUGGUAUUGUAACCAAAGUCCUAUUGCGAAAUCUUCAAGUUGCAGCUCCUCCUUUUCUGUUGGCUCUUGUAUUGUUAGGUGGCCGCAACCUGUUGCUUUUCUUAUGCUUUAUGAACUACUCCAGUUAAAAUAAUGCUUCAAGUAGAUGCUUUCUGGAUCUUGAUUCUAGCAAGAGGCUUAUAUUGCAAAUUUUUUUGUGGAGUCCUAGAUAGGUUAACUAGGAAGACAAUAGCUUGCUUAAGAGGAUUGCCACCUCUCCUUUUGGGUUUGUAAAAAUUUUGGUUCUCCCUUGACCUUGGGAGUCCUAUGGUUUCAAUUUUGGAUGUGCUCUAGGUUGUAGCCUGUGUUAUGCUUUCUAAAUGGUAAUCUUCUUCUUGUUUUAGCUGGGAUGCUUUUGUUUAUUUUGCUCGUUUGUUUUCUUUGUUUCUUUAUUGUGGCUGUAGGAUCACCAAUCAACUUUUUAUUCUCUGCAAAAACUGUUUAUGUUUCAUAACGAAAAAGGAAAAAACAAAGGCAAGUUAGCCUAGAAUAGGUUUUAUCUUGUUUCUUCUUUUACCAUUAGUGUGGAUUCAAACUCAGGAAGAGGCCUUCAAACAAGUGGCAUUUGUGUUUUUUAAACAUAUAUCUUUAUUCAAUCAUUGUUAAGUGUUUGUUGUCUUGUCUGUUCUUUUGGUUGUUUUUGUCUUUGUCAAAGUGUAUAAUUAUAAUAUCCCACAUUGUAUAGAGGAAAAAGUUUCUAACGCUAUAUAUGUAUGAACUUUUUUUAAUCUUGUUGAUUCGUUUUUAAGCCGCGAGGGUCGUUUAGGCUCAAAGCAAAUAAUAUCCACACAACUGGGAGUAGGUUGUUACAAAUGGUAUCAAAGUCAAUCCUCGACCUUGGUAGGAGAGUUUGCUUGGCCUAAAAUGGGUGUCCGUUUAUUUGACCUUACAAUCCUAUGGGACACAAUAAGGACGUUGUGUCUGCAUGAGAGGGUGAUUGUAAUAUCCUACAUUACAUAGGGGAAAAAGUUCCUAACGUUAUAUAUCAUAGUUUUAAAAGGCUCAAGGCGCACCAAGGCGCAAAGUAGUCCUGGAGCCUGAGGCGCAAGGCGCAUCUAAGGCGCGGGCUUUAGUGAAGUGAGGCGCACCCUAAUUUACAUAUAUAUUUUUAUAUAAUAUAAUCAAAUUUAACAAUCAUUUAUUUGUCCUAAACACAUAAAUCAUCAAAUAUCAUCCAAAACUUCAAUUUAAUAAACAAAAAACAUAAAAAUAAAGAACUCCAAGCAUAAAAACAAAUCCAAAUCCAUAUUGCUAAUUGCCUAAUACAUAUCCAAAUCCAAAGUUUCCAAACCUAAAGGUCCAAAACAUGAAAUUUGUCCACAAUUCAAAAACAUCAUUAAAAAACACUUAAAUCACAAAUUUGUCCACAACAAGCAAUCAUCACUCCUCCUCUAAAUCAACAAAAUCAUCAUCAUCAUCAUUUCCAUCACCACAUUUGUAGCCUUCCCCAUCUUCUUCAUCUGCUGAAUUAACCAUGUCUCCAUCUUCAUCUUCAUCUAUUAGUGAAUAAGAAGGCAAAGUUCUAGAACUUGAAGCUAUCCCCCUUGUUGGUGGUAUUAUGCUUGAGCUUGCUCUAGCUCUAGCUCUAGUAUCAAACCUGGCCUCCUCAUCUCCAGCAGCUCUAGCAACAUCACCCCAUGUCAAAUUGUCAUCAUCAAAUACAAAAUCAUCUUGUGCACCUCCAUGAGAAUCCUCAUCUUCCAUUCUCCCUAUCAACCAUUCAUUGCUAUCAUCUAUAUCUUUCAAGGAAAUUGGGUCAAUGGUGUUACGUUCAUUGUAUCUUCUCUUCAAGGCUCGAUUAUACUUGAUGUACACCAAAUCAUUCAAGCGUUGAUGAUCUAACCUAUUUCUCCUCUUGCUAUGAAUCUGCAAAAAUUCAUAAGCUCAUAAAUAUAUUUUAAAAUUUUAACUUUUAAGUUACAUUCAAGACUCUAUUAGACUAUUACUUGUAAUUAUUUUGGAUUUGGUCACUCACAUUCUCAAAGAUGCUCCAAUUCCGUUCACAACCCGAUGCACUGCAUGUUAAGUUGAGGACUUUCAUUGCAAACUUUUGCAAAUUUGGAGCUGAAGCUCCAUAUGCAGCCCACCAUUCAGCUGUAGUAUAGAUAUUAACAAUUUAGUGAAACAAUUCACCUAUUUUAGCAAAAAUACAAUCUAAUCAUUUAAAUAAACAAAACUAAAUAACUAACCUGGUGCUCUAGUCUUUCUUGUCCUAACAGCUAACUCAUUCCCGAAUAGUCCUUGGGCAUUUGUGAACAAACUCACUUCGGCCACAACUUUUUCUUGCUUAGCAGGGUCUCUUGUUAGCCUUAAGAUGCAUUUAUACAAAUCACUCAUAAUCUCGGCAUCAUGCUCUAUUUCUGGCUUAUCAUAGAAGAAUUCCGGGUUCAAAAAGUACCCUGCUGCAUGCAAAGGCCGAUGAAGCUGAAUCUCCCACCUCUUAUCAAUGAUGUUGAAGAUUUCUUUGUACUUCUCUUCAUUUCCAUUAAAACUUCUCACAAUUGCAUCCUUAGCUCUAUUCAUGGCCUCAUAGAUGUAUCCCAUAGGAGCUUUUUUUUCACCAUCAACCAAACGAAGCACACGAACUAGGGGACCCGAAACCUUUAAGCAAAACACAAUAGUGUUCCAAAAUGAAGGCAUUAGAACUAUGUUGGCUAUAGUUUUCCCCUUCUACUCUUUUGCCCAUUUACUAUCUAACCAAUCUGAGCUUGUAAACAUCUUCCUCAAAUUGUUUUUUUGUUCAUGCAAUCGCGAUAAUGUGAUGAAAGCAGUUGCAAACCGAGUCUUAGCAGGCCUAAGCAAUUCCCUUUGUCCAGUAAACCGCCUCAUCAUGUUGAGUAGCCCUGAGCGAUUAUAAAUAUACCGAUUUAGUGAUAUAGCCCUCUCCAAUGUCCUCUUGAUGUUUGGUAGCUUUCCAAUAUCUUCCAACAUCAAGUCAAGGCAAUGUGCAGCACAUGGUGUCCACUACAAAUGUGGACGCUUUAAUUCUAACAACCUCCCUAUAUGAAAUUGUAGAUAAUAAAUUUACAUAAGUUCUCAAGAUAAAUAAUUCAAAUUUUAAAAGUAAAUAAAAAUUCAAGAAAUAGUAUUUAUUACUUGCUAUCACAUAACUUGAGUGAUUAUCUGUUAUAACUUGAAUAACAUUCUCUUCACCAACUUGCUCUACCCAUUUGUCAAGUAAUUCAAACAUCUUUUCUCCCGUCUUAAUCAUUGAAGAAGCAUCAAUGGAUUGCAUGAACAUGGUUCCCUUUGAACAAUUAACCAAAAAGUUCACCAAAGUUCUCUCUUUCCUAUCGGUCCAUCCAUCCGACAUAAUUGAACAUCCAUUUUUCCCCCAUUCCACCAUAUGAUCUUUCAUCAAAUCUUUUGUGAGAGCCAAUUCUUUCUUAAGGUUAGUAACUCUUACCUCAUGAAAAGUUGGUCCCUUCAUACCCACACCAUAUUGGCCAAUAGUCUCAAUCAUUGGUUGGAAACUCGGAUAUGUGACUGCAUUAAAUGGAAUAGCAGCCUCAUACAUCCAUCUUGUGAUAAGCGUGCAAGCUCUUUCUCUUGCUUCCUUUUUGUAGGCAUCAUUGAUGGUAGUUUGAUUCAUCUUUCCACUCCUUUGAUUUUGAACAACCAUCUCUGCAUUAGGAGUGAAAAAAUGAUCCAUAGGACCUUUUUGUCUUGGUUUUUUUGAAGAAAACGUCCUACCACUACUUCCUCCUCGGUUACUACCUCCACUAGAAAUGUUGGUGACAUUCGUUCUACUAUUAAUCUCCUCACCAAUAUCUUCAUCUUCCAAACCAAACAAAUCUUCAUUAACAUAUUCGCUCCCCAUAUUCAUUUGCUCUUUUUGAUUUUUCUUGGAACUCAUAUACUCUUCCAUUUCUUCUCUAACAUGUUCCGGACAUUUUCUAAACUUUUUAGCAUUUCUAUAUCCACCAACAAGAUGUUGUUUGUGUCUAUAGAUGCCUCCUUUGGUUACUUUCUCACAAAAAAUGCAUAUGAUGGUGUUCAAAUCUUUUUCAUUAACCAAACGACCAUAUUUCCACCCCGGAUCUCUUCUUCCACUUGCACUAGAGUCCACUUGAGUUUCACUCUCAUUAUCCAUCUUGCAAACAAAUUAUCUAUACUCCACAAUAAAAUAAUUAUAAUUAAAUUAAGAAAAAAAAUUGAAAAAAAAAUGCAUAUCACAUUAUCAAAUAUCACAUUAACAACAAAUAUGCAUGAGUGCUUUUUAUUUAUUUAUUUUUAUUUUGUAAAAUUUUCAUGUCAAAAACUCAAAAUAUAAUAUUUAUUUUUAAAAAAAAAAAAUUACCAAUGAGAGUUAUGAGGUAAGAAUGGAAAAAAAUGCAGAAAAGUGAAGAAAAAAGAAAAAUACCGAGGUUCGGAAGGUACGUGACUAUUUCCCCUAUUUUUCUUCUUCUUUUUCUUCUUCUUCUUCACUUCUCCAGCACAGAAGAGGCUAAGGCAAAAAAUGGCAGUGGUCUCGGGUUGAGAAAGACCAGAAAAGGGGGCUGGAUGGAAGGAACAAGUCAAAACGGCGUCGUUUUGGUCCCUGUUCACUUAAAUGAACAGGCUCCAAAACGACGUCGUUUUGGGCCCAAAAAAAAAAAAAAAAAAAAAGCUAGGGCUGCGGGGCGUCUCUGCAACCCGACUGGAGGAGGAAGAAGAAGAAGAAGAAGAACAAGGAGAAGGAGAAGGAGGAGUGCGUACCUGGUCGGACCGUCGGAGGCGACUCGGGCGAUCGCCUCGCGCCUUGCUGGAGGCGAGCGCCUUGCGCGCCUAAGCGGCGCCUUCGUGAAGGGGCGUCGCCUCUCUUCAGGCGAGGCGCCGAGGGUGGCGUCGGGCCGCCCCGAGCCUAGGCGCGCCUUUCAGAACUAUGUUAUAUAUAUAUAUAUAUAUAUAUAUAUAUAUAUAUAUAUAUAUAUAUAUAUAUAUAUAUACUCCUCUUAACCUUGUACACGUAUUUUAAAGUCAUGAAGACCACUUGAGCAUAGGAUGGAUAAUAUCUAUACGGUUGGAUGCAGGUUGUUACAAUAAUUACUUUUGAUUUUCCUUUCAUAUGUUUAAUUGCAUAACAUUAUUAUAGCAAAAUAUUAAUCUAUCAUAAUGCAACGUCUUGUAAAGCUUAUGUUGGGUGUCAUGAUUUGAUCUCUUGUCAUUUUUAUUAUUCUGAUUCAACAUCAUCUUAGCUUAUAAUCAUUUAUACACUUGAUGCAUGAGAAAUGAAGAUGCUAUAAAUUGUAGGAUCUUUUUCUCCAAUUUGUUCCUUGAUAUUUUAUAAUGCCAUGAAAUGUCUAUAUUUUGAUGCAGAAAGCCGUUCACACUCCAUCUCUCUCACUAGUUUUGCAGAACCAUUGCCACUAAGCACAUGCAGGCGUCAGAUGUGCGGCCACUUCCAGUGUUGGAAGAGACUUUGAACUACCUAUUAAACCUGUUGGAUGCCACAGAACAUCCUUUUGAAGUGGUUCAUGAUUUCGUCUUUGAUAGGACAAGAUCAAUAAGACAAGAUCUUAGCAUGCAGAAUAUCAUUAAUGAUCAAACAAUUCAUAUGUUUGAAGAAAUGGUAUGAAUUUCUUGAAACAUAAUCUCAAUUACCUUUUUUUCUGAGCAUUCAUCUCCUCAACAUACAAUAAGUUAGCCAACCCAUUGCUAAACACUCUCCUAGUUGGAGAAAAUAAUCAAAGUAUACAAGAGAUAAAAUGUUGAAUAAUUGAGUCAUUAUCCUCUCUUUUUGCUUUAUUGAAUAAGAUAAUUUAUUCGAUGGAGUCCAAAUGAGGUGAAACUGUGAUCACACAACUUGAAGCCUACUUUACAAUGGAUAAAUGAAUGGUCUGAUUUUGAAUCUUUCUUGGCACAUUAGUUAUUAUCCAAUCCAUUCUAAUUAAAUUAUCCACUAUUAAGUGUCUAUUUCCAGUCACCCUCUAAGUUAUGAAAGACCCAUAGAACCAAAGCAACUCACACCACCUGUGAUAGGAAUUGGUGCUCUCUUCCAUAAUGUCAAGUUUUCCAGUACACUUGCUGACUUUGUAGAAUAUGCCUACAAAAAGGGCUGCCACCUCCUAAUUCCCAAUCAUAGAAGUUUCUUAACCAUAUUUCAAAAGUUGUAUUUCCUGUUCCCUCUCUUAAAGUUUUUUAAACCUAUAUAUCUUUAUCCUAGUAAUUCGGAAAAAUGAGGAAAUUAUUUAACAAGAACUCCAUCAAUUUGUUCCUCAAAAUUUUAUAUAGUUUCUCUCUCUCACUUUUGAUUCAAAUUCUUGAAGCAAAGGAACAAAUUCAUGGCCAGUAACAUUUUUAGCCAAGCAAUAGAAUGCACGACAAGCAUGUAUAUGAAUGAAUUGUGUUUUUUAAUGAUAAUAGAUCAGAUAUUUUAAUCUCAUCCUAAAACCUUUGAGUUAACUAAAAGCCGCAUCUUAUGUUCUGACUUGUGGUUUGUUUCAUAAUAUAGGUGAAAUUUCAUAUUAUAUCCCACCACAAGCUUCACAGUUGUAGCAGCAAGCCAAGUUUUUCUUCAGUUCAUUACCUCAAUAUGGAGCAGCUGAAAAAGUGUCUAAUAUCUCUAUAUGCUCUAUACAAAGAAAAUCGAAAUUCAAAUUCUAUUUACAAGAAUGAACCUGAGUUCUACUCAUUUCACGUUCUUCUUCAUCUUGGCUCUAACAACCAACCAUUGGUGGAUACUUGCUUCCGUUGUUUGUUUGAGUUCAUCUUUUUCAGUAUCUCUUGCUGCCUUGUACUGGUUUCUGAAUAUGUUACUAUUUCUGUUUUGAAGGGAGAGUCACUCUCUUUGUGGUUGGGUCGUGUACCUUCUCUCAUUUUAAAGUCAAAGGAAAUGUGUUUUGCUCGGAGACUUUUAAGGUGACCGUAAAGCUAUUAUAGAUUCGACUUGCAUUUAAAUUGUUUAUAUUCAUUUUACAUUUAACUCAAUGUAGAGUGGUUCUGUUUUCCAAUCGAUUUUUUUCUCUUCUUUUAGUACCCAAUGUUAAAAAUUUUGUUUUCAUGAACUGAAAGAUCUGUCUUUUCUUGUAACAGAUUAUUUCGGAUGGGCAAUUAUAAGCGUUUCCUUUGUACUACAGCAACUGAGGCAUCUUAUUUACAGUACUACAUAAUUGAACCUUACAUCAAUGAGGUUGCUUAAAUAUGUUGAUUUUGCUAGAUUUUUCAGUUUGAAAAAUAUAUGCUUCUUUGUUCAUUUAUUGUUUUCCAAUUUCAUUUAUGAGAAUAUAUCUAAAAUCUAGACUCGAGUACUUGUGCUUUUGGGUUUUAUUUUUCUUUCAUUUUUGUUAGUAGUUGUACUUCAUUAUUCUUAAAUUUCUCACAGUUGUUUCUUUAUGUGGUUUAUUGCUCCUCACUUUCUUCAUUCAUCUGAAGUGUUCAAAUUCAAUUUGCUUGUUUCAUAAACCAGGUCUUAUUUAGAAGUUCUUCUCAAUUGCCUUUUUUAGUGCUUUUAAAGGACAUGCCUGAUUUAUAUAUAUUUUUGUUGGUUUUCUUUUGACCGUAAAAGGUUCGAGCAUUGGCAUUGUCAUGUGUAAAUUAUUGUGGCUACAAACUUCAUCCGUAUCCAAUUGCACACUUGUCCAAACUCUUGAUGAUGAAGGUAUGAUUGCAUUUACUAGCAUUAAAUUGCUAAAAUUUGUCAUCCAAAGUUCCAAUAUCUUUUGAACCUUGAAGGCUUCAUUUGCAUUUUUGUAGGAAUUAGAUGUGGAAUCAUUUUGCAAUGCUUGUGGUCUUGAGACCAGCACUGAUGAACGGGGAAAUAAGUUCUUAUCAACCAAGCAAACAAACUUCCAUUAUCCCAAGGAAGUCUUUCCAAGCUAUUGCCUUCUGGGUUUGGAACACUUUUAGAGGUAACAAUCAAUUGGAACUAGUUACUCUUUCAAACUUCUUAUUGUACAAAUAUAACCUGCAUGUGCAACCAUUUCUGAUCCCAUAAUUUCAAGAAUUUAUGACACCUUCUAGUGGUUAGUUUUUCUGGGAAUAGAGUAAAGCAAUCUAUUCACUCCCAGAAACUAUCGUCAAAGGAACAGUAGAUAACCCCGCAAGACCAAAUUUAUGUGUGUGCAUGGAGAUGCAUGUUUUCUGCAUCCCAAUCAUGCAGUGUUGUGCCAAAUGGAAUAAUAGCAGCUGAUGAUAAGUGGUAUUUCUAAAAUCUUCUAAGAGUAUUCCAUCUAUUGUAAUAUUGUUUUCUCAAAAUUGUCUUUGAGUCUUAUAUGUAAAUAUUAGACUUGACCUCUUGUAAGCUAUCAACUGAUGUUGUAACUUAACUUGAAAGGGAAAUUCUAUAAAUUUAGCCUUGGUUUGGCUGUUGGAAAGCAAAGAAAAAUUAGGUUAAUAGUGAGUUGAUUUCUUCCCUUCCCAUGGAUGUAAGCACAUUCUUGAAUCAUGUUAAUUACUUUUUGGUUUAUUUUGUUGUUUUGUUGUUUUGUUGUUUAUUGUUCAAUUGUCUCCGCAUAACAAGUGGUAUCAGAGUUGUUUCCAACACAACAGAUGAUUCCUGUGCUAACACAAAGUUUGAGGCUAAACGUAAGAUGGUAAAAGUUUCUAGAAUAUUUCCCUAUGACAACUGCCAAUAAAGGAUGUACUUAACAGAAAGUUCAUAAGGUGUUACAUGGCAAGUUGAACAAAACCAAUAGCUAGAGAUAUCUGAAAUAUUUGGGGCCACUGAUCCAACAAUAGCAGAGAAUAACACAAGAAGAGACCCUCUAAUCACCAUUUUUUCUUUGAUUCUUCUCUACAAAGCAUCAUCUUCUUUAUACAAAAAGACAACCCAUUGCUGAGCCCACAUUAUUCUCUACAUAUCCCAAAAAAGCCCUCUAAAUUUUAGGGCAUGGUGCUCUUUUUAGGGGUAUUUUGGUACUAAAUUUGUGGUAGUCUCUCAAAUACCUAAACUACCCUCCAGAUUUUAAGGCAUGGCCCACUCUUUGAGGUGGUAUUUUGGGUACUAAUUUUUGUUAGGAGAGGUUUUGGUGUGGAAACUGGAGGGCUUUACACACGUUGCAUGUAUUUUCUUUUGCAUGCAUUACACAUAGAUUGGAGUUUAUGCAGUUACUCACUUUUUGUUCGUCCAACAAUACUAUAGUGCCACGUCACCAUAUGAUGGGCUCUUUAGUCUUUUCAAACCCAAAAAAAAACACUAAAAAAAAAAAAAACUAAUACUAAAAGGAUUGCUAACUAGCUAUGUGAAGAUGAACCUCUAUAGCUAGCUUCUUAGAGGGACCAUAAUCGCUUAGGCCAGGGAAGUUUGAGGUGAUAAUAUGUCUGUGAUGCCCUUAGAUGUUUUAGGCACAUGUGCGUUACAUUAAUGUAUUCAAUGAGUCUAUAACCUUGAUUGACAGGUCCGAGUAAUCUUUGAAAUUUCAUUGUGGUGGGAAGGUUCCAUGUGAACAACACUUGCACAUGGGUUAGUUAAUCUUAAGAGACGGGGGAAGCUCAUCUAACAGCACACAAUGUGCGAGCUUUGAAAGGCAAUCGGGUUAACAUUUCUGAAUUGGGACAUGACAGCGGACAACAACAUUAGGUAGUCCAAAGAUGUCGUCAUAUUAAUUGUUAUCAAUAUUUUUAUUUAUUCAAUAGAGAUUGAGGAUUAAAAAAAUACCACAAAAAUUAGAAAAAACAAAAUUAAUUACAUGGCUUACAUUUCAAAUAUUUAAUAAAAUAUUGUAUGAAAGUUGAAUAUCAUACACUAUUAAAUGGUUGGAUUCUCUUCUUUAAUUUUUUUAAUUGUCUCAUCCUAUUAAAUUACUCAUCUAAUAUUAAUUUAUUUUAAAGGUGAAAUUAAUUAUAUUGUAAAAAACUUUUAACUGACCAGAGUUUGUGCACAACAUCUAAUAUAUACUUAAAUAUAAUCCUCCAACUAAGAAAUGAAAUCAAAACUUAAAAAUCAUUUAUAUAUAUAGAUAUAUGUUAUCAAGUUUAGGUAGUGAAGCAAUUAAUGUGGAUAUAAAAUUAAUGCCAAAACUUUUGAUUGUUCCUUCACAUUCUCCACAACCAAACAAAGGAUAUAAGAAAAAUAAAGAAAGAAAUUUAGGGUAGUUUGAUUUUUGUUCUCAUCUUGUUGUGAAGUUAAUAGAGGAAUGCUUGGGUUGGUGCUCAAUAGUUAAGUGACAGCAGGGUAUAAUGAUUCUUCCAAUCGUGUAAAUAUUAUUUGUUUUAAUUUCAAUGGAUCAUCGUCACUUUAAAUUGCAUCCACAUGGUUAAGAGCAACUCAUAUGUAUAUAAUAUCAUGAAUUUCUUCUUAUUCGAUACGGAAUAUCAAAUUAGGUAUCUUUCAAUUUUAGGUAUUGUGUAAGUGUUUCAACUCAAAUGACUUGGCUUAAUGUAUACUCAAAGCCUUGACAAAGGAGCGUAUAUGUAAUAAAGUGAAAAUUAAACCUUGUCGCCCUUCUAUCUCUAGUACUCCAUUAUCCCUUAAACAUGUGCAAAAAAAGAUAUACACCUUUGAUACAUUAAUUAAAAUAAACGAUAGAAAAAGAGAUUUUAUAUAUCCAUGUACAUAAUUUGAUUAGAUUUGUUAUAUAUGAGAGAGAGAGAAAAAAAAAAAAACUGUUUAGAUUAAGGAUCUCAUUAAUUAAUACCUAGAAAAUAUAAAAGAAUAAAAAAAGAUUAGAAGGUGUGAAUCAGAAGAUAAGACUACAUUUUUUAAUUAGAUUCAUCGAAAGAUGGCAUAUUGUAUGAACAUUUUUACUCUACAUAUAAAAACUUAUAUUAUGGUUGAGAUGUAUUAAUUUGUCAUAUUUUUGGACAUUUAAAGUAAUGAGUAAUUACACUAAAUUAAAUUAUUGACCUUAUUAAUCAAUACCUCAAAAGUAUAAAAUAGUAAUAAAUGAAUAAGACAAACUUCAUCGAAAUAUUUUUAUGGGCACAUUACGUAAAUAUUCUUAUUUAAUAAAAGUUUAUAUGUCAUUAAAUGAAUAGAGAAUUUUAACAUUAAUUGCAGUGCUAAGUAGAGGAGAUCUCAUAUUUAAGCUGUUGAUUAAGGCUUAUUACUUAAUAAUUUAAGUUGACUUUAAGUUAGAUUAUAUUUAAGUUAUUUACGUAAAAUUUAUUAUUUAUUAUUUAAUAUUUACUUUAAGUAUUAAAGUUAUUUGAUAAAGUUAAUUUAAAAAUCAUUUUAAAUUAUCAAAUUGUCAUAUUUACCUUCAUUAAUUUGAUAACUAGAUGCAGAUAAAUGAAACAAAAAAAAAAUUGAGAUUAAGAAUAAGUUAAUUAAUUUGAUUUAACACUUAAAAGUAACUUUAAGAUAUAAUAUUAAGUUAUUUUAUCAAAUAUAUUUAAUCUAUUUAAUAAUUAAAUUAAGUUAUUAAGUUAAUGAAUGAUUACCAAACACCUUAUAAGACCCAAAAAAUCGAAUGAGUUUUAAUAGUUUCCAGGAUGGGCAUGACUAGGUGGUGGUUCAAUGCUGAUUAAUCAUAAUUCAAUCAAGGCAAAAUAUGUAACAAAUACAUGUCAAACUGCACCAUCCAAAUGGGCGCCAAGAACGUUACAUUUGACAAAUGCCAUUAAACCUCGACAGCUACCAAUUACUUGAAGCUCAUUAACUUCAUCUUAAUUUGAUCCAAAUUGCAGAAACAUGUGAAACUCCAUGAAUCUAUGGUGCUAUGGUGGCCUACAUUCAUAUAACUGGGGACACUUUGGUUUACACUACAAUGACCCCAAACAGGGUUUGUAGAGACUUUAUCAAGAUCACUAGCUUCAAAAGACUAAGGAAAGAAAGAUGUUCUCAAAACUUGGAGUCAAAUUGCAGAUAAAGACCUAAAACUCCCACUUAACGUGUUUGAGGAAUUGUUGUUUCAUGGGGAUAAGCUGUUUGGUUUGUACAUGUCUCCUUGGUGAUACUUAGAGUUCGGCGAAGUAUACGUAUCCUUUGUGAUCUGGUUUGUAUAUGGGCAGAUGAAUGUUGAUGCCAGGUUCAUAUAUGUUUCUGAUAUAUAUCACCCUGGAAGGAUCUAGAUCAAGGGGAUGAGUUUCAAAAGCUUGAGUAGGUUUAAGAUGUUCCGAGAAUUGGUGAGCAUGAUAUAUAUCAAUAUGAUAUUGCAGAAGACAACAGAGCUUCUGAAAUUAAUAUGUCAGGUUCAAUAGUGGGAAAUCUUAUCAGCUGUCACUUACUGUAAUCGUAUGCUCUCAAUAUUCAUUUGUUGAAGAAGAAAAAAAAAAUUGCUUUCACACUAUUCAAUUACAAGAGAAUGUUCAAUUAUAGAAGAAAAUAAUAUUCGCUAGUCUCUUUCAACUUAAUCAACAUGCAGAGAAAAGCAGUGAAUAAUAACUUACAUACAUUGUCUCUCUACCCCUACUUGUUACUCAUCAGCCAAGCUUAUGGUAAUAUAAGCUUGGGUUCAUCUCUCUAUGCCACUGAUGAAAACUCCACAUGGGCUUUGCCUUUCUGGUGAUUUUGCAUUUGGAUUCCGACCCUCUCCAAGUGAAGAGGACCUAUUCCUUCUUGCUAUCUGGACUGCAAAUGGAAGUUAACUGGUGCCAAGAGGAUCAAAAGUUUGGGCUUACCACCAAUGGACAGCUUGUUCUCUAGAGGCUAAGAUAUAUGGAAGACAAAGACUGGUAAUGUGAGCAGCGAACCAGUGCAUGGUGCCAUGCUUGGAGAUGGAAAUUGUAUACCAGUAUAUGGGAGAGCUUCAAGCACCCAACUAAUACCAUAUUGCCAAUCCAGGGAUUGGUGUUGGAGCCUACUGUGCAGUUGCUAUUUUUGAGGACCUGAGGUUUGCAAAUGGAACUGGAAGCUGUUGGAGGAAAAGACUACCUCUUUCAAAUGGGAGGUUGGAUCAAACUGCUGUUUCCAGAAGUGCUCUAAUCAAGAUAUUGAAGUCCAGUGAACUAACUUCAGGCAGAUGCAAGCAAAAUAAAGCAAUUCUAAUACUCUCAGUCCUCUUAGGCCCCUCUGCGUUCUUCUUCUUCGUUUCUCUAGCUGCAAUUUCACUAGUUUUCUACUGCUUGAACCUCAAAAAUCUGCAGCUUUAUCACAGAAUCCUGAGUACAAGCGAUGGUAGAAGCCUUUGGCACUGUCUAUAAAGGGAUAUUACCAUCAGGUUCUGGAAAUUCUGUUGCUGAAAAGUUGGAGAAGGUGGUGGGAGAAGAUGAGAAAGAAUUCAAAGCAGAAGUGAAUGUGAUGGGCCAAACUCACCAUAAGAAUCAAGGACACUUGCUGCGUUACUGUUGUGAGGGUGAACACUGACUACUGGUGUUUUUUUUUUAUGCACAAUGGCUCUUUAUCAAGCUUCCUUUCUGGAGGCGCCCGAAAGCCCUCAGAACACAACUCUUGGAUGAUUCUUUUACAGCCAAAGUUGCAAACUUGGACUGGGAAAGCUUCUGAUAAGCAACCAGACUAGAACACUCACAGGCAUCAGAGGGACUAUGGGGUAUAUUCAGACAACUCGGGCAGCCUAUGUCUCUUAUAAUAACACGUUAUGAAGCAUCAGCUCAAUGCUGGGGUUCAAUCUGCAAAGCAAGGGAUUCAUCAAUGUUUCCUUCAAACUAAAUAAUAAGGAACAGAAAUGGAUCAUUCUGCAUUUUCAGUGGUGUUUGUUAUAGCAUUUAUACAAGAACUCUAGGGGUUUCUAUGUAUAACUUCAUUCCCAUUUUGUAUAAUCCAAAUCUCUUCAAUCGAUUAAAUGUAUAAAUGAAUCCUAUUCAUUGUUUGGAGUAACAACAAAAUUCUGGAAGACUGGGAAAGUUUCAACACUGGAGAGAAAACAAAAUGACAAGACCAUAAAUUCUGGAAGAGGGCUUUGCUUUCUAACCAUUACCAUAAUUUUAGAGCUCAACCCGGAUGAGUAAAUUAUAUUUCAGAAUGUUCAGGAGAUAAUUCUAAAGUGAUGAACCUUCUACUCACAGUUUCUUGUUCUUCUUGAACAGAGCAAUGAACAUCAAUAGUUCAGCACCCAGGAAUCUCCCCUCUCCAAUUCCUCCACUGGGAAAAGUCACCUUUCCAGUUAAGAAAAUCUUCAGGAUUAAUUUGAGCAAAACAUCAGAGUAUACAUCAAGAAAGCCUUGAUCAAAAUCAAAAUACAUCAAGAGCUGCCAUUUUCUUCUAUUUCCUCUUCCUUGAAUGGAAUGCCUUUUGGACUGAGGUGAUCAAUGGUAACAGUCUAACACACUCCUUAAGCUUUGAUUGAGGUCAACGGGGAUUGGCACAUUUAAUGACUUUGAAAUCAUAGCUGUGUGAAGGGAGGCAAACAUGAAUCUCAGGAUAAUCAACAAGUCAACAACUAUCAAUCAGUAAGGAAAAGGAAAAGGAAAUACCUUUGGAUAUUUACAAAUAAAAAAUUUGAGAGAGUCCAGCUGCUCUGUACAGAAAGGCUUGAGCUUAUUCCAUGGCCAGGCUUUAGAUGGUUCUGAAUUACGGAUGAGAGGAUUGAGUUUUCUUUCAUUCUGCAAUAAGAUUAAAAACAUCAAUGAAACACUAAAAGUUUAUAUAUAGAAGCCCUUUAAAGAUGAGAAUUGGUAAGAGAGCUCACCCAUGGUCUAGUAAAACAACAUCUGUUAGAUAAGUAACCACCAUUCGAUUGUCCAGCUAAUGCAUUUAGACAGUCCAAAAUAGCUAAAGACAGUCCAAAAACUCAUUUGACUAAUAAUUUUCUAAAAGCAGUAACAUAAAACCUGGAUGAAGAAUCCACCCCUCUACCUGACACCACUUCAAUACCAAAUAAAAUGUUACGAUGACCAUUUAUAGUCUUAAGAGACAGUGGGUGUUGUUUGGGCUCAAGACCAUCAAAAUUGGCACAGAAACAAGUACAACAACUAUCUAAUAAAGAGAUUUAUGCAUGUAACAAAUGCAAAUGAAAUAUGAUACAAGAAGUUCAUAGAUUAAACAAAAAUAGAUGGCAAAAUAGAAGGAUAAGGUCACAGACAGGACAAUAUUAAAAGAAAUUAUUAUUUUUCCGACCUGAAAAUCGAGGCAUUUAGAACAGUACAAGUUUGUAAGUAGUCCAUGGAAACCAGGGAACUUAUGCAGAUGUUGUAUUCUAUUGCAUAAGGCAAACACUCAAUACUUACAAGCAUAAUCAUGCCCAGAAAGCCAUGAAUCCCUUUUUGUUUUGCUUUUUUACCUAUUCUCAUCUCUUAUUGCCAGAAGUGCCCAGGAUGAUACAACCUCACCAAAUAAGUUAGAAACCAGCCCAUUCAGCAGGUUGAGUAGCCAGCUUGCCCUCAAUCUUCUUUGAGUCAACAAACAGUUGGGCAUUAUUGCCUCCAAUGGAGGGUCUGGAAAUAUUAGAGCCGGCAGCAGGGGUGGCUGUAAAACUCUCUGUUCCAAAACCCCAAGUUUCAGGGCCAGA
rnacentral:lncRNA from 1 species